AUUGGUCAAGGCUUAAGCCCACCAAGCUUGGCUCCAUAAGGUUCAAGUAGUUAAGCCUAAAUUAUUUAUUAUUUUAUUUAUUUAUUUUUAUUUUUAUUUUUUUAGAUUUUAUUUUAUUUUAUUUUGAUGAUUAUCUAUGAUUUUUUUAUUUUUGUUUUCAUUUUUUAGUUUAUUUAUCUUUAGUUUUUUAGAUAAUAAUAAGAUAAUAGCUAAAAAAAUAAAAAAUAUAAAUUCUGCCAUGUAUAGGGUGCUGACGAAAUUGCAAUUGGUUUUAGUUUCCUUAUGAUAAAUCUUAUAUUCGAGGAUAAUGCAAAAAUUUAGUCAAAGGUGGAUUUAGAGUUGAUCAAAAACUCUUUUGAGUAAGCCUAUAAAUACAUACUGAUCAGAAGCUUGAGAACACACAUAGAAACGCAGAAAGCAAAAUACUAAAAUUAAGGUCAAGAAAAGCAGUCAUGAAAAUAGUCAAGAAUUUUUAGAGAAAUUUUUGGGGAUUAAAAAGUUUUUUUUGGAAAUUUUUUAGAAAUUUCUAGAUUUCGGUGAAAUUUUUUGACAAAAUUUGAAUUUUUCGGUGACUUUUCGAUGACUUUUCUAGAUUCUGACAAAAUUUUCAAUUUUUGGCAUCCAUUUUUAAGAAAAUCGGUGAACUUUUGGCCAGAUUUGAUGAACCUACCUAGAUUUCAACAACAAUCCCAAAAUCUGAUGAAGGAUUCAACUGGUGUUCUUGAGGGUUUAAAGAGAGAGGGAGAGAAAGAGGAAGAAAAGAAAAAGAGAAGGAGAAAUCUAAGGGAGAAAGACUAGAUCUUGCUAUUUAUACCCUAUCAAAAUGACAUCGUUUUAACAUUAAGAAACCCCCAAGAUCCGGUUGUUUUUUAUUCAAACCAACCCGACCAAAGAGCAACUUGCUUCGUGGACUCGCGUCCCAACCAGACCCUAUAACAAAGCUGAGCCGAGCUGAUUUUCCCAAGUCAUGUUUUUUAGCCACUUUUUGUGUCUGAAUCCGAGCCGCACCAAGUCACUCCAGCCGAGUUGUUUCUAUUUUUUUUUGGUAUUUUUUAAAUUUAUUUUAUUUAGUAUGUUAUUUAUGUGUUUGUUUAUUUUUUUUUUUUUAGUAUUUUUGCAUGAUGAAAUUUGGGAAAAAAUAAAAAAAUAAAAAAAUAAAAUAUUUUUUGAGAAUUUAUAGAAAUUUCAAAUGGUUAAUUUCUAUAAAAUUCUUAGGUGAGAAAUUUUAUCUAAAUUUGUCCCAAAUGGUGGAAUAAUUUAGAUAAAGUUUCAAUAACAAUAAUUAAUAUUUAUUUUCAAUUAAAAUAAAAAAUAAAAAAUAUUAAUAAAAAUUUUGGAAUUAAAUACUAAUUACCCAAUGAUAAGAUCUUUAGAAAUUUCAAAUGAUAAAUUCCUAAGAAAUCUCUAGGUGAGAAAUUUCUCUAAAUUUUGUCCCAAAUGAUGAAAUAAUUUAGAUUAAAUUUCAAUAAAAGUAAUGGUAUUCUUUUUGAAAAAAAAAGUUGGCUGAAAAUAUUUUAUAAUUAUCCAAUGAUGAGAUUUUAAAAAAUUUCAAAAGGUAAAUUCCUAAAAAAUCUCUAGGUGGGAAAUUUCUUUAAAUUUAUCCUAAAUGGUGGAAGAAUUUAAAUGAAAUUUCAAGAAAAAUAAUUGUUAUAUUAUUUUCUUUCCAAAAAAAUAAAUAAAAAGAAUUUCUAAUUAGGCCCAAAUGGUGGAGAAUUUAGAAAUUCAAAAGAGAAGAUAUUUCUAAUUUGGCCCAAAUGGUUGAAUAAUUAGAUAUAUUUUCAAUAAAAAAUAAUUAAAUAACAAAUAAAAGUAAUUAAACUUUUUUCCAACGACGGAGCCUCUUCAAGAAAACAAAUGGGAUUCUUGAAUACUCUUGAGGUGAAAAAAUAUUUUUAAGAAUUCUACCAAAUUGAUAGAGAAAUCUUAAGAAUUAUUUUCAAUAUUCAACAUAAAAACUUAAAACCAUUAGAAUCAAUACCUUAGGAUAAAUUUAAAAUAAAAUGGUACUAUCAUUUAGAUAGGCAUGUAGGGGUGUUACAACCUUCCUCAUAUAUAAUCGAACUUUUGAAUCAUGCUCUAGUUUGUAGACCCGAACUUAUUCUUUUAGGAAGCCUUAAUCAAGCUUAGGAGCUCCUUAAAAUGAUAGAUUCCUUAGGUGGUCAAUCACACAUAGUAUAAAAGAUUAGUGGGGACUCAAUUUAUUAAAUUUAGCUAUAGAUUUAUGAAUCUAUAUGUUAUGACAAAUACAAUAUUUUAGUAAUACAUUUAUUUCUGUUUGAAGACUUUAUAUUAGGCUAGUUUAAAUAUGAACUGACCACAAAUAUAGCAAAUAUUUGGUUCAAGAAACACCAAAUUAUUAAAGUUUACUUUACCAUAAAAAGAAUUAAAAAUAAAAGCAUCAUUGUAAACUGAAAAAACUUUAAGAACACUAAAUGAGUGCAAAUGAUUAUGCUACACAAUAGAUGCUUACAACUUUAAUAAAUACCAUGGAUCACAAAACUAAAAAAAAGAGCCUAUGUGGAAAUGCAUAAUGUGGCAAUUGUGUUUUGCCAAACCUAAAAUCAUCAAACAAUUUAAACAGGAAACGUGGGAAAAUGAGUAGACAUCUAACUACAGAAAAUAUUGUAAUUGCUAGAAGUAAUACAUGUGUUAUUCUUACUUGAAUUCUCCAAAAACUUUUUUGAUAACCAGAGUUUCUAUGUCACUUUCAAAAGUUUAGGCAUAAAAUCAUUAAUAGAUAACUCUAAUAAAUAUAUAAACAGUUAUGAAAUAUCUCUUAAAGAGCAUUACAACUCAAAAACUCAUCAACUUGAAGGACUUAGCUUUCGAUUGUGAUGCCAAUCACAAAUUUUUUACAAAAAAAAAAUUCAAAAUACCUAAAUCUAAUUCUUCAUUUAUUAAAGAAACAACUAAAAAGAACAAUGACAAAUUUAAUUUCACAACUAAAUACUAAUGAAAUUAAAAAAACCUCAAAAUAAAAUUUCUUUAAAAGAGACACAGAAGUAAGCAAAUCAAAAACCUUUUCAUAUUGUUCAGCUAGCAUGGAAUCAGCUUAAUGAAAAGACCAUAUUGGUCUUUACAGUGCCUAUUGCUAUCUUUGGCUCACCCACCUUUAUUCAUUUGUCAUGCCCCUUUCUACCUUGAUAUGCAACAAAUUAAUUUAAUUAAUUGAAAAUGUAAAACAUGCAAAAUUAAGGGAAAAACUCAAAAUUAGUAAAAAAUAUUUUAGACAAUAAAUAUCUUACCAUUCAAACCCAUAUUCUUCUUGAUUUCACAUGAUAAUCUCUAAAAAAAAGCUUUUUAGAUUUUAUAAUCAUUUUUAUUUUUCAAUUGAAUUAGAACCAUUCUAUCAAUCAUAUCCUUUUGCUUUCUUUUCUAAUACGGAAAAUAAUAAGAUAAUUUGAACUAAAAGAGAAAGGGAUAAGGUUAUUGAUUAAAGGAGAAAGAGAAGAUGGAAAAAUAAUGGAUGAAAUGAAAGAGAAAAGGUAAUGUGAAGUAUGAGAAAAAGAGAGAAGUCUAUUGAUUGGAAGAGAAAAAGAAAGAGAUAGGUUAAAUAAGAUAAAGUAGAGUAGGUCAGGUUAUUGAUUAAUUUAUUUUUUUUUAAAAAUCUAAAUUAUAAAAUAAAAGAAAAAAAAGUGAAAGAUGAAAAGAAAAAAUGACACGUCGACAUGCUAUCUUUGCUUCGUUCUCUACAACUUUUAUUGUAUGGAAGUGCCACGUAAAAGCCAACCAUGAGAUGCUUGACUAAUUUCCAAAUCUCCCCAUCCUCUUCUUUAGCAUCUUUUUCAUUUCUACCCAAGCAACUCUUUUCGAAAUCCACAAUGAGUGCUGUCCGGGCUGCAGCCUCUCGAGGAGGUGGGCGUCGCCUAGACCCAUGGCAAAGUUGGACCAUCAAUAAGCCUGCUGUCACAGCCAUGGCUCGUACAUGAGGUCGAACCAACUGCAACUUUGAUGCAGUGGUAGGGGUCAUUGCCAAACUGAUGACUGUGGUGGACUCCUAAAGUGCCAAGGCUGGGGUGCUCCUCCAAACACCCUGGCCGAAUAUGCCCUUAACCAAUUUGUUAACAUGGAUUUCUAUGACAUUUCCCUAGUUUAUGGAUUUAAUAUUCCGAUGCUGUUUGAUCCAACUAAUGGUGGUUGUCACAACAUCUGGUCCACUGCAGACAUUAACGGGCAGUGCCCUAAUGAGUUAAGGGUUCUAAAAUAUUUCAUGAUAUAUACUAAUACCAUAUGAAAGGCUAUAUACGAGGAAUCUGAUGAUUAGAUGCCAAAUUAUGAUACCAAACUUUAGCAUAUUUUCUUGGUCUUUGGUCGUCUAAGGGACCUAACCUAACCUAACCUAACUUUUGAGCACAUGCUCUAAAGUUUUAAAACUUUACACAUGAUCGAUCGAUCUUUAUUUUAUGUCUUUCAAUUAUUUAUCUUAUCUUUUGGUAUACUGAUAUUUCAUGACUAAACAGAAAUUAAGUUGCAUACUAACAGUACUUCUGGGUAGAUUUCAAGUGUUAAUUAGUAGUAUUAAAAAUAUUUACCCUCCCAUUCUGCUAAAAAGAGAGGAAAAAGAAGAAAAAGAAUAGCUUGAUGGUGAGAUUAGUACAGGACGAUUAGCAUAACCUUUUCUGGUACAUGAUCUUCUCAUACUUUUCCCUGAGCAAAUUGUCCUGUCAAACUAGCUUGGCUUUAAUAUUAUUGUAGAAAUAUCAAUAUAAAAUUAAAAUACUACAAAAAAUCCUUGUACUAUGUCCAAACUAGUCACUAUUGUUGCAAUUUAGGGAGCUGUGAUCCUACAGCUUUCGCUAGUUUUUUCAAGGAAAGGUGCCCCGAUGCUUACAGUUACCCUAAAGACGAUGAAACAAGCACAUUUACUUGUCCUGCUGGAAGUGACUACAAAGUAGUAUUCUGUCCUUGAAGAUGUUUUGGCUUCUAAGGACUGCUAUAUAUGUACCAACAAGAAAGCAGCGAACUCCGAGAUUAAUUUAUUUUGUUGGUUAAUUUAGGCAUGAUUGUGUGUGGCAGGAUUUUUUUUUUCUUGUAUCCAUGAUCCAUACUUGUUUGAUAUUAUUGUUUAUAUACGAGUCAAAGAAUGUUUUAUAUUGUAAUCUAUCAUUCAAUUAUCUUAAUCUUUGAAGAUAUUCAUCCUUAAUUAAUUUGAUCACUUGCAACAAAAAAGAGACUCUGGUUCCAAAUUGUCGAUUCUACUUAUGAUCCAAAUGGAAAGAAAGAACUAAUUGGCUCUAAAGUUUUUAUCUUUGGUGCAAUAAAACAAGGUAGAGAGAAAAUAUGAAAAUUUUUUUAUUUUUUAUAUUGUUACAAAACUAUAGUCUAAAGCCAAUGAUCCCUCUUUCUAAGAAUUUUCUUCUUCUUUUUUUGGGUUUUUGUAUUUAUUUUUAACUACUAACAAAAAUUGUUAGAUAUUUUGACUUCAUGAGUCUUUGGUCUAGCCUAUAUGUAUCCCACUCAUAAAUUGCAUUCCACAGAAUAAAGGUUCUUCCAAAAUUAAACUUUUACUUUUCCUCUUUCUCCUGAUGUGAUUUUUUAAGUCAAUUCUUAAUGUUUUAGGUGGAUUCUUUUUAAUUUGUGAUUAAAUAAUUUCAAAAAUAUAUAGUAAAAGAAUUGAAAUUUAUAUGCGUGGUACUCUCUCUCACGAGGGUUAGUCAUCCAAAGAAAUUCUAUCCCCUUCAUUCAUUAAUCUUUGGAGGUAUUUAUUGUCGAGUAAUUUGACACUGAAAAAAUAUAGUAGAGCUUGACACUAGCUUUGAUUAAUUUUGGCCCAAGAAAAAUAAAAGAAAAUUUACUAACUUUCUUAAUAUAUUAGAGUUAGACCUGCAUGGGAUAAUUUUUUAUUUUUUAAAAUUAUAUUUUAAAUAUAAGAGAAGUAAAAUUUUUGUAUUGAGUUUUUAUGGAUAAUAAUAUAUAGAUAAAUAUAAAUGUAUUUAUUUUUUAAUUUAAAUUAUAACUUAAUUAUAGAUAAAUUUAAAUUUUUAUUAAAUUAAAGUAUUAAAUAAUAUCGUUAUUAAUAUAAUAUAUAAGAUAAAUUAAGUAAAUAAUAAAAUAUAUUCUUUUAUAUAUCCUAAGAAGGGUUGAGGUAGAGUAUCUUAAACUUGAUCUCGACUUAAUCCAAAUUCAUUAAAGAGACAAAACUUAACUCAAUUCUUAUUUUAAAAAAUCGCAUUAGUUGAAUUGUGGUUAAUUGAAACCUAUUGAAUUUAGGUUGUUUUAUCAUCUUUACAUAUCCAUUGAUUUUUUUUUCUUUACAAAAUUUAUCUAAUAAAUAGAAUUAAAAAAAUAACAGAAAAAGUUAAAUGGAAUGGCCCAUGAAUUUAUUAAAUUAAGAUGUUAAAUAAUAUUUUUUAAUAAUAUAUAUAAAUAUAGAAUUAAAUAAAUAAUAAAAAAUAUAUUUUUUAAUAAAUAGUAAGAUCAAAGCAUAACAUUUAAAUUCUUGCUCCGACCCGAGCUCAAUUUAGAAAACACUCAAUCCAAUUAUCCUAAAUUAAAGAAAAAAGCACAUUAAUUGGAUCGGAAUGAAUCGAAACCUAUCAAAUAUAGAUUAUUUGAUCAUCUUUUUCUUAGUUGAUUUUUUAUUAUAAAAUUUAUCCGAAAAAAAAGUAAAAGUUAAAAAAAAACCCAAAAAAAGUAAAAAAAUUUAAAAAUCAAAUAAAAUAAAAAAGGAAGGUGUCACAUGGACGUUUAAGACUGGACAAAAUACCUUAAAUUCAUCUCCAACCCGAUCCCAUUUAAAAAAAAAAAAAAACUCGAUCUAACCUUGAUUUUUUUUUUAAAAAAAUGCCCUUAUGUUUAAUUGUUAUGAAUUAAAACUAAUAAAAUACAAAUUGCUUUACCAUCCCUACCUCCAUCAAUUUUUUUAUAAAAUUUAUUUACUAAUAAAUAAAUAAAAUAAAUAAAAGUACAAAAAAUAAAAAGUAGAUUUAAUAAAAAAUUAACAAAAAAGUAAAAAGUAGAAAUUGAGGAAGAGAAGGAUGCUAUGUGGACACUCUUUUCCUUCCCUCAUUCUUUAAAAAAUUAAGUAUAUUAAAUAAAUAAUAAAAUAUAUUUUCUUUAUAUAUCUUAAAGAGGAUUGAGAUAGAACACUCCAAAUCCAAUCCAACUUGAGCAAAAUUAUUUAAAAAAGUAAAACUUAAUUUAAUCUUUAUUUGAAAAAAACUUCUUUGGUUAGAUUGCAACAAAUUAAAACUUAUAGGAUAUAGAUUAUUUUAUUACUCUUGCAUCAUCUAUUUUUCUUUCAAAAUUUAUCUAAUAAAUAAAAUUUUUUUUAAAAAAAGAAAAUGACAAAAAAAGUCAAAUGAGAUUACACUUGAAUUUAUUAAUUUAAAGUAUUAAAUAAUAUUUUUUAAUAAUACAUAUAUAAUUAAAUAAAUAAUAAAAAAUAUUUUUUUAUAUAUAUUGAGGCAAAGGUGUAACAUGAAAAAUCUUGCUCUAAUCCAAGUUCAAUAUACAAAAGCUCAACCCAAUUAUCUUGAACUAAAAGAAAAGUGCAUCAAUUGAAACGAGACGAAUCAAAACCCAUUUAAUACAGGUUAUUUUGUCAUAUUAAUUUCAAUUAACUUUUUUAUUACAAAUUUUAUCUAAUAAAAAGUAAAAGUAGAAAAGUUGAGAAAAAACACGAAAGGAAGCAAAUAAAAAAAAGCACAAACUUUAAAAAAACCAAAAAAAAAAGAGGAUGUGUCAUGUAGACGUUAAAUGAGGCAAAACAUUUUAUAUCAUAAUGUUUAGGUUGGGAGAACCUACCUAUUAGAUACUAAAAUUUAUGGAGUUGCCAUCAAUAUUUUUUUAUCUAGGUGUGAUUGACCAUCUAUGUGAAUCUAUUCUUUUUAAAGUUAUCUUAAAUGUAAACUAAAGUUCUCUGAAAAAAAUAGAUUUUGAUCUGCAUUAUCAAAACUAAGAUUUGGAAGUCGGUUAUAUACAAGAAAGAUAUUAGCACUCCUUUACGCCUAAAAUUUAUAUCAAAUUAAUUAUAUGUUAUCUUACUUAAGCCUUAAUCAAAUAUGACUUUUGUCAUGCUAAUCAAUUCCAAUCCUUUUAUUUAUUUACAUACGAUGGUGGAACAAAAAUUUUAUCAAAAUAUCAAGCAAUCAUACAAUCAUGCAAUAAAUAUUAAAUCAUAUCAUAUAAAAAUUAUCAUGCAAAUAUAUUAUAAAUCAUACCAAAUAUCAUGUAAUAAUAUCAUGCCUAGAUCAUACAAAAAUGUCCUACAAAUACAUUAAUUAUCAUGUAAUAAUAAUAAUCAAGUAAAUAUAUAAUAUCAUAUAAAUAUAUUAUCAUGCAAUAAUAUAAAAUAUCAUAUAAAUAUAUCAAUAACUAUUCAUGUAAAUAUAUAAUCAUGAAAUCAAAUAUAAUUACACAGAUAUAUUAUAUACAAUUAGGCAAUUAUGCACACAAAUAAUAUACAAAUUUGUUAAAUAGAUACAAAAUGCUACUUCAUUUUCUUAAGGGUAAAAAUAUUAAUCAAAAUUUCCUAAUUUAUGCAUGCUAGAUUAAAUUCUUAUUAAGAAAUUUUUUUUUUUCUUUUUUGGGAAAGAUUAAAGAAAGUAGAUGUUUUAAUCUCAUCAUUCUUGGAUAAAUUCAAUUCAAUAGUAUUCUCUUGUCAAUGUUGCAAUAUUAUUCAUAUGUUAAUAGUUUUAGAUGACUUCUCUGAAUGACAGCAUGCCUUAAAACUUUCUAAGUCGGCAAAAAUUAGAAAUUAAAAGAUAACAUAACUUGAAGAAAUUACAAAAAAAUAAAAGAAAAAAUAAAAAUUUAAUCGAAAAUAAUAUUUUCAAAAAUUUAUCAACUAAAUUAUAGUAAAAGUCAUUAGUCAAUUUCUCAUGGAAAAUAGUUUGUUUGAAGCAUGUGAGAGUUCAUAAGAUUUUGUUGUACUAUUAUCCAGAUUUUCAGUUACUGUGCGGACUGAAAAGCUGACAAAAAUGUUGCUAACACCGCAAUUUCCGGGACAGAACGAAAUUUAAAGUAGCGAAUGGAGUGGUCAUCACAACCUACCUUUAGGAACUUGUCAAAAUUGAGGACUACAUAAACUCUAAACCAAAAUGACCAACAAAAGUCAUGUUCCACACAUCAAUUUAUUUUACGCAAAAGACUUCUCAUCAAUGUCCUCUAAUAAUUCUUCUCUUUCUUUUAAUAGUAUUUCUCGAAGACUUUUCUUCGCUCUGUUUUAUUAGUACUGCCAUGCUCUAAUUUUCGCAUCGCAUGAUAACCAUCAAAGAUUAAUACACGAUUUGAAAUAACAAAAGAUUUUUAAAAUAGUAAAAGAUUAAUUAAUUAAGUAUGAUCAUUCAAUUAAAAAUUUAAGAAAUUAAAGAAAAUUAAGUUAAAAUUAAGUUUUGAUAAAAAAAAAUUGAUUAUCCGUGUAAAAAAAAGGACUGCUAUGACUUUUAAGAAAACAUAAAAAUUUUAUUAAGAAAAUGAAUUUGAGCAAUCAGAUGUUCAAUUAGAGCAAUCAAUUUCCCUGCCUAAAAACAAAUUUCAUCAUAAAUUAAAUAACAUUAAAGCAAUCGGAUGCUUAUGUAUGACAUUUAUUUAUGUAUAAAGUAUCUAGAUUAAUAAUUUAAUCUAUAAUUAUUUAAAAAAUAUUUUCUUCAUUAUGUGAUUUUGGUCCACUUGUUCUAAUUUUAAUGAUUUUAAUCCAUAUAUUUUUUAAGAUAAAGAAUAACAAUGUUAAAAAUUUUCUAUUAAAUUGAUUAUAUGAAAUUUUUGUUGAUAAAGUAGUAAGUUAAUCUGUUUAUAAAAAAAAAAAAAAAAGUAGCAUGUUAAUCUGAAAUUUUUUAUCAGAACAUGACAUAUAUUAGUAAGGAAGAACUUUAUUUUUAAUAAAAAAAUAUAAAUACUUUUUUAGAAAUUUUUAAAAAAUGGUACACUGAUCUGAGCGCUAUUUUUAGCUAGUUAUUCAAGGACAGUUUCUAUAUGGACUGCCUAACAACGUAUGAAUCUAAUUCUUGACUAACUUGAGAUCAAGCCAAAUUCUAUUAACAUCAUCACCAUCUCCCAAUGUUUCCAACAAAAUUCUAUCACGCAAUCACAACUGUAAAUCAUCGACAGCAAUGCCACGGCCACCCCACCUCUAUAUAAAUCUCUGCACUUACACUCCAAAACACCACAAAUCCAUCAACAAAAUAUCAGUAGAGCAUAGCCAACUUGUUCACUAAAAUGAUGAGUACAUUAAAUAUGGAUUAUUUUAUUAUCUUUAUCUUAUUGGAUAAAAGUUAUUUUGUUAUUUUUAUUUUAAUUAAUUUUUUAUUAUAAAUUUUAUCUAAUAAAAAGUAAAAGUAAAAAAGUUUAGGAAAAAAGAAAGGAAACCAAAAAAUUAAAAAAACAAAGAAAAAAACGAGACAAUGUGUCAUGGAAAUAUUCAAAAUAGGAUAAAACAUCUUAAAUCCAACUUUCAUUCAAUUUUAUUUAAAAACUGUUCAAUUUGAACUCAAUUAAAAAAUACAUUUAUAUUAAAUUGAUAUAAAUUGAAAUCAAUCGAAUACGAAUUGUUAUAUCAUUUUCAUUUUUAUUAAAUUUUUUAUAAAAUUUAUUUAAUAAAAAUAAAAAAAAUAAAUUUAAUUAAAAAAAGAAUAAAAGAAGGGAGAAGGUGUCACGUGACCACCUCAUUUUUUUUUUUUAAUUCUUUACAAAUUAAUAUAAUGUUAAGUGAACGUCUUCUUAUUGCUUACACCCCUAGGCUCGUAAUUGGUAAAUCUUAUCCCACAAAACAAAAUCAAGUAUUGAAUUUUUUGGAGGUUUCCUCCGAUUAGGAAUUUUACAUUUCCUCGUCAAUUGCGUGAUAUGUUAAAGUCAAGGACGUGAAGUUUCUGCUUUUCUGGAUGCUACUCACAUGCAACAUACAUAGAUAUUGGCCAUUCCUGGACCCAGGUAAUAAUUAAUAAGAAGUUGACAACGAUGCGAUCUUGACUUGUCUCAAGAUGAAAAAAACAAGCGUUAAUUUCAAGGCACGAAUUUUCCACAAAUAUUUUAUUUACGUUCAUAUCAAUAGACCUUAGGAGUCUAAUUGAUUAAAUUUAAAUUUAAUUUAAAAUUUAAAAUUUAAUUUAAAUUCAAUUAAAUUUUAAUUUAAGAUAAAAAUUAAAUUAUUUAAAUUUAUUUGAUUAAAUUUAAUUAAUAUAUAAAAAUAAAUUUAAUUUUUAUAUUUGAUAAAAAAUUAAUUAUUUGUGUUUAAAAUUAAAUUUAAAAUAUUUUAUUAAUUAAAAUAUUUUAAAAUAUAAAAAUUCAAUUAAAUUUAUAAACUAUUCAAAUCAAAUAUAAAAAUAUUUAAAUUUGAUUCAAUUUAUAAAUUAAAUUAUUCAAACUCAAUUUAAUUUAAUAAUUAAUUUAAAUUUAAAUUUUAUUUAAAUUAAACUUAAAUAAUUUAUAAAUAUUAAUAUAUUAUUCAUACCCUUAAUCAACACGCACCGACCGAAAGCCCUUGCUCUUUUAUAAAUCAACCUUUUCCCUCACAAACUCGAUACGAUACAAACUAAUUAUCAAAAUUCCAACAGUACUUCGCCUUUUUCGCAAAAAUGAACUUGAAAAGCCUCUCUCUGUUUUCCUUCUGUUUAAUUGCAGUUUUCUGCUUCACGGUGGCCAAUGCUGCCACUUUUAACAUUCGAAACAACUGCUCCUACACGGUCUGGGCAGCAGCCUUGCCCACCGGUGGUGGAAGGCAGAUGAACAGUGGUGAAGUCUGGGACCUAAAUGUGAACCCCGGUAACACAGGAGGUCGUAUCUGGGCUCGAACUAAUUGCAAAUUUGAUGGAGCCGGGCGUGGCCGAUGCCAAACCGGUGACUGUGGGGGGCUCCUGCAGUGCCAAGAUUAUGGUGAAACCCAAAGACCCUGGCUGAAUUCGCACUAAACCAGUUCAAUAACUUGGAUUUCUUCGAUAUCUCUCUAGUUGAUGGAUUUAAUGUUCCUAUGGAAUUUAGUCCAACUUCUGGAGGGUGCACCAGGGGGAUUAGAUGCACAGCAGAUAUCAUCGGACAGUGCCCUAAUGAGUUGAGAGUCCCAGGAGGGUGCAAUAAUCCUUGCACUGUUUUCAAGACUGAUCAAUACUGUUGCAAUUCUGGGAACUGUGGUCCUACGGAUUUCUCCAAGUUCUUCAAGACAAAGUGCCCUGAUGCUUACAGUUACCCUAAAGAUGAUCAGACCAGUACAUUUACUUGCCCUGGUGGGACUAAUUACAAGGUUGUCUUCUGCCCUUGAACUUAUAUUGCAUAGAUAUAUAUUACUAGUAUUGGCCAUUCGUAUAUGACAUGGUAAAAUAAGCUUCACAAGCUUGUACAUUCAUGGAAUGAUGAGGUUUAUGAAAUGAACGUUUUAUAAGCGUUAUAUAUAUCUAUACUCUACAAAUUUGCUGGUAUAGUCAAUACUCAAUUAGUAGUAUAUUAAAAGACAAAAAAUAAUGCAAGCUUCUUACUCUAAUUGUGAGGCCUUUCUCCAUUGGUUGGAGUAGAAUGAAAAAGCAUCUAGUUGAUCUCAAAGGGGUAUAAUUAAAAUUGUUUUAUGAUAGCAACGUUCUUGGUCUAAUAAGAUGUCGAUUGUGGGAUUAAUGGGAAUUGAAGAUAUUUAUUACGAUUUUGUAUCGGAGAUAAAAGAAAAGAAAAAGAAAUAGAAAAGAUAAAAAUAGUAUACAUUAAGAGAUGGCAUGAAUCAAAUAAAAUUCUAAUAUUUAAUUUUUUAUCUUUAAGUUGCAACACAAUUGACUAGAAAAAUAAAAGUAUCAAGUAUUUGUCUCAAAUGAAAGGGGCUUUUUUUUAUUUAACAUAGCUCCUAAAAGAUUUUUUGUGAGAACUGUCUUGACAAACACUUUUAUUUCAUAGUAUCUGUAGAAAUUCUAUUUUGACUACAUCCAAAUUUUCAAUUUUGAUUUUGUCAAAAUUGUCGAGCUUUGAGCCCAAUAUAUGUUAUUUUGAUUGUGGCUUUGCCCCAACAAAUAUUUUAUUUUUAUUUUUCUUAUUAUUUGUUUGUUUGUUUUUUAAUAAAAACUAAAUAAAUAAAAAAAAGAAAAUCAAAUAAAAUUUUUUGAAAAUCUUGUACAAGAAGCGAGAAAAGAGAAAUUUUGAGAUUUUUUUUUUAACUUACAUGAAAUAAGAAAUCAAAUAAAAAAGGAUUACAGAGCAUCAAAGCUAGGGUCCUGUUAAAUUGAUUUUACCUAAAUUAAAGGGAUUUUAAAAAAUCUUUGAAAAUCCUUAACAAUCAAUGGAACCUUAAAAUUUCUAACUAAAAAAUCACUAUAAAUUGUUCGAAGGCAAACAAAGAACACAAAUGGAAAAAAAAUAUUAUAUGAAAACUCUUGAGAAAAAAAAAAAAGAGGAAAAUCAUUCAAAAAAAAGAUACAAUUUUCUGGCAUUUGAUUUUUUUUUUUUUGAAUUCUUUGCAGAAUCUAAAAUUGUAAGGAUUUAUUUUUGUAAGCUGCGCAGCCUAACCACUUAGUCGAGUCGACUUCAAAUAUUUUAUUUUUAUUUUUAUUUAUUUAUUUAUUUGAUUAUUUAUUAUUCUUUAAAUAUAUUUUUAUAAAAAUAUAUUUAAAUAAAAGCUUUACCGACAGAUUGGAAGAUAAUCAUUUUUUAAAAAAUAGGGUUUUACCAACAUAUUGAAAAAUUUUACAAUCUUUUUUUUAUUUAAAAAAAAUUAAAAUAGAAAAGCCUUACUAAUAGAUUAGAGGGCCAAUAUUUUAUUUUGAAAAUAAGGUUUUCCCAACAUAUGGAAAGUUUUAUAAUUUCCUAAAAAAACUAGUUUUAAAAAAAAUAAAAUAAUAAAAUAAUAUUUUUUGUAUUUUCGCAUAAAAUCCUACUAACUGAUUGGAGGAUAAUUUUUAACAGAAAGUUUUACCAACAGAUUGAAAGAUAUUUCUGACUAUAAAUAUGGUUUAUAAGUAUUUAUUUUUAUAAGCAAAAUUAAGUGAAUCUGAUGAUGAAGUCUAUUCAAAACGUGACAAAUAAUCUUCUUGACUACUCCUGAGGUAAGAAAAUAUUCUUAAAUUAUUACUAACAUAUUUGAGUAAUUUAAGAAAAAUUUUUAAUAUUAAAUUAUUUGAUAAAUUUUAAUUAUGUUUUAAAGCUUGGAUAACUUGAAAUCAGACUGGUACCAUUUUUUAGAUGGGUGCUGUGAUGGUGCUAUAACUUUUUUCAUUAUAACCAUACUCUUGAACCUAAAUUUUAGUUUUAUGGACUAAAAUCUACUAUUUAAAGAUACCUAAGUUAAUCUUAGGACUCAUCUUUUAAUGGAAUAGAUUUUGUCAUGUAACUAAUUACACUUUAACAAAAAAGAUUGAUGGUGACUCCUUUAGUUUAUGUCUAACGAUAGGUCUACAGAUCUAUAUAUUAUAAUAGUUUGACGACUCUAUUGGAGAGAUCGAAAGUUAAGACAGUAAAUGAUUUCUUGUUAUCCAAGCCUAACCUAAUAAAUUUAAGAUUUUUUUCCUCUUGCUUGUAUUUUAUUUAUUUAUUUAUUUUAUAUAUCUUUCAUUCAUUUGCAUAUGUAUAACAUGAACUUUACAAUCGAGUUUUGUCCUUUAUGAAUGAGUAAACUACCUACGCCUUUAUGAGAUUUUAUAUUUUCGCAUCAGCUAAUAAAAAACUCUCACUCAAAUUAAAUCAUUUUCACUUGUAGCCUAUAAUGGGUAAGAAUUGAAAGUGUCUUCCUAGUUUAUAAUAGACAAUAAUAUAAGAAACAAUUUGGAAACCUUUUGAUUGUCAAAUCUUUGAACCAACAUAUAAAUAAACCAUAAAGGUCCAAACCUAAGUUAGAGCCAUACCUUUCUUUAUGUUAAAAAUUCCUAAAUAUGACAUAUGAUGGAAAUUUUAUUCUAUUUGUAAAUUUAUGUAUCGUUUUUUCUAUAUAUAUUAUUGGCAUACUAACCUUUUUAUGUUAUCCUUAGUAUUUAUACAUUUUUCUUUGUAUAUAUUAUAUUCCUAUUAACUCGUUUUUUUACUAUACAUGCAUUCAUAUCAUUAGAUUUAACAUAAAGAGUAAUUGUCACAAAAUAAUUUUAAUAAAAAAAUCUUAAUUACAUCUAUGGAAAGCCUAGCAAGGCUUUUUACUAGCUUGAAAAGAAAGUCCGAAGAGUUGAAGUUUGUAAACAAAAGGCUAAAAAGGGAAGUUCAAGCACUUGAACAAGAAAAUGAUGAAUGAAAAAUUUUGUUCGCUGACCUUAACACAACAUGGUCAUUUACCAACCGAGAAUUGGUCCAACUUUUAAAAGAAAUUAACAGUUGCAAGCAGAGCUACAAGAAAAAGAUGAAACAUUCUUUGAAGCACAAAGGUACAUCUAAAUGCUAAUGGAGUUAUAGUUAAAAUUGAAACACAAAUGAGAGCUGUGAAAGAAGAGUGCGAGCAAUUAAAUGAAGCAUAUGUGAGAAAACAUAAUCAGUUGGAGUCCCUAUGGGACCAAAUCACUAUGGUUACUUACAAAGUUGAGGACAUGGUUAAAAAUAUUGAAAAAUGAAAAACAAGGGUGCCACCAGUAAGAACACAUGGCCAAGAACUGUUAGAUUUUCUUAAUGAAGUGCAAAGCCAGUAUCAACAAAUUAGAGAUUUCUUUCCUCAAUAAAUUCUAAACUUUUCAUGUAUAUAAUAUUGUAUUUGGUAAGAAAUAACUUUUAAUUUAAUAAAGAUUUUCUUUGAUAAUAAUUAUUAUAUAGUUAUAGACAUCUUAUUUUGUUCAAGAAUUUUUUAAAAUUCAUUGGGUUUCAAAUUUUAAUUUUAAUUGUGCAAUUGGGCCUUAAUUGAAAAAGUGAAUUUUAGGCUCAGAGAUUAAGCCAUGAAUUUUAUUUGUAUUUUCAUUUUUUUAGUUUAAUAUUUGAUUUAAUUUUUAUUUUUUUAGUCAAAAGAGACAAAGUCAAUUGGUAAAAAAAAAAGAAAAAAAUAUAAAGGAAAAAAAUGUGAGAUUUUGCAUGAAAAAUCUUAGAUUCAAUUCAAGUCUUGGAUUCUAUCUCAGAUUUUAACUUUAAUGAUUGAAUAAUUUUGGAAAGAUUUGGAGCUCAAUCUAUUGAAAAAGGAAAGAUUACACAGAGAAUAAAAUUUAGAGAGAAAUCAUAAAUUCAGAUAAAUUAAUUUUGUCCAAAUCAAAAGGGAUUUAAUUUUUAUGUAUGUACUUUGAAUAUAACAUCAAAAGGGGGCCCUUUACAGCAAUUGACUUUAAAAUCAAAUAGAAGUCAUUAAAAGAGAGAAAAUUUGAGCAAAAUUUUAAAUUAACAAGGAAGAAACAAUUAAGUAAAAAAUUUUUGCAAGAAGAUCUAAUCGAAGUUUUUGGAAAGAAGGCUAAGAUUUAUAAUAAGAAACAUUAAUUUUUGAAAGGUGAAAAAUUAUUAGAACCCAUGAUCUAUUGAGGUAAUGUUUACUUACUUUUUUUUAUGAUUUUUUCAUAACUAAUAUUUUUGAAAAAUUAUUAGAACCCCAUUUCAUCUGAGGCGUGCAUCCAAAUUUUCAGUUUCGAUUUUGUCAAAAUUGUUAGGCUUUAAGCCUAAUGUAUGUUACUUUGAUAUGGGCUUUGCUGAACUAAUAUUUUAUUUUUAUUUGUUUGUUUAUUCUUUCAUAAAAACUAAAUAAAUAAAAAAGAAAAGAAAAAAAAUCAAACAAAAUAUUUUGGAAAUCCUAUACAAGAAUCGGGCAAAAAAAAAUUUUUGGGAUUUUUUCUUAACCUGUAUGAAAUAGAAAAUCAAAUAAAAAAAGAUCACAAAGCAUCAAAGAUAGUGUUUCUAUUAAAUUGAUUUUACCUGAAUUAAAAGGAUUAAAAAAUCUUUGAAAAUCUUUGAUAAUCAAUGAAACCCUAAAAUUUAUGACUAGAAAAUCCCUAUAAAUUGUUCUAAGGCAAACAAAGAACACAAAAGGAGGAAAAAUUAUAUGAAAACUCUUGAGAAAAAAAGGUGAGAAAAAUCAUUCAAAAAAAAAAUGAUUUCAGGUAGUAAGCCUUUUUUUUUUUUAAUUUUUUACAGAAUCUAAAAUUAUGAGGACUUAUUCUAUUAAGCUCUACAACCUAGCCGCUUAAUCGAGCCAACUCCAGGUUUUUUUUUCUUAUUUAUUUAUUUGAUUAUUUAUUAUUCUUUAAAUAUAUUUUAUAAAAACAUAUUUAAAUAAAAAUCUUACCAACAGAUUGGAAAGCAAUCAUUUUUUUUAAUAGAGUUUUACUAACAUAUUGAAAAACUUUACAACCUUUUUUUAUUUCAAAAAAAUAAAAAUAAAAAGCCUUACUAACAAAUUAGAGGGCUAAUAUUUUAUUUUCAAAAUAAAGUGUUACUAACAUAUUGGAAAGCCUUAUAAUUUCCUAAAAACAAUCAAGUUUUAAAAUAAUAAAAUAAUAUUUUUUAAUCUUUUUGCAUAAAAUCCUACUAACAGAUUGGGGGAUAAUUUUCAAUAAAAAGUCUUAUCAAUAGAUUGAAAGAUAUUUUUAACUACAAACUCAGUUUUAUAGGUAUUUAUUUCUAAAAGCAAAAUUAAGUGAAUCUGAUGACGAUAUCUCUUCAAAAUGUGAUAAAUAUUCUCCUUGAAGACUACUGAGGUGAGAAAAUAUUCUUAAAUUAUUAUCAACAUAUUAAAGUAAUUUAAGAAAAUUUUUUAAUAUUAAAUUAUUUGAUAAAUUUUAAAUAUGUUUUAAGGUUUGGAUAACUUGAAAUCAAACUGGUACUAUCUUUUGGAUAGGUGUUAUGAAAAUGUUAUAACUUUCUUCAUGCAUAACUAUACUAUUGGACUUAAAUUUUAGUUUCGUGGACUAGAAUCUACUAUUUAAAAAUACCUAAGUUAAUUUUAUGAGUCUUUUUUAAAUGAGACAGAUUUUAUCAAGUGACCAAUCACACUUUAACAAAAAAAGAUUGGUUGCGACUCUUUUAGUCUAUGUUUAGUAGUAGCUCUAUAAAUCUAUACGUUAUGACAAUAUAAAAUAAUUCCUAGUUUAGUGAUAAAAAUAGUUUAAUCCAUUGAAUUGUCACACUUUUAUAAGCUCUUUUAGAAAUUGAAAGUCAUGAUCAUUUUAGAUUGAAAGCUUUUUUCUUUAUAUGUCAAUGGUACUAUAUAUUUAACUUAAUUAUUCGAAUAGACCAAUUUGAUUAUUCUUAAUAAUUUAUUUGUAAAUUAAAACAUAUUUUAAAAUUCUAUUUUUUUAAAUAAAAAAUCACAAUUUGAGAAUAUGAGAAUGAAUAAGUGUCAAGAUUUGAUUCAUUUGAAUUUUUGAUUUAUUAGAUGUUACUUUUUAAUGAUAGUCGUAUAGAGCACAAGCAAAUAGAUUAAACAUCAAAUUUAUACUAUUAAUUUAGAGAAAUUAUCAAAUACGUGAAAUUUUUUAACUCAACAAUUAUGGUUAAAAUAAUAAAAUAUAUCUCUUAGUGUAUAUUUAAAAAAUAAAAAAAAUUUAAUUUAAAAAAUAAGUAUAAUAUGUAUCACCAUCUUAUCCUACUUGUGGAAUUAAAAAUUUUAUUUUCAAUAUAUCAUAUAAUUUUCAUUAAUUUAUACUUUAUCAAAAUGUAUACUACUAAAUAAAUGAAAAAUUAUUUAAUAUUCUAUUAUUGGAGUUUUUUAAUUCUAAGUUGACAAAAUGACAUAUGUCCCACUUUUUUAAAUUAAGUUUUUUUUUUAUUUUUUAAAUAAACACUUAAAAGAUAUAUAUCAUCCUAUUAAUCCCACAUAUGAAGUUAAAUAUUUUUUAUUGUCAUUAUAUUUGAUAAUUUCUCUAAAUAAAUAAAUAUAUAUUUAUGCAAAUAUACAUAUAGAGUAAUAUCAAUGUCUUUUUUAUAUAAUUAAUUUAGGGAAAUUGAUAUCUUAUAAUUUUUUUAAUAUUGUUAAUAAGGUAUGAGUGCAUUUAUGAUGGCAGGAAUUUAUUUAAUAUACAAUGCUCUCAUUGCCGGUCAUUUCUCUUUAGCCCUUGGAAGAAAAUUCAGUGGAAUUAAGUCCAAAAUUUCUUAAUUAAAGCGUGCGGGCUUAAAUUUCCUUCAUUGCCAAGUGUAAAAACUUUUUUCUAUUUUGGUGAAAAUGAUUCGAAGGUAGAUAAGUUUUAAGUUGUAAACUUGGGAUUAAACCUUUCAACUUCAAUAGCCGCUUUCCCUCUUGCAAGUUGCAAUUACUUGUUCAUUUGGCUAGCUAUAAGUGGACUCUCUAGACUAUGGACGGCGUGCGCUUGACUUGGCUCAAGUCGGCAAAAGUAGACAAUAAGAGAUAAAUAACAAAAAAAAAAAAUUUUUAAAUAAAGUAAAAAUGGCAUUCAAACAUAAUUUUUACAAAUAAAUCAAAGUAAAUUGCAGUGAAAAAGAUUAGUCAAUUUCUUAUGGAAAAUAGUUUGUUUGAUGUAUGUGAGAGUUCAUAAGAUUUUGUUGUACUUUUCUCCAGAUUUUCAGUUACGGUGCAGACUAAAAAAGCUGAGAAAAAUGUUGAUGACACCGCAAUUAACGGGACAGAACGAAAUUUAAUGCGGUCAAUGCGGAGGAUUUUAGACAAUAAUAUUAAAUUUUUUGACAUUAAGUGAAUAAUAAUAAUUAGAUCUAAAAAAUUAAUAUAAAUCAUUAAUUUUUUAAUUAUAAAAAUAAUUAUUUAUCUGUUAACCUAUUAAUCUCAUUUUAAUUAAUUACAUUAAAUAUUAUUCAUUAAAUAAAAUUAAAAAAAAUAAAUAAAUACAUUUAUUUAAAAUUCUUUAAAAAAAGGAUAAAAUAAUAUAAUAUUUAAAAAAUUUAAUUGAAAAUUGGUUAAUAUAAAAAUGUGAGAAUUAUUGUAAAUUGAUAAAUAAAAAGUGUUAGAAGUGUCGUAACACAUUAAGAGAGAGUUAUGAUAAUUUUAUACAUAAUAAAAGUAAAAACAAACAUAAAAAAAUAUUAUUAUAAUAUAGAUAAUUAAGUUGAUAACGUAAAAAAAUUAUUAUCUUAAAUCCAAAAAUUAAUUCUAAAACAAUAAAUAAGUAUUAAUGAAAAAAUGUAAGAAUAAUCAUAAAAUUAAUAUCAUUUAACGUAAAAUGAAUUAAAAGUGUCGUAAUACCCUAACAAAGAAUUGUAAUAAUUAUAAAUGUAAUAAAAAUAAUAUAUAUAAAAAGAUAUUAUUGUAAUAAAAAUAAUUAAAUUUGUAAUAUAAAAGAAAUAUUGUUACAAAUAAAAAAAAUAAUUUUAAACCAAAAAAUAAAAGUUAAUGUAAAAAAGUAAGAAUAAUUGUAAAAUUAAUAUUAUUUGACAUAAAAUGGUUAUAAGUAUUGUUACACUUCAAUAAAACAUUGUGAUAAUUCUAAACAUAAUGAAAAAUAUAAGUGUAAAAAAAAUUAUUAAAACAUAAAUAAUUAAAUUGGUAAUAUAAAAAAAAUUAGUAUUAUAAAUAAAAAUAAUAAUCUUACACUAUAAAAAUAGGUGUUAACAUAAAAAAAUAAGAAUAAUCAUUAAAAUUGGUAUUUUUUAUGUAAAAUGGUUAAUCAUGUCAUAACACCUUUAAGAAAAAGUUAUAAUAAACAUAAACGUAAUAAAAGAUAACAAAAAGCAUAAAAAGAUAUUAUUAUAAUAUAAAUAAUUAAAUCGAUAACAUAAAAAAUUUAUUAUUAUAAAUUCAAAAUUAAAAAAAAAAGUGUUUUAACUUUAAAAAGUUAGGGUAAUUGUAAAAUUAGAAUUAUUUUGCCCAAAAGUGUGUUAAAAGUGUUGUAAUAUAAAAAGGUAAGAAUAGUUGUAAAAUUGGUGUCACUUGACUUAAAAUAUAUUAGAAUUGUCGUAACACCUUGACAAAGAGUUAUAAUAAAUUUAAACGUAAUAAAAAAUAAGAAUAAGUGUAAAAAAUAUAUUGUUAUAACAUAAAUAAUAUUUUUGGCAAUGUAAAAAAAUUAUUAUUACAAAUAAUUAAUAAUUCUAAACAAAAAAAAGUGUUAGUAUAAAAAAAAUGUGAGAGUAAUCAUAAAAUUAGUAUUAUUUAGAGUAAAAUGAUUAAAAGUAUUGUAACACCUUUAAAAAAAAAAAAGUAGUAAUAGUUUUAAACAAAAUGAAAGGUAACAACAAGCAUAAAAAGAUGUUACUAGAAGAUAAAUAAUUAAAUUAGCAAUACAAAAGAACUAUUAUUACAAAUAAGAAAUAAUUUUAAAUAAAAAGUUAAGAGUUAAUGUAAAAUGGUGAGAAUUAUCGUAAAAUUGAUAUUAUUUAACGUAAAAUAGUUAGAAAUAUCGUUCCACUUUAAGAAAAUUUUGCAAUAAUUCUAAACGGAAUAAAAAUAAUAAUAAAUGUAAAAAUAUAUUAUUGAAACGUAAUAAAUUAGUAACAUGAAAAAAAUUAGUAGUAUAAAUAAAAAAUAAUAAUUCAAUUAAAAAAUAAGUGUUAACUUAAAAAUGUGAAAAUAAUCGUAAAAUUGAUAUCGUUCGGCAUAAAAUAUAUUAGAACUGUCGUAAUACUUUAAGAAAAACUUAUGAUUAUUCUAAAUAUAAUAAAAGAUAAGAAUAAGCGUAAAAGAUUUUAUUGUAGCAUAAAUAUAAGUUGACAAUAUAAAAAAUUAUUAUUAUAAAUAAAAGUAAUUCUAAAAAAAAAAAUGCAUGUUAGCAUAAAAAAGUGUUAUAAUUGAAAUUUUGGAAUCAUUCAAUGUAAAAUAUGUUACAAUGUCAUAACAUAAAAUUAUAAGAAUAGUUGUAAAAUUAGUAUCAUUUGGCAUAAAUUGGAUUAUAAGUGUCAUAACACCUUAAAAAAAAUUGUGAUAAUUUUAAACAUAAUAAAAAGUAUGAAUAAGUAUAAAAAAAUAUUAUUGCAACAUAAAUAAUAUUUUUGGCAAUAUAAAAAAAUUAUUAUUACAAAUAAAUAAUAAUUUUAAACUAAAAAAUAAGUGUUAAUAUAAAAAAGGUGGAAGUAAUUGUAACAUUGAUAUUAUUUGGCGUAAAAUAAUUAAACGUAUCAUAACACCUUUAAGAAAAAGUUAUGAUAAUUUUAAACAUAAUGAAAUAUAACAACAAGUGUAAAAAAAAAAAUUUAUUAUAACAUAAAUAAUUAACUUGAUAAUGUAAAAAAAUUAUUAUUAUUAUAAAUAAAAAAUAAUUUUUAAAAAAUAAGAGUUAACAUAAAAUGGUGAGAAUAAUCAUAAAAUUGAUAUUAUUUUAUGUAAAAUAGUUUGAAAUAUUGUUACACCUUAACAAAAAAAUUAUAAUAAUUUUAAACGUAAUGAAAAGUAACAACAAACAUAAAAAGAUAUUAUUGAAACUUAAUAAAUUUAUAACAUAAAAAAAAUUAGUAUUAUAAAUAAAAAUAAUUCUAAAUAAAAAAAUUAAGUGUUAAAGUAAAAAAAAAUGAUCAUUAAAUUGGUAUAAUUUGGUGUAAAAUACGUUUAAAGUGUUAUAAUACUUAAAAUAAAGUUGUGAUAAUUAAUUCUAAAUAUAAUAAAAUGUAACAACAAGUAUAAUAAAUUUUAUUAUAACGUAAAUAAUUAAAUUGACAACAUAAAAUAUUAUUAUUAUAAAUAAAAAAUAAUUUUAAACCUAAAAAAAGUUUUAACGUAAAAAUGUAAGAGUAAUCGUAAUAUUGAUAUAAUUUUACAUAAAAUGUGUUAAAGUAUUGUAAUGUAAAAAAGUGAGAAUAGUCAUAAAAUUAGUAUCAUUUUGUAUAAAAUAGGUUAAAACUAUCAUAACACCCUAAGAAAGAAUUUAGAUAAUUCUAAACAUAAUGAAAUAAAUGAACAAGUAUAAAAGAAAUAUUAUUUUAACAUAAAUAAUUAAAUUGACAACAUAAAAAAUUAUUAUUAUAAAUAAAAAAAUAAUUCAAUAAAAAAUAAGUGUUUACAUAAAAAUGUGAAAAUAACUAUAAAAUUUGUAUCAUUUAACAUAUUGUAUAUUAGAAAUGUUGUAACACUAUUAAAAAAAAGUUAUGAUAAUUCUAAAUGUAAUAAAAGAUAAAAACAAAUGUAAAAAUAUAUUAUUAUAACAUAAAUAAUUAAAUUGGCAACGCAAAAAAUUAAUAUUAUAAAUAAAACGUAAUUCUAAACCAAAUAAUAAGUGUUAACAUAAAAAAAGUAAAAAUAAUAAAAAUAAUCAUAAAAUUGAUAUCAUUUGAUGUCGUAAUUUUUACAAAGAGUUAUAAUAAUUCUAAAUGAAACAAAAAGUAAAAACAAGCGUAACAAGAAAUUAAAGUAAAUAAUUAACUUAACAAUGUAAAAGAAUUGAUAUUUUUAAAUUAAAAGAUUCUAAAUAAAAAAAUUGUUAACAUAAAAAGAUGAAAAUAAUCAUAAAAUUCAUAUCAUUGGAUGUUAAAAUGAGUUUGAAAUGAUUUAUCCUUGAAAAACAUUGUAAUAAUUCUAAAUGUAAUGAUAAAAAAAGUAUAAAAAUAUAUUAUUAAACGUAAAUAAUUAAGUUAGUUUUGUAAAAUAAAUUUAUAUUAUAAAAUUAAAAAUAUAUAAUCUCUUAUUUGUUAAAUUAAUAAAUUAAAAAAAUUAUGUACUUUUUUAACAUUUACUUGUUAACUUUUUUUUUUUUAUUAUUUUAAGUUAUAUUAUUAUUAUAAUUUAUUAUGAUAUAUCAUGAGAUAUUAUGAUAUCUUAUGACCUUAGAAUAAAAUCAAUAUAUUACGAUAUUACCGUAGAUAAAUCCGUGAAUGGAGUGGUCAUCAGCACAACCUUAUCUCUUUUAGGAACUAGUCAAAGUUGAGGACUAUAUAACUCUAAACCAAAAUGACUAACGAAAAGUCAUGCUCCAUGCAUCAAUUUAUUUUACCCAAAAGGCUAAUAUGUUUUUCUCAUCAAACAAACUAUUCUUUUUAUAGUAUUUCUCCAAGACUUUUCUUCUCUCUGUGUUUUUAAUACAGCCAUAUUCAUAAUUUCCGCGUCGCAGAAUAACCAUCAAAGAUUAAUCUACAAUUUGAAAGAACAUAAUAUUUUUAAAAUGGUUGAAGAUUAUUUGAUUAAGAAUGAUAAUUUAAUUAAUAGUUUAAGAAAUUAAAUAAAAAAAUAGAAUUAAGUUUUGAUAAAGAGCAAUUGAUUAUCUAUAUAAUAAAAUAGACUGCUCAUGAUCUCUAAGAAAACAAAAAAAUAGAUGUUAAGAAAAUGAAUUUAGACAGUCAGAUAUCUAGAGAGGAGUCUAUUGCUCUACUUUAAAAGAGUUUUUAUUAUAAAAUAACACUAAAGCACUCAGAUGCUCAUGUAUGGCAUUCGAUUGUUUUAAUUUGAAAAAGUAUAUUUUAUGAAGAAUGAAAAUGUUUUUUUAAGGACAUUUAUUCAACUAAAAAACAAUCUUUUACUAUAAAAGAUAAAUAAUUAUAUCUAUAAUUAUUCAAAAAAUGCAUUUUUAAUUAAAGAAAGUGAUGGUUGAUUGAAUCAACUUAAUUAAAGGGUCCAAAACGCUUAAAAUUAUAUAAUUUAAUUCUUUAAAACAUAACAUCAAAGUCUAAAUAUGAUAUUUCUAUUAUCUUAAUUAUAUGAUUUUGGUCCAUUCGUUCUAAUUUUAAUGAAUUUAACCCAUAUAUUUUAAAGAUAAAGAGUAUCAAUGUUAAAAAAUUUCUAUUAAAUUGAUUAUAUGAAAAUUUUGUUGAUAAAGUAGCAUGUUAAUCGGUUUAUUAAAAAAAUAAAAAGUGGCAUGCUAAUCUGAUUUCUUUUUUUUAUUAGCACAUGAAAUACAAUAGUAAGGAAGAACUUUAUUUUUAAUAAAAAAAUAUAAAAACUUUUUUUAGAAUUUUUUUAAAAAUAAUACACUGCACUGAACCCUAUUUUUAGCUAGGUAUUCAUGGACAAUUUCCAUAUGAACUGCCUAACAAUGAAUGAAUCUAAUUCUUGACUUGACUUGGGAUCAAGCCACAUCCUAUUAACAUCAUCACCAUCUCGCAAUGUUUCCAACAAAAUUCUAUCACGCAAUUACACCUGUAAAUCAUCAACAGCAAUGCCACCGCCGCCCCACCUCUAUAAAAAUCUCCGCACUUUCACUCCAAAACACCGCAAACCCAUCAACAAAAUAUCAGUAGAGCAUAGCCAACUUGUUCACCAAAAUGAUGAGUUCCUUCAAAACCUUACCAACCCUUUCUUUCCUCUUUGUGACCCUCUUCAGCUUAGCCCAUGCAGCCACAUUUGAUAUCAGAAACAACUGCCCUUACACCGUCUGGGCUGCAGCGGUGCCAGGCGGUGGCAGAAGAAUGAACCGUGGUGAAACAUGGCAAAUCAGUGCAGCCCCUGGAACCACACAAGCCCGCAUUUGGGCUCGAACCAACUGCCAGUUCGAUGCUUCCGGGAACGGCAAGUGUGAGACAGGUGAUUGUGGCGGUCUCUUGGAAUGCAAGGGCUAUGGUUCAGCCCCUAACACACUAGCUGAAUAUGCGAUAGGUCAAUUCGCUAACCAAGACUUUAUUGAUAUCUCUAACAUUGAUGGCUUUAACGUUCCUAUGGAGUUCAGCUCAAACUCUCCAGGGUGCACAAGAGUUAUCAGGUGUACAGCAGACAUUGUCGGGCAGUGUCCGAAUGAGUUGAAGGUUCCUGGAGGAUGUAACGGGCCUUGUCCAGUGUUCAAGACUGAGGAGCACUGCUGCAAUUCUGGUAACUGUAGCCCUACAAACUUCUCCAGGUUUUUCAAGGAAAGGUGCCCAGAUGCUUACAGUUACCCCAAGGAUGACCCCACGAGCUUGUUUACUUGCCCCACUGGUACUAACUACAAGGUUAUAUUCUGCCCCUGAAGGGUUGGAAUGGUUUUAAAUCGUCUACACACAAAAUAUAUAGCUUAUCCGGUAUCAAUAGCAAUAUGUGGAAUAAAGGCAUAUGAAUGCCAUUUGAGCACAUUCCUUGAUGUGCAAAUGUUCUCACUUGUAAUAAAUAUUUAUCUGAUCAUAAAUUAAUGAAAAUUGGGGAUUUCCUUUUUCUUUUUCUUUUUGAGUUUUGGAUCAAUUCAAUAUUUUAUGAAAGGAUUUUCCCUUGAUUUUGAUUUUAUGUUCUUCUGUCUUUGUUUUUUUUUCUUUUAGAAUUCUAUUUUAUAACCUGGAUUCCUUAUUGUGCUUGUCAUUACACAUUACCUUAAUUUUCUAUCAUCAUUUUAUUUUAAUUAAUUCUUUUCUAAAUUAUCUUUGCUUUUUUCAUUUUUUAUUUAUAAACAAAUGAAAACUUUUAUAUUGUAAAAUUUUUUAAUUACAAUCUCUUUUGUAAAUAAUAAUAAUAAUGUAAUCUGCACUCGGCCCAAAAAAAAAAAUGUUUAUCUAAUCUAAUCUGCUCAUUCAAUAAAUACACAAUUAAUUUCUGGGCUGAAGCCUCAUCAGAUAUUGUCUAGUGUCUAUCUGUCUACUGACUCGACCUAGUUCGCCUAUAGCAGAAAACCGUGGCACCAGGCUCAGCCAGGGCUUGCAUCUGGGCCUUACUAAUUGCAUCUUGGGUGUCAAUGGACUGCAAGAGGUGGUCCUUGAAACCCAAAAAAGUAAAGCGUUUAACCAAAAUUAUCUUCGACUUUUUAUUAAUAAAUUUGGUUUCUUAAAAUUUACCAUAUAUGUAUGAAGCACUUUAUCUUUUUAAGGCAUUAUAAACGCCAUUUCAUGAUAUUAAUUUUUCUUAUAAACCAAUUUCCCCACCAUAUACCAAAUAAUUUGAUAUAUGUAUCAGAAAUGGAAAGUUGUUGAAGUUUGAUAAAUCAAGAAAUUAAGGAUAGCAAACCUAAUAAGCUUGAAAUAAAAAUAUUUGAAAGAUCAUCAAAGACAAAAAUAUACCUUUCUCUUUGCAAGCAAAAAUUGUACGGAAAAUUUGGGUUGAUUCAACCGGGCUCGAACACGGAUAGCAUGUCCAGGUAACCAUUAGUGUAGUAUGUGGCUACAACUAAACAAGACCUUUUUUUUUUAUAUAGUUUUAAUUUAUUCUUAAAUUUUUUGUCCAACUAUUUACUUAAUUGAAAAAAAAUUACUCCUAUAAAUUAUUUUAAAUUUAUAAUCUUUAAAUGUAAAUUUCAAUAAUAUAUCAACCGAUUCUAAAUCAAUUGACAACAAUUAGGAUUUCAAAUCCUAAGAAAGUUACAUAAUUUAUGUAAGAAUAUUUAGUCAACAAUUACGAGAUCAAUAGAUAUUGUUAAAAGUUAUAAAAUCUAUUGAUAAAAUAUUAAAUUUUUAGUAAUUAUAAUUUAAUUUUUAAUAAUUUAAGUAUAAAAAAAAAUAAAGAAUAUCGUUAUCAUUACAUAAUUUAUUUACACUUAAAAUCUUUAUCAAUGUUCAGGUUGGUUGGAAUAUCUUUAUCAUUAGACUAGGCCUAUUUCAUCAAUCAUUAUUUUAUUUCAUUCAAAAAAUAUUUCAAAAAUAAAAAUGAUUUUUGAAUGAAAAAUUUAAAACACAAUUGCGAAGUUAAUUACAGGGUUGUAUUUUGCCGCAGAGGCUCUCCUCAUCUGGAGAUGGUUGGAAGCAAGAGCCAAGAGUAAUGGUCUCUCCCCUCUCGGAGUUAAUUGCAGUGCCUCGGCGCUUGGAAAUAAAAAUAAAGUUUUUUGAUAAUGAAUAUGUUGUCGUGUUUGUAUUUCUUUUGUUUCCCGAUCGUGUUUUAUUUGAUGCGACGGUGAAAAGAAAUAAAGAUAUCCUUGUUUGAUUCACUCUAUUGAACUAAAAAUUUGGUUUUUCAGCCACACAAAACAAUUGGCAAUCAACCUCAAAGUUGAGUAGAGAUAAGGGGUGAGGUAGAUUUAUGAAGAGUCUAUCCAUGUAUAGUAAUAUCAACGUCUUUUUAAUAUAAUUAAUUUAGGGAAAUUGAUAUCUUAUAAUUUUCUUGAAUGCAUUUAUGAUAGCAGGUAUUUAUUUAAUAAACAAUGCUCUCAUUGCCGGUCAUUUCUCUUUAGCCCUUGGAAGAAAAUUCAGUGGAAUUAAGUCCAAAAUUUCUUAAUUAAAGCAUGCUGGCUUAAAUUUCCUUCAUUGCCAAGUGUAAAAACUUUUUUCUAUUUUGGUGAAAAAGAUUCGAAGGUAGAUAAGUUUUAAGUUUACAACUUAAAACUUGGGAUUAAACCUUUCAACUUCAAUAGUCACUUUCCCUCUUGCAAGUUGCAAGUAAUUGUUCAUUUGGCUAGCUAUAAGUGGACUCUCUGGACUAUGGACAGCGUGCGCUUGACUGUCUAAAGUCGGCAAAAGUAGACAACAAAAGAUAAAAAUAACGAAAAUUUUUUUAAAAAAAUAAAGUAAAAAUGACAUCCCAAUAUAAUUUUUACAAAUAAAUCAAAAUAAAUUGUAGUGAAAAAGAUUAGUCGAUUUCUUAUGGAAAAUAGUUUGUUUGAUGCAUGUGAGAGUUCAUAAGAUUUUGUUGUACUUUUCUCCAGAUUUUCAGUUACGCUGGAGACUGAAAAGCUGUGAAAAAUGUUGCUGACACCUCAAUUAACGUGACAGAACGAUAUUUAAAGCAGUCAAUGCGGAGGAUUUUAGACAAUAAGAUUAAAGUUGUUGACCUUAAUUGAAUAAUAAUAAUUAGAUAUAAAAAAUUAAUAUAAAUCAUUAAUUUUUUAAUUAUAAAAAUACUUAAUUAUCUGUUAACCUAUUAAUCUAAUUUUAAUUAAUUACAUUAAAUAUUAUUCAUUAAAUAAAAUUAAAAAAUAUUUAAUAAAUAAAUACAAUUUGUUUAAAAUUCUUAAAAAAAAAGACAAGAUAAUAUAAUAUUUAAAAAAUUUUAAUUGAAAAUUGGUUAAUAUAAAAAGGUGAGAAUUAUCAUAAAAUUAAUAUUAUUUAGUAAAAAAUAUGUUAGAAGUAUCGUAAUACUUUAAGAGAUAUUUGUAAUAAUUUUAAACAUAAUGAAAGUAAAAUCAAAUGCAAAAAAAUAUAUAUUAUUGGAAUGUAAAUAAUUAAGUUAACAAUGUAAAAAAAUUAUUAUCUUAAAUCCAAAAAUUAAUUCUAAAACAAUAAAUAAGUGUUAACAUAAAAAUAUAAGAAUAAUCAUAAAAUUAAUAUCAUUUAACGUAAAAUAAGUUAAAAGUAUCAUAACACCCUAACAAAGAGUUGUAAUAAUUAUAAACGUAAUAAAAAGUAAUAACAAGUAUAAAAAGAUAUUAUUGUAACAAAAAUAAUUAAAUUGGUAAUAUAAAAGAAAUAUUAUUACAAAUAAAAAAAUAAUUUUAAACCAAAAUAUAAAAGUUAAUAUAAAAAAGUAAGAAUAAUCAUAAAAUUAGUAUUAUUUGACAUAAAAUAGUUACAAGUAUUGUUAUACCUUAAUAAAACAUUGUGAUAAUUCUAAAUGUAAUGAAAAGUAAUAAGUGUAAAAAAUAUUAUAAAAACAUAAAUAAUUAAUUUAAUAAUAUAAAAAAAUUAGUAUUAUUAAUAAAAAUAAUAAUCUUACACCAAAAAAUAUGUGUUAACGUAAAAAGAUAAAAAUAAUCAUAAAAUUGAUAUUUUUUAUGUAAAAUGGUUAGACGUGUCGUAAUACCUUUAAAAAAAAGUUAUGAUAAACUUAAACAUAAUAAAAGAUAACAAUAAGCGUAAAAAUAUAUUAUUAUAAUGUAAAUAAUUAAGUUAACAACAUAAAAAAUUAUAAACAAAAAAAUGUUUUAAUGUAAAAAAGUAAGAGGAAUUAUAAAAUUAGAAUCAUUUGUCGUAAAAAUAUGUUAAAAGUGUUGUAAUGUAAAAAAAUAAGAAUAAUUAUAAAAUUAGUGUCACUUAGCAUAAAUUGGAUUAGAAUUCUCGUAACAUAUUGACAAAAAGUUAUAAUAAAUUUAAACGUAAUAAAAAAUAAGAACAAGUGUAAAACAUAUGUUGUUAUAACAUAAAUAAUAUUUUUGACAAAGUAAAAGAAUUAUUAUUACAAAUAAUUAAUAAUUCUAAACCAAAAAAAUAAGUGUUAGUAUAAAAAAAAGGUGAAAGUAAUCAUAAAAUUAGUAUUAUUUGACGUAAAAUGGUUAAAAGAAUUAUAACACCUUUAAGAAAAAAGUUAUAAUAUUUUUAAACAUAAUAAAGGGUAACAACAAGUGUAAAAAGAUAUUAUUAUAAUAUAAAUAAUUAAAUUAGCAACAUAAAAGAACUAUUAUUACAAAUAAGAAAUAAUUUUAAGUAAAAAAUUAAGAGUUAAUAUAAAACGGUGAGAAUUAUCGUAAAAUUGAUAUUAUUUAACAUAAAAUAGUUAGAAAUAUCGUUACACUUUUAAAAAAAAUUGUAAUAAUUCUAAACAUAAUGAAAAGUAACAACAAAUGUAAAAAGUUAUUAUUGAAAUGUAAUAAAUUAGUAGCAUAAAAAAUUGGUAUUAUAAAUAAAAAAUAAUAAUUCAAUCAAAAAAUAAGUGUUAAUGUAAAAAUAUGAGAAUAAUUAUAAAAUUGGUAUCAUUUAACGUAAAAAUAUUAGAUGUGUCAAAAUGCCUACAAAAAACUUGUGAUUAUUCUAAAUAUAACUAAAGGUAAAAAUAAAUGUAAAAGAUUUUAUUGUAACAUAAAUAUAAGUUAACAAUAUAAAAAAAUUAUUUUUAUACAUGAAAGUAAUUCUAAACAAAAAAAUGCAUAUUAGCGUAAAAUGUAAGAAUAAUUAAAAAAUUAAAAUUAUUUGGUGUAAAAUAUGUUACAAUAUCGUAACAUGAAAUGAUAAGAAUUGUUGUUAAAUUGGUGUCAUUUAAUGUAAAUUGGAUUAGAAGUGUCAUAAUACCUUAACAAAAAGUUGUAAUAAUUUUAAACAUAAUAAAAAGUAAGAAUAAGUAUAAAAAAAAAUAUUAUUGUAACAUAAAUAAUUUUUUUUUGCAAUAUAAAAAAUUUAUUAUUACAAAUAAAUAAUAAUUCUAAACCAAAAAAUAAGUGUUAAUAUAAAAAAAAAAAGUGAAAGCAAUUGUAAAAUUGAUUUCAUUUGGCAUAAAAUAAUUAAAAGUAUCGUAACACCUUUAAAAAAAAAUUAUGAUAUUCUUAAACGUCAUGAAAAAUAACAAUAAGAGUAAAAAAUAUAUUAUUAUAACAUAAAUAAUUAAGUUGAUAAAUAUAAAAAAAUUAUUAUUGUAAAUAAAAAAUAAUUUUUAAAAAAUAAGAGUUAACAUAAAAUGGUGAGAAUAAUCAUAAAAUCGAUAUUAUUUUGUAUAAAAUACUUUGAAGUAUCGUUACACCAUAACAAAAAAAUUAUAAUAAUUUUAAACAUAAUAAAAAAUAACAAAAAACAUAAAAAGAUAUUAUUGAAACUUAAUAAAUUUGUAACGUAAAAAAAUUAGUAUUAUAAAUAAAAAUAAUUCUAAAUAAAAAAUUAAGUGUUAAAGUAAAAAAAUAAAAAUGAUUGUUAAAUUGGUAUAAUUUGGGGGAAAAUAUGUUUAAAGUGUUGUAAUACUUAAGAAAAAAUUAUGAUAAUUCUAACUAUAAUAAAGUACAAGCGUUAUAGAUUUUAUUGUAACGUAAAUAAUUAAAUUGACAAUAUAAAAUAUUAUUAUAAAUAAAAAAUAAUUUUAAACCUAAAAAUAAGUGCUAACGUAAAAAUGUAAGAAUAAUCGUAAAAUUGAUAUAAUUUCACAUAAAAUGUAUUAAAAGUAUUGUAAUGUAAAAAAAUGAGAAUAGUCAUAAAAUUAGUAUCUAUAAACUAAGUUAGAACUAUUAUAACACCUUAAGAAAGAGUUGUGAUAAUUCUAAAUGUAAUGAAAUACAUGAAUAAGUAUAAAAAAAUUUAUUUUAACAUAAAUAAUUAAGUUGACAACAUAAAAAAUUAUUAUUAUAAAUAAAAAAUAAUUCAACAAAAAAUAAUUGUUUACAUAAAAAUGUGAGAAUAGUUAUAAAAUUUGUAUCAUUUAGCAUAAAGUAUAUUAGAAAUGUUGUAAACCAAUAGAAAAAAGUUAUGAUAAUUCUAAACGUAAUAUAAGAUAAGAACAAAUGUAAAAACAUAUUAUUAUAACAUAAAUAAUUAAAUUGGUAACGUAAAAAAUUAUUAUUAUAAAUAAAAAGAAAUUCAAAACCAAAAAACAGAUGUUAACGUAAAAAAGUAAAAAUAAUCAUAAAAUUGAUAUUAUUUGACGUCAUAAUACCUUUAGAAAGAGUUAUAAUAAUUUUAAACAAAACAAAAAGUAAAAACAAGUAUAACAAGAAAUUAAAGUAAAUAAUUAACUUAACAAUCUAAAAGAAUUGAUAUUUUUAAAUUAAAAGUUUCUAAAUAAAAAAAUUGUUAACGUAAAAAAAUUAAAAUAAUCAUAAAAUUCAUAUCAUUAGAUGUAAAAUGAGUUCGAAAUGAUUUAUACUCAAAAAAUAUUUUAAUAAUUCUAAAUGUAAUGAUAAAAAAGUAUAAAAAUAUAUUAUUUAACGAAAAUAAUUAAAUUAAAAUAAAUUGAUAUUAUAAAAUUAAAAAAUAUAUAGUUUUUUAUUUGUUAAAUUAAUAAAUUAAAUAAAAUUAUGUAUAUUUUUUAAUGUUUACCUGUUAACUUUUUUUUUUAAGUUAUAUUAUUCUUAUAAUUUAUUAUGAUAUAUCAUAAUAAUAUUUUAUUAGGAAUUAUUCAAGGUAUUUUCUUGCGUAUUAUGCCCUUAAUAAUCCAUAGAAAAUAUAUGAAAUGGAUUCUUAAAGGCGUUUUUAGGUGAAAGGCCUUCAAUAAUCCAAUAAAUAAGUUUUUAAUAGAAAUUAUUGAAAGUGAUUUUUUUCAAAAAUACCUUCAAUAAUCUACACACAAUAUUUGGUACGGAUUCUUGAAGGUAUUUUUUUUCUCAAAACGCCUUUAAUAUUUCACACAAUAUAUUUUUAAGUGGGAUUAUUGAAUGUGAUUUUGGUUAAAAAUGCCUUCAAUAACAUGUUGUUAUGAUGAUUCAAUGCGUUUUUCUUGUUAAAAAUACAUUCAUUAAUCGUAUUAAAAAAAUAUUUUUGAUAUUGUAUAUGUCAAGUUAGUUGUAGGUUUAUGCCUAAAAAAUAUUUGAUUUAUAUAUGUGAUACUACAAAUUACAUUUUGAAAUUUACAUAAUGAACAUUGUUGUAUUUCAAUAAAUUGACCACAUAUCCGAAAUUAAAACUGAUAACGUUGCCAUAUUAAUAUACUUUUCUAAAAUAAUCGUACUCAAUAAUAUAUUAAGUACACAUAGUGUAUUCAUAUUAAGUAUAUCAAUAAUAUUAAACCAAUUCCCUAAUGUACAAACUUAAAGUUUCCAUUCAACAUGGCAUGUUAAACACAUUAUAACAAUUUGUUCCUCAUAUUUACAUUUAACCAACAAUGUCUAACCUCAAGGUUUAUCAACAUUGAUAAAUGAUAAUACAUACUCACACCAUUCUUUACAGACUUCAUCCAGCUCCUCUUCCAUGAAGCUUUCUUUACUCUCCUACUAAAAAAAAAUCAUAAGUAAAUGUUAAUAAAUGAGAACAUAAUGAACCGUUUUAUUUUUAUGAAGAUAUAAUGAGUUUAUGAAAUUUAUACUAACCUUAAAGGUGUGGUCAUAAAAUCAUUUAAUACUAUCUCACGCAUAAAAUGAAGGAAUAAUAUCCACAUUCAGUAUUACCGAGUUAUGAGGUACCUGAAAAUUAAAUUGAAUGGGUUUAAGAAACAUUUAUCUACACAAACUUAGUAUAAAAGAAUAAAUUUGACAUUUAUCGAUAAUGACACCCAUUUCGAUUUCUUUUUCUUCUUAUCAAAUGCAAAUAUUACCCUAAAUUGAAAAGAAAUAAUUUACUUAAUACAUAAAUAAAAUUACUUAUGAAGAAAUAUAAGAUAUAUAAUAUAAUAAAGUGUAAUACCUCUUUAUAAAAGUUUGAAUAUCAAGGUUAGGCACCGUCGUUGGAUUAACUGAAUUAAGUAAAUAUGAUGUUAAGGAUUUGGUGUCAAUGAAAAUAAGCACUCAAUGAUGACUGUAAAAUAAUAACAAUGAUUUUACACAUCAAAUUAGAUUUGGGUAAUGUUGCAAUAAUUAAGGUUGAAAUAUAACUUACUGCGCAUUAUAAAUGAGCAAAUAAUAAUCAACCGAUCUUUUCAUGUAUUCAAUCACAUGAUUAGCACGAUAAGCAACUGUGCUACUUCGCUCACUAAUGAAGUUGGGAUCAACGAAUCUAAAUCUGUUGGUCAACUCUUUCCCCUUGAGCUCUCUAUAUAGGAAGCUGCAUGACAACAAUCAAUACUACUAGUUAGUAUUACACCCUAAUAUAGAUUAAUACAUAUUGAAUGUGCAUAUUUGUAUUUAUAAGCUAACCUUAUAUAAGCAACAAUAUCAACAGCUGAUAAUUCAUCCAGUUCAUCAAAUUCUUUAACCUCCUUCGGACCAAUGAAAAAAAAUGAUGGUUUAUCAAAUAAUCUUUUCUCAGAUUCAAUGGUUAUGAAGUUUCCUCCGGAUAAAUGCUCCAAUGAAUAUUUGGAUAACUCAUCCAUAGUAGCCUGAGCAAGGGUCAUACCGUAAGUUUCAACAUCCUACUACAAUAUUUAAUGAAAUAUAAGUAUUAAAACCAAAUUAAUAAAUAUAAUAAAUAAAUUAAUAUUAAAAUUAUAAACAAAAUCAUACUUCUUGGGUGGUAGCGGAAGAUAGGUUCGUUUCCUUACUUACAACGGAAGCUUGUCCUACGUGAAUGAUGCUACCAGACUGGCCUACUGGAAUAUUAUGUUGCAUUGCUGCCAACAUAGACUCCAAAGCAACGAGUCUUUGUUGUUGCUUUUUGAGGCAUUGCUCAUGGUCAUCAAUUUGUUACUGUUAUUGCUCAAUGAUUACUUCAUAUUGUGUAUUUCUCAUUCGUGAGGUUUUACGUUGAUUACUAAAAAAUUUUGAUGGCAAGACAAAUUUACCAACCCCUCGAACGUGACCAGGCCUGUCUUUAGCACUUAAUGCUAAAGACAAAAGAUCUUUGUCAUACUAGAUUAUCAGUUCACUAGAUUUGACUUUGGUAGCAUAAUCAUCUUGAAAGACAAUAAUAAGAUGGACUGUAACAACAAAUCUAUAUAAGCUAGUAUACAGUCAUACAUACAACCACAAUGCCAAUCAUACAUUAUAUUAAAAAAAGUAGUUAUACAUAUAAUUUUUUUUGCCAUUUCUUCGAUUGCUUCAUCUGUAAAUGAUCUAUCAUUCCAUAGAUGUCUUUGUUUCUAGACAUCUCAUCUGAAAACUUCGGUGCUAGAACUCGCUGAUUCUUAUUAAAUUACCGUAAUACAAGAAUCAGAAUGCAUGAAAUAAAUGUUCAUAAAUAUUUAUUAAUGAUGUUAAAACAAGUGUACGAAUACAUAUAAGCUCAUACUUCAUAUUUACAUAUCUCUUUCUCAUUGUCUGAUGAUGAUAUUAUUGUUUAGCCCGAAUGUUUUGUUGCUUUUCUUUGAUUUUCUACAAAAGAAAUAAAUUACAUCAAUCACAUAUGAAGAUCAAAGGCUAUAUUGCAUAAAGGCUUAUAAACAAUAUUUUUGGUAAUGGGUUUGCGUACUAAAAAAUCUUCUAAAAGUCGAUAUUGAACAAAAUUUAUCCAAUCUUCAACACUUAUCACAUCUUUAUAUGCCGUAAGUGGAGCAGCCAAUACAUCACCUUGAUCAACCAAAGGUAAAUAUAUUGGAUUGUCAAUCUGCUUUUAAAGUUUCUGAAUAUUUUUUCAGUAGAUUGCAACAUAAUCCUUUUACAGUCAAUUGAGAUGUCAAACGUUUCCUAAAUUAUUUAACACAAUUAGUAAGAACACAUUGAAUUUCAAUUAAAUGAUCAUUUAACAAAUUUUAUGAAAUAGUUGAAUAAACAUACCACAAUUGACUGCCAUAUAUCAUCUUUUAGAUCAUCAAAAACUCAUCGUCAAUCGGUGUACGUAAUUGAAAUUCUACGACGGACGAUGGCUCCAAUAUGAGUAACCAACUUGGCAACUUCUUCAGACACAGGCCGUUCACUUUGAUUGAAAUCAACAUGAAUUUUUGUGUCACUCACUUUAAUUUAUUUAUUUGGGCCCCUUCUUUUUUUUUUUUUGGGCUACAGGUGUGUCUUUUACAUGUUUAAUAGAAGGAGAAUGAUGUUGUUCAAAUACUAUAAUACCUUCGAUUUUGAUCAUAAUUAUAUGAAUUACACAAAAUGACUAUAUAAAUUUAACACUGUACGUAAUUAAAUGCAACCAAUACCAUACUAUGUAUAAAAACAUCAUUCAACAAACAAAUCAACAAUGUGCUUAGACACAUCUUUCAGCAAACCACUCAGAAAUACCAUUCAUCAAAACAUUCAAAAAUACUAUUUAGCAAACUAUUCAACAUACGAUUUAGCAUACCAAUAUCAUACAAUACCAUUCAGCAAAACAAUAUCACAUAAUACCAUUCGACAAAAUAAUAUCACAUAACAAGGUUCAGCAAAUCACAUUAUUAAUAGAAAACUACAUAACAAUAACAUACAUAUAAUGAUAGGUGCUUGGACGACUAUGCUUAUGGUGAAAUGAAUAAAAAUAUAUAUCCAUAUGUAAAUAGUAAUGAACCAAAAAAAAAUAACUUUAUCAAAUAAUAUAAAUAAUAUAAUAAAAAAAUUACAAAGAUAUACUAGUUAACAGAAAGGUGAGCACUAGUGAUUUGUUGAAGGUCAAUUAUGACGAUAAGGAUAAAGAAAUCAAAAGUCUGAUAGAAAUGUGUUUAUGGGCUUGGUUUGGUUGAUUAAUGUAGCUUUUAAUUGUUUUCUGUACUAACAGCUUUUGAGUCCAAUGUCCAAGAUAGGGAAUGAAUAUAAAAUUUAUUAUUGAAGGUAUUUUUUACUAAAAGAUGCCUCUAGUAAUCUAAAAAAUAAUUUUCAAAGAAAAUUAUUAAAGGUAUUUUUCUUAAAAAAAAAAACCAAAAACGCCUUUGAUAAUUUUGAAAAAAAAAUUUGAAGGCAUUUUCAAUAAACAACCGCCUUCAAUAAUUAUGUACAAAAAUUAAAAAAAAUUAGGGAAGGCAUUUCUCUAGAAUAAACGCUUUCACUAACCAUCUCAAAAUUUGAGUUAUGGAAUGUUGAAGACGUUUUUCACUAGAAGACGCUUUUAAUAAUCUCAAAAAUUUUAAGAGAAACUUAUUGAAGGCAUUUGUUCUCAAGAAACGCCUUUAAUAAUUAUGUACUUAAAUUAGAAGCAAUUAUUGAAGGUGUUUUUCAAGAAUAAACACAUUCACUAACCAUCUCAAAAUUUGAGUUGUGAAAUAUUGAAGGCAUUUUUCACUGGAAGACGUCUUUAAUAAUCUCAAAAAUUUUAAGAAAAAAUUAUUGAAGGCGUUUGUUCUAAAAAACCACCUUCAAUAAUUAUGCACGUAAAUUAGUAAUCUAAAAAAUAAUUUUUAAAAGAAAUUAUUAAAGGUAUUUUUCCUCAAAAAAUGCCUUUGAUAAUUCUAAAAAAAAUUAUUCAAGGUAUUUUUCAGUAAACAACCACCUUCAAUAUUUACGUAUAAAAAUUAAAAAUAAUUAGUGAAGGUAUUUCGCUAGAAUAAACGCCUUCACUAACCGUCUCAAAAUUUGAGUUAUGAAAUAUUAAAUGCGUUUUUCACUGGAAGAAGCCUUUAAUAAUCUCAAAAAUUUUUAAAAAAAAUUAUUGAAGCUGUUUGUUCUCAAAAAAUACCUUUAAUAAUUAUGUACGUAAAUUAGAAGAAAUUAGUGAUGACGUUUUUCUCGAAUAAAUACCUUAUUUAACCGUCUCAAAAUUUAAGUUGUGAAAUAUUGAAGACAUUUUUCACUGAAAGAUGCCUUUAAUAAUCCCAAAAAUUUUAAGAAAAAAUUAUUGAAGGUGUUUGUUCUCAAAAAACGCUUUCAAUAAUUAUGCACAUAAAUUAGAAAGAAUUAGUGAAGAUAUUUUUCUAGAAUAAACGCCUUCACUAACCAUCUCAAAAUUUGAGUUAUAAAAUAUUGAAGGUAUUUUUCAUUGAAAGACGUCUUUAAUAAUCUCUAAAUUUUUUUAAAAAAAUUAUUAAAAGCGUUUGUUCUUAAAAAAUAUCUUCAAUAAUUAUGCAUGUAAAUUAGAAUGAAUGAGUGAAGGCAUUUUUCUACAAUAAGUACCUCCACUAACUGUCUCAAAAUUUGAGUUGUGAAAUAUUAAAGGCGUUUUUCAUUGAAAGACGCCUUUAAUAAUUCAAAAAAUUUUAAGAGAAAAUUAUUGAAGGCGUUUGUUUUCAAGAUAUGCCUUCACUAACCAUCCUAAAAUUGAGUAAUGGAACAUUGAAUAUAUUUUUCAGUAGAAGAAGCCUUCAAUAAAUUUCUUAAAAAAAAAAAUUAGUCAAGGCAUAUUUCUGGAAUAAACGCCUUCAAUGACCCCUUCAAAUUUUAGAAGUUUAAUAUUAAAGGCGUUUUGUACAGAAGAUGCCUUUAAUAAGCCAAACGAUUUUUUAAAAAAAAUUAUUGAAUGCAUUUUUGGUAAAAAAUUACCUUCACUGAUAUUCAAGGAUAAAAAGAAGAGAAUUAUUGAAGACGUAUUAUUGCAAAAAAAUACCUUCAAUAAAUACACCAAAAAAAUUAGAUGAAAUUUUUGAAGGCAUUUUUGGGGCGUAAACGCCUUUAAUAAUCCUAAACUAGUAUACUAUGACUUUGUUGAUGGCGCCUAUAAUAUAUUCAAAAAAUAUUUAGGAGAAAAUUAUUUAAGGCAUUUUUUUUAGUAAACGCCUUCAAUAAUCCUGUCCAAUAAAAUUGUCCUUAAACUUAACACAUCUAAUCACCAACUUGAAGCUUCAUCUUCAUUAUUUUACUAUUUAUCUUUCCAGACCAAUUACAAUUUAUUUUUCUUUUCCUUCAAUUUUUACUAUUUGAACAUUGUCUUUUAGAACCCUAUUUUGACUAUUCAUCAGUUAUUUACUGAUAUUUUUACUUAAUUUGACUAUUCCUUUAGCUUUUGCAAUUGGCAAUUUUCAUUUUGGUUUAAACAAUUUUCUCCAAAACCCACAUUUCUCAAAUACCCAUUUAUCAUUAUCCACUUCCAUUUCCCUUUCAUUUUUUUUUUUUUUUUGGGUUUCCUCUGUACCUGUUUUACCUUAUUUCAACCCCAACUACAAAAACUCUUGGGUACUGUUUACGUUAGUAGCAGAUUUUAACAUUCAUAAUAUUAAGUACCUAAUAAAAUACUUCACAACAAGAAGUUUUCAUUUUCUAUAAGUACCGAUCUCGUUAUUAUCUUUUGUUUAAAACAUAAUAAAUUUAAAUAUUUGACAUGUUCAUUUUCAUAUAAAUUAUUUAUAUGCAUUUGAUCUGAUAAUGUAACAAGUACUAAAUGGAUAAGAGUUGGAUGUAAAAUUCAAGGUUAAGUCAAGAGUAUAGAGAUGGAGUGAAAAAUUUUCUUAAAUUUGCAUUUGAGAAUACAAGUGAAAAUGAUAUGAUAUUAUGCCCAUGUGUGAAGUGUGAUAAUAUAGAUUGGCAAAUGCGUCAAGUUGUUUUUGAAUAUUUAAUUUGUAUUGAAUUUCUCUCAGGAUAUAUUAAUUGGUAUUUUCAUGGAGAGUCUAUACCAUCAAGGUUUUCUACUAUAGUUCCUUUAAUUUCAAGGGCUCUCCAACAUAACAUGAUCCUUUUAUAGCAGAUGACAUUAAAGGUAUGUUACGAGAUGCUUUUAACAUUAAUAACCAAUAUUUUCGUAAUCUUUUUCCCUAAAAUGAUGGAUUUAAUCCAAUAUUGAAAUAAAUGAAUUUGGUGAACUUGGGAUAGGUGUAGGUGACCAACAACCUAGAGGAGAAGCAUCAAAGUUUUAUAGGUUGCUUAAGGAUAUGAAUGAAGAACUUUAUGAGGGCUCGAAGCAUUCAAGGUUAUCUUUUUAUGUUCAUCUUUUCACUUGAAAUGCUUAUAUGGAUGGACAGAAAACUCUCUAACUUUAUUAUUAAAGUUUAUGAAAAAAAUGUUUUCUUUUGCAAAAAUCUCUAAAUCUUGUAAGGAAUCAAAAAAGAUGAUCAAUGAUUUAGGUCUCGGAUAUGAAAAAAUUCAUAGUUGUCUCAAUGAUUGCAUGUUGUAGUGGGGUGAUAGAAAAAAUCAAGAAUCUUGUCAUGUGUGUGGUAUUUCUUAUUGGGUGGACAAAAACCCCGAUGAAAGGUUGAAUGAGGAUGGUGAUGAGGUCAGUGUCAAAAAGAAGCUUAUUAAAAUUUUACGCUAUUUUUCAUUAAUACCAAGAUUUCAAUGACUCUUUAUGUCUUCUAAAAUUGUAGAUUCAAUGAGGGGCAUCAUGAAAAAUAGACAGAUGAUGGAUAAUUGAGGCAUCUUGUAAAAUUUUUGGCAUGAAAAUCAUUUUAUUCUAGGUUUUCAGACUUUGUAUCUGAUCCUCAAAAUGUUAUACUUGGACUAGCAUCUAAUGGACUCAACUCGUUUAAAAAUGAUAAAUAUUUUUUAUAGUACUUGGCUAGUUUUAUUGAUUCCUUACACUUUAUCACCAUGAAUUGCUAUGAAGCAAUAGUUAUUUAUAUUAUCUAUGAUAAUUCUUGAGAAAAAAGAUCCGAGUAAUAAUAUAAACAUCUACUUACAACCUCAUAUUAAAGAGUUAAAAUAGUUAUGAGAAGGAAUUGAGACCUAUAAUGCAUCAAAAAAAGAGAACUUUAAUAUGUGUGCUAUUUUAUUAUGGACUAUCAACGAUUUUUCUACUUAUGUAAAUUUAUCUGGUUGGAGUAUAAAAGGUCAUUAUGGUUGUCCAUGUUAUGCUGCACAGACAUAUUCGAAGUGGUUAUCUAAUGAAAAAAAGUUUUGUUACAUGGGACAUUGUCGAUAAUUAGAUAAUAAUCAUCGAUUUAGAUUUUAAAAUUAUCGUUUUGAUGGAACUGAAGAGUUGAAAAGAUCACUUUUACCCAUUAGUGGGUCUAAUAUCUUGUCAAAGUUAAAAGAUAUCAAUUUCACUUAUGAAAAAAUGACUCCAUCAAAUAAAAGAGUGAGGGACAUCUUUGAAGGUGUCUAGCCUCAUAUUACGCAAAUUGGUGAUAUUGAUAUUGAUGUUGUUGAUCUUAAUGUUCAAAGUGAUGAAGAGGAUGAUGAAGAAUAUGACCCUAAUGAGUAUGAGUUUUGAAAAAAAGAAGUAUAUUUUUUUAGUUGUCUUAUUGAAAAAAUAAUUUAUUAUGCCAUAACCUUGAUUUGAUGCACAUAGAGAAGAGUGUUUGCAAAAAUUUUAUCAGAACAAUUCUCAAUGUGAAUAGAAGAUCAAAGGAUAACUUAAAGAGUCCGCUUGACCUAGUUGAUAUAGAGAUUCACCUUGACCUUCAUCCGAAGUCGCUUCUUAAUAGCAAAUAUUGAUUACCUGCUGCUUGUUUUGGGAUUUCUAAAUCUGAAAAAAGAUGUGUUUUGUAAGGUUUUAAAAAAUGUCAAAGUUUCGGAUGGCUAUGUGUCAAAUAUAUCGAGAUGUGUGAAUCUGAAAGAGCAAAAACUUUCUUCAUUGAAGUUACAUGAUUAUCACAUUUUGAUGCAAAACUUACUUCCAAUUGUUUUACGUUCAUCAAUGUCAAAAGCACGUCACUUCUGUGGUAAUUGAAUUAAGUAAUAUAUUUAAAUCUCUAUAUGAGAAAUGUAUGAAUGUGGAAAAGCUUGACAAACUUCAAGAUCAAGUUGUGAUUACUUUAUACCAUUUAGAGAAGAUUUUCUCUGAAAACUUUUUUACUAUUAUGAUACAUUUGGUUAUCCACCUUCCAUAUAAAGCAAAAGUCGAUGGGUCGAUUUAUUAUCAAUGGAUGUAUCUUAUCGAAAGGUAUUAUUGUUUAAUGGAUUGAUUAAGUUUUUAUUGAUGAUCAUGCUACUCUAGUUAAAAAGAUAUAUGACUCAUAUUUGAUGCGAUAGGUUUUUGGGGAGGUUAAAGUCUUAUUGUUGUAACAAACGCUAUCCGAAAGGUUCUAUUGCUGAAAGAUAUUUAACAAAAAAAUGUAUGAUAUUUUGUUCUCAUUAUUUGAAAGAUAUUGAAAUGAGAUUUAAUAGACCAUCGAGAAAUGUCGGUAUACAGCAACAUGACUCUGCCUACAAGUAUCUUUUUCAAAGUUUUGGACAACUAAUAGGUAAAGCUGAAAUGGUGGAGUUAGAUGAUAAAUCUUGAGCACAAGUACAUCGAUAUGUUCUUUUUCAUCAUGACAUUAUUGAAUUGUGUCGCAUGUAAGUUUUUUAACAAAGAAAUUAUUCAUUACAUUAAGCAUAAUUUAUUGUAUUUUUUUAUUGUUAAUACUUUAUCAUGAUGCUUUAUAGUGAUUAUAAAAAUAAUUUGAGAGCUCUUACACAUUAUCGACGAUCAAACCCUUGAGAGCUUGAUAAGUUAUUCGUCGAAAACUUUCAUGAAUGGUUAGGAGCAACUAUAAGUAAUACCAUACUUCCAUUUAUGACAAAUCUACAUAGAAUGCUUUGGUAUAAUUAACAUUAAUAACAUAUAUAUAUUUAUUCCACUUUUAUAGGUUUGGAGUGAAAGGCUUGUUAGUGAAAAGGUGAAGUGCCUUUCACAAGGUCUGAAUAGGAUUGUGAAACGAUACAAAGGUUUCAUCAUCAAUGGAUUUAGAUUUCACACUAAAUCCCAUGAGAGAUUUAGCAGUACAUAAAAUUCAAGAGUUGUUACUUAAUCAACUACUAGCUAUGCUAGUACUAGGGACACAAACUCUUUAGAGGAAAAUGUUGACUAUUAUGGCAUGAUUAAUGACAUCAUUGAGUUGGAUUAUUAUGGCAUGUGGAAAGUUAUCUUAUUUCAGUGUGAUUGGAUUGAUGUAAAUGGUGUGAGAGGUAUUAAGACUAUUAUGUUAUGAAUAGGCCAAAAUAUAAAUAUAUGAUAUUUGUAUUUCUACAAUAUACCUAAUUAUUUUUUAUGACAGAAAGAGAACAUAUUGGGAUUGGUAGCAGAAAGCAACAAAAAUAUAGCCACACAAGUGGAUCAAAAAGUUUUGCAAAAAUGAACUUUUUGUGCCGUUGAAAGGUAAAUAUACAAAUUAAUAUUUGUUAUACUAUUUUAAUAGUUUUGAUAGUUUCAAUACAUGACAUUAAAUUUAUCGAAAUGUUUGAACUUAGCUGAAACGGAUGAUAUGUAUGAAAAAGUUAUUGUUUACAUCUAUUUUGGUAAAAUUACAAAUUUUUUGUUAUUGUUCAAUUUAAAUAGUUUGGAUAGCUUCAAUACUUUAUAUUAAACUUGUCCAAUUUAUUGAACUUGGUUUCUAUAGUUGACAUGGGUGAAAAAGUUAUCGUUUAUGUCUAUUUGGGACUAUUUUUGCCUUUAAAAGGCAAAAUUACAAAUUAAAACUUUUGGAUGGCUUUCAACAGUUUGAAUGGCUUCGAUCCAUGAUAUUAAAUUUGUUCAAAUAAUUGAAUUUGGCUGCCAUGAUCAAAAUGUGUGAAAUGCCAAAAUGCUUUUAUGUACGUUUAUGUCUAUUUAAGACAAUUGUGUUAUGAAGGGGCCAAAAUAUAAAUACAUGAUAUUAAGAUUAUUCAAAAUUUUUGAACUUGAUUGACAAGUAUGAUAUGCAUGAACAAGUUGUGGUUGAUAUGUAUCAUAUCAAAUAGCAUAUAUUUUUAUAUAAGAGAUUGAGAUGGGCGAUAAAAUUGGACGUGUGAAAUUUUUUCGCCUAACACACAUAAAAAAAGAUGGAUCUUACAUGGAUCUUAAAACAUAAGAAAUUAUGGUAAUUUGUAACAUCUACUUUAAUAAAAGUAAAUAUUUACUCUUUUUAACAUAUUAUCAAUUAAUCAUUAAACUUGAUAAUUGUAUAUGACUAAUUUACAGGAGCAAACGAAAAAGAAAAUAGCUGUUGAGAUUGCAGUAGCAUAUGAUGACUCUCUCAACAUGUAAAAAUUGAAAAAUCGGAUAUUCAUAAAAGUUGCUAGAAAAAAAAGGCAUGGACGGGUCGAGGCCUUGGAUUGGGUCCAACACCAUCUACUUACUACGGACGUAGCUCUGAGCAAUUUAUAUUCUCAACAAGUUAGUCUUCACGAGAUAUUUCGAUAUUGAGAGAAGAGUUGCAAACUAUAUAACAACGUUUCCAGCAAUUGGAAACAGAAAGAGAACAGGAGCGUACCAAAAUUGAGGAAGAACAUGCUAGAAUGGAGCAACAGCGUGCAAAAUUUUUGCAGUUGCAUUAUCGAUUCAAUUAUCUUAUGGAUUUAGUGCAACAACAAUUUCUAGGAACUAAUCUCAGUGGUCUUCCAACUUAGGUAUUAUAUUUAGUAAAUAUUUAUAUUUUUUAAUAUCAAAAUAGCUUAUAAUGAAGUGUUAAAAAUUGUAUGCUAUUAUUCAGUAGGUUUUUGAGCACGCUAGUGACCAAGGUAAAAAAAUUAUUUCAUCAGUUAACAGCCUUCAAAAUUUAUGCAGUCAUCAAUUUCAUACAUUUUAAUUUUAAUUUUAUUAAUGUAUUAAAAAAAUUUGAAUAUUAUUAUACUAAUUAUUAAAUUUUGUGUUAAUUAGAUGCAUAUUUGAACGUGAAUUAAGUUUAUAUUAAUUUCAAUAUCUGAAUUUAAGCUCAUUUAUAAAAAAUAAUAAAUUAACAAAAAUUUUUUGUUUAAAAAAAUAUAUUUUUUAAUUUCGUGAUGUUUGUGUUCAAGAAUAUUGCUAAAUGAAUAAUUUAGUGGCAUUUGUUCUAUAAAAUGCCACUAAAAGUAGCAGUGCUAUUGCUAGAAACUGUGCUAAAUUAUCGGUAUUUUUUUGAAACAAAUGCCACCAAAGUAACGAUAUUUUUUUUGAUAAAAAUAUCACUAAAUUAACGGCGUAUCAAAAAUACAAAUGUCGCUAAUAUAGCAACGUUUUUCAUAUACAAAUGUCGCUAAUAUAAUGAUAUUUUUUAGAUACAAAUGUCAUUAAAAUAGUGAUAUUUUUUAGAUAUAAACGUGCUAAUGUAGUGGUGUUUUAUAAAAAAAUGUUGCUAUUUUUCGUGAGGCGUUUAUAGCCGACAUUUUGACUGGUGUUUUUCGCAAACAUCAUAAAUCUUUUAAUAACGUUUAUAAAUGUUACUAAAUAUAAAAAAAAAAUGUCACUAAAAAUCAAAACCCUUGUAAUGCCUAAAUGAAGUGGUCAUCAGCACAACCUUAUCUCUUUAGGAACUUGUCAAAGUUGAGGACUAUAUAAUUCUAAACCUAAAUGACUAAAAAAAAGUCAUGCCCCACGCAUCAAUUUAUUUUACCCAAAAGGCUAAUAUGUUUUUCUCAUCAAACAAACUAUUAUUUUCAUAGUAUUUCUCGAAUUCGCUCCGUGUUUUUAAUACAGCUAUAUUCAUAAUUUCAGCAUCGCAGAAUAACCAUCAAAGAUCAAUCUACAAUUUGAAAAAAUAUAUAUUUUUAAAAUAGUAGAAGAUUAUUUGAUUAAGAAUGAUAAUUUAAUUAAUAAUUUAAGAAAUUAAAUAAAAAAUAGAAUUAAGUUUUGAUAAAGAGCAAUUGAUUAUCUAUAUAAUAAAAUAGACUGCUCAUGAUCUCUGAGAAAACAAAAAAGUAUAUGUUAAGAAAAUGAAUUUAGACAGUAUAUCUAGUUAGAGCAGCUUAUUGAUCUACUUGAAAAGAUUUUUUAUUAUAAAAUAACACUAAAGCAGUCAAAUGCUCAUGUAUAGCAUUCGAUUGUUUUUAUUUGAAAAAGCAUAUUUUAUGAAGAGAAAAUGUUUUUUUAAUGACAUUUAUUCAUCUAAAAAGCAAUCUUUUACUAUAAAAGAUAAAUAAUGAUAUCUAUAAUUAUUAAAAAAAUGUUUAUUUAAUUAAAGAAAGUUACGGUUGAUUGAAACAACUUAAUUAAAGGGUCCAAAACACUUAAAAUUAUAUAAUUUAAUUCUUUAAAACAUAACAUCAGAGUCUAAAUAUGAUAUUUCUAUUGUCUUAGUUAUGUGAUUUUGGUCCAUUCGUUCUAAUUUUAAUAAAUUUAAUCCAUGUAUUUUAAAGAUAAAGAAUAUCAAUGUUAAAAAUUUUCUAUUAAAUUGAUUAUAUGAAAUUUUUGUUGAUAAAGUAGCAUGUUAAUCUGUUUAUAAAAAAAAAAAAAAGUAGCAGGCUAAUCUGAUUUCUUUUUUUUAUCAGCAUAUGACAUACAUUAGUAAGGAAGAACUUUAUUUUUAAUAAAAAAAUAUAAAAACAUUUUUUAAAAUUUUUUAAAAAAUAAUACACUGCACUGAACCCUAUUUUUAGCUAGGUAUUCAUGGACAAUUGCCAUAUGAACUGCCUAACAAUGAAUGAAUCUAAUUCUUGGCUUGACUUGGGAUCAAGCCAAAUCCUAUUAACAUCAUCGCCAUCUCACAAUGUUUCCAACAAAAUUCUAUCACGCAAUUACACUUGUAAAUCGUCAACAACAAUGCCAUGGCCGCCCUACCUCUAUAAAAAUCUGCGCACUUUCACUCCGAAACAUCGCAAACCCAGCAACAAAAUAUCAGUAGAGCAUAGCCAACUUGUUCACCAAAAUGAUGAGUUCCUCAAAACCUUACCAUCCCUUGAAAUCUUCGUGAAUCUGGAGUCUUUGCAAAACUUAAAAUUUUCAUGAAUCUGAAUCUUUGAAAAUUUUGCAUCAUUUAUAAACUUUUAAAAUUUUUACGAAACUUGAAAUUUUUGUAAAUCUUUACAAAUCUUGACUUUUGACAAAUUUUGAAAUCAUUACGAAUAUUUUGCGAAUCUUGGAGUAUUUGAAAUUUUUUAUUUUUGUUAUAAAAUCUUGUGAAUAUUUAUUGUUUGUGGACUUUUGAAUUUUUAAAUUAUGAAUAUUUGAAUUUCAAAUUAACUAAAAUUUUUCUGAACCUAAGUGAAUGAAUGUCUUUUAACAUUAUCUAUUUUAAAGUUGUUUAGCGUCUAAGGAGCCAAUUUCCUAUUUUAAAAUUGUUUAACUUUAGUAUAGAAGAGUCCAUUUCUUAAUUUAAAUUUGUUUAUCUUUGUAUAGAAGAGUUUAGUUUAUUAAAUAUCUAUUUAGAGGAGUUAUUAGAACUUUUAAGUUUUAUGCCUAUGUUUAGAUAAAGUCUUUAAAAUUUUUCAAAAAUCGCAUCCUCUUAAAAUUACUUGAGUUGAACCAGAUUCAAUGGUUAUUUAUAUCUUUACAUCAAUUCUAUUUCAAAGGAAUAUGUAAAGAAGGGGUAACUGUAAACAUCCUAUUUUGUCCAGGGCCUACAUCCAAAUUCUCGAUUUCGAUUUUGUUGAAAUUAUCGAGAUUUGAGGCCAAUAUAUAUUACUUUGAUGUGGGCUUUGCCCUAACAAAUAUUUUAUUUUUAUUUUUAUUUGUUUGUUUAUUCUUUAAUAAAAACUAAAUAAAUAAAUAAAUAAAAAAGAAAAUCAAACCGAAUUUUCUAGAAGUCCUAUACAAGAAUCAAGAAAGAAUUUUUGAGAUUUUUUCUUAACCUAUAUGAAAUAAAAAAUCAAACAAAAAAAGAUCACAGAGUAUCAAAGCUAUGGUUUUUAUUAAAUUGAUUUUAACUAAAGUAAAGGGAUUUAAAAAAUAUUUGAAAAUCCUUGACAAUCAAUGGAAUCCUAAAAUUUUUUACUAGAAAAUUCUUAUAAAUUGUUCUAAGGCAGACAAAGAACACAAAAGGAGAAAAAAUUUAUACAAAAACUUUUAAGAAAAAAAAAGAUACAAUUUCGGGUAGUAAGUUUUUUUUUUUUUUUUUGAAUUCUUUGAAAAAUCUGAAAUUAUGAGGAUAUAUUCUAGUAAGCCACGCAACCUAGCUACUUAGCCAAGCCAACUUCAGGUUUUUUUUAUUUUAUUUUUAUUUAUUUAACUAUUUUAUUUAUUUAUUUAUUUGAUUAUAUAUUAUUCUUUAAAUAUGUUUUAUAAAAACAUAUUUAAAUAAAAACAUUACUAAUAGAUUGGAAGGUAAUCAUUUUUUUUAAAUAAGAUUUUACUAACAUAUCGAAAAACCUUAUAACUUUUUUUAUUUAAAAAAAAAAUAAAAAUAAAAAGCUUUACUAACAGAUUGGAGAGUUAAUAUUUUAUUUUCAAAAUAAAGUUUUACCAACAUAUUGGAAAGCCUUAUAAUUUCUUUAAAAAAAUCAAGUUUAAAAAAUAAUAAAAUAAUAUUUCUUGUCUUUUUAUAUAUCCUAUCAACAGAUUGGAGGAUAAUUUUUAACAAAAAAUCUUAUCAACAGAUUAAGGGAUAUUUCUAAUUAUAAACCUGAUUUAUAAGUAUUUAUUUCUAAAAGCAAAAUUAAAUGAAUUUGACGACGUAACCUUUUCAAAACUCGAUAAAUAUUCUUCUUGAAUACCACUGAGGUGAGAAAAUAUUCUUAAAUUAUUACCAAUAUAUUGGAGUAAUUUAAGAAAAAUUUUUAAUAUUAAGUUAUUUGAUAAAUUUUAAAUAUAUUUUAAGGUUUAGAUAAUUUGAAAUCAAAUUGGUAUGAUCUUUUGGAUGGGUGUUGUAAAUGUACUAUAACUUUUCUCAUACAUAAACAUACUAUCGGACUUAAAUUUUGAUUUCGUAUAUUAUAAUUUACUAUUUAAAAAUACUUAAAUUAAUUUUAAAACUUCUCUUUAAGUGUGACAGAUUUUGUCAAGUGACUAAUCACACCUUAAUAAAAAAAUUGAUGAUAACUCAUUUAUAAGUCCACGAAUUUAUAUGUUAAACAGUAUAAAAUAAUUCUUAAUUUGGCGAUAAAAAUAGUUUAAUCCAUUCAAUUGUCACACAUUUAUAAGCUCUUUUAGAAAUUGAAAGUCAUGAUAUUCAUAGACCGAAAGUUUUUUUUUUUAUAUAUGUCAAUGGUACUAUUUAUUUAAAUUAAUUAUUCGAAUAGACCAAUUUGAUUAUUCUUAAUAAUUUAUUUAUAAAUGUAAACAAAUUUUAAAAUUUUAUAUUUUUUAAUAAAAAAAUCACAAUUUGAGAAUACGAGAAUGAAUAAGUGUCGAGAUUUGAUUCAUUUGAAUUUUUGAUUUGUUAAAUAUUAUUUUUUAAUGAUAGUCAUAUAAAACACAAGCAAUUGGAUUAAACAUCAAAUUUAUAGUAUUAAUUUAGAGAAAUUAUCAAAUAUGUGAAAAUUUUUAACUCCACAAUUAUGGUUAAAAUAAUAACAUAUAUCUGUUAGUGUAUAUUUAAAAAAUAAAAAAGUUAAUUUAAAAAAAAAGUAAAAUAUGUAUCAUCAUCUUAAUCUUACUUGUGGAGUUAAAAAAACUCCACUUUCAAUAUAUCAGAUAAUUUUUUAUUAAUUUAUACUUUAUCAAAAUGUGUAUACUAUUAAAUAAAUAAAAAAUUAUUUGAUACACUAUCAUUAGAGUUUUUUAAUUCUACAAGUAAGAUUAACAAAAUGACAUAUGUUUCACUUUUUUAAAUUAAGUUUUUUUUUUAUUUUUUAAAUAGAUACUAAAAGAUAUAUAUUAUCUUAUUAACCUCACACGUGAAGUUAAAAUAUUUUAUUAUCAUUAUAUUUGAUAAUUUUUAAAAAUAAAUAUAUAUGUAAAUAUACAUAUGUAGUAAUAUCAACGUCUUUUUUAUAUAAUUAAUUUAGGAAAAUUGAUAUCUUAUAAUUUUUCAAAUAAAUAUAUAUAUGUAAAUAUACAUAUAUAGUAACAUCAACGUCUUUUUUAUAUAAUUAAUUUAGGGAAAUUGAUAUCUUAUAAUUUUUUUUUAAUAUUUUUAUUAAGGUGUGGGUGCAUUUAUGAUGGUAGGUAUUUAUUUAAUGUACGACGCUCACAUUGCCGGUCAUUUCUCUUAAGCCCUUGGAAGAAAAUUCAGUGGAAUAAAGUCCAAAAUUUCUUAAUUAAUGCAUGCUGGCUUAAAUUUCCUUCAUUGCCAUGUAAGAACUUUUUUCUAUUUUGGUGAAAAAGAUUCGAAGGUGGAUAAGUUUUAAGUUGCAAACUUAAAACUUGGGAUUAAACUUUUCAACUUCAAUUGUCACUUUCCCUCCUGCAAGUUGCAAUUAAUUGUUCAUUUGGCUAGCUAUAAGUGGACUCUGUGGACUAUGGACAGCGUGCGCUGGACUUGUCUCGAGUCGGCAAAAGUAGACAAUAAAAGAUAAAUAACGAAAAAUAUUUUUAAAAAUUAAAGUUGUUCAAAAAAUUUAAACACAAUUACGAAGUUGUUCAAAUCUAAGUAUCAAGGAUUAAGUUCAUAUUUAAUGUAUAAAAUAAUAAAUAGUAUAAAAUGAUAAUUAUUUAUAUUAUAUUUAAUUUAUAUAUAAAAAUAAAUUUAUAGUGAGAAUUAAUUAUAUUUUUAGUAUAAAAUAAUUUAAUUCACUCAAAAUAAAAAAAAUUAUUUUUAAUUCAUAAGAUUAAAUUUAUAUAUCUUAUUAUAUUUUUAAAAAUUAUAUCAAUAAUUUAAAUUAUAUAAAUUUUAAAAAAUAAUAUUUUUGAUCAAUCAAUAAAUUAUUCUAUUCUAAUUAUUACAUAUAUCAAAUAUAAAAUAAAAUUUAUUAUUUAAUCUAAUUAUAUUUAUAAUAUUAUUUUAUCAUAUUUUCUGUAUAUUAAAUAUAUCAUAAAUCCAUAAUGUCAUGCACUGAGCAUUUUGAUUUAGCAUAUAUUUUCUAAUUAAAAAACUAAGUUGAAUUUUCUCAUUUCUUAAUAUAUAAAAAAAAAAAACAUAUCACCAUAGAUUGAAUCCCAUUUUCUUAAGUUAAAAUAUAAUUGGCCUUAUCUUCAUUAAGAUUUCGAAGUGAUUAAGUAGCCGCCUUCACCUUUAUUAAAAGCAAUGUGCCACUUGCCAUUAUUUCUAUCAAGCCAAAAGCCACCCUAAUUUCUAUAUAAACCUCCCUUCAUUAUAAACAAAUCCACACGUAAAAGCCAACCAUGAGAUGCUUGACCAAUUUCCAAAUCUCCUCAAUCCUCUUCUUCAGCAUCUUUUUCAUUUCCACCCAAGCAGCUCUUUUUGAAAUCCGCAAUGAGUGCUCCUACACUGUCUGGGCUGCAGCCUCUCCUGGAGGUGGGCGCCGCCUAGACCCAUGGCAAAGUUGGACCAUCAAUGUGCCUGCUGGCACAGCCAUGGCUCGUAUCUGGGGUCGAACCAACUGCAACUUUGAUGGCAGUGGUAGGGGUCAUUGCCAAACUGGUGACUGUGGUGGACUCCUACAGUGCCAAGGCUGGGGUGCUCCUCCAAACACCCUGGCCGAAUAUGCCCUUAACCAAUUUGGUAGCAUGGAUUUCUAUGACAUCUCCCUAGUUGAUGGGUUUAAUAUCCCCAUGGUGUUUGGUCCAACUAAUGGUGGUUGUCACAACAUCCGAUGCACUGCAGACAUUAACGGGCAGUGCCCUAAUGAAUUAAGGGCUCCCGGUGGGUGCAAUAACCCAUGCACAGUGUUUAAGACUAAUGAAUUUUGUUGCACUCAAGGGUACGGAACCUGUGGGCCGACCAAUUUCUCAAGGUUUUUCAAAAGCAGGUGCCCUGAUUCGUACAGUUACCCUCAGGAUGAUCCUUCAAGCACCUUUACUUGCCCUGGUGGUGCCAAUUACAGGGUUGUAUUUUGCCCCAGAGGCUCUCCUCAUCUGGAGAUGGUUGGAAGCAAGAGCCAAGAGUAAUGGUCUCUCCCUUCUUGGAGUUAAUUGCAAUGCCUCGGCGCUUGGAAAUAAAAAAAUAAAGUUUUUAGAUAAUGAAUAUGUUGUCGUGUUUGUAUUUCUUUUGUUUCCCGAUUGUGUUUUAUUUGAUGCAACGGCGAAAAGAAAUAAAGAUAUCCUUGUUUGAUUCAUUCUAUUGUGCCAAAUAUUUGGUUUUCAACCACACAAAACAACAACCAACCUCAAAGUUGAGUAGAGGAGAUAAGGGGUGAGGUAGAUUUAUGAAGAGUCUAUGCACAAUGCUUUUGUGAAAUUUGUUAUUCUUUGAAUUUAAAGUUUAAUUCAAUUAAUUAAUACAUUAAUUUUAAAAAAAUAAAUUUAAAAUUUAAAUUUCAACAUUUAUAAUUUUUUUUUUCAUCCAAUGCUACUUUUGAAGAAGAAUUGUUAUUGUUUUGGUACAAUAUGUUCCAAAAUUUCUAUGUUCUAAAAUUGACAUAUACUAAUACUAUAUGAAAGGCUAUACACGAGGAAUCUGAUGAUUGGAUGCCUAUUUAUGAUACCAAACUUUAGCAUAUUUUCUUGGUCUUUGGUCGUCUUUCGUGAUAAGGGGACCUAACAUAUCCUAACUUUUGAGCACAUGCUCUAAAGUUUUAAAACUUUACACAUGAUCGAUCCUUAUUUUAUGUCUCUCAAUUAUUUAUCAUAUCUUUCGGUAAACUGAUAUUUUAUGACUCGACAGAAAUUAAGAAGCAAGCUAACAGUACUUAUGGGAAGAUUUCAUGUGUUAAUUAGUAGUAUUAAAAAUAUUUACCAUCCCAUUCAGCUAAAAAGAGAGGAAAAGAAGAAAAAGAUUAGCUUGAUGGUGAGACUAUUAUAGGAUGAUUGGCAUAACUUUUUCUGGUUCAAGGUCCUUUCAUACUUUUCCCUGCGCAAAUUAUCUUGUCAAACUAGCUUGGCUUGAAUAUUAUUGUAGAAAUAUCAAAAUAAAAUUAAAUUACAUAUAAAAAAAUAAUAUUUAAUUUGAUUCGAUAAAUAAAAGAGAAAAUUUUAAUAUAAACUUAGAGAUUACCAAUAACAUAAAACUCUCAAAAACAAUCAUAAAUUUCAAAUCUUAAAACAAAUUUAGUUUGCACACUUUUUGCUCUUAAACGCUUGAAAUACUUUUUAUUUCAUGUAAUUCGAUUUUUUUGUCAGAAUUUCUUCACAUUCUUAUAAACUCAUCUCUCUCAUAAAAAUCACAUAAAAAUUCCUAUUUAUUAAGAAUUCUAUCUAUUAAAUAUGUUUAUCAUUUAAAUAAAUAAACACUAAAACAAACUAAUUUCAAUUAGAAUUUAGUUCCCAAUGUUAAUCAUUAUUUUAAUUUCUGAACAAUGGAUAAUUUUGUUGUUUGAUGAUUAAGAAAAUGACAUCCAUUCACUACAAUACCAUGUUGCUUAUGAAUGCAUGAUGAUAUUGAUAAACGAUUAUCCUUUAAUGAUUAAGAAAAUGACAUCCACUCACUAUAUGCAUGAUGAUACUGACAACCGGUUAUCAUUUGAUGAUUAAGAAAAUGACAUCCAUUCACUAUAUGCAUGAUGAUACUGACAACCGGUUAUCAUUUGAUGAUUAAGAAAAUGACAUCCAUUCACUAUAUGCAUGAUGAUCCUGAUAAAAGAUUACCAUGUUUUGUUCCUUAAACACAAAAAAAAAAAGAAAAAAGGUUUUGUUCUCUAUCCUCGGUUGUCAUAUACUUAUAGGCGGCCACUUGGAGAUUAAACUGAUGUAGGGACUCUAGAGCCUAGAGCACAUGGCUCCAAAAUAUUUUAAUUUUCCUGUCAACAACGAUUCACUGGCAAACCCAUUGUUGGAUCCACUUGUUCACAUCAACAUGAAUUCACCCACAAGGAGUUGAUGCAAUUGGCCACCUGUCGGUCCAAAUCAUGGCAUGCUACAUAGCUGUCUUUUGAAAUUCCACAGCGUACGGUGGAUCAGUACAAUAACAUUCCACGGACCUGUUUACAGCUGACCCCCUAAUUACCGGUUUCGAUUUACUGUUGUCCGGACUAAAACUAUAAUCUCGGAUUUUACAUUUUUUACUGCAGAUGUAAAAAAUAAAUGCUUAUCUGGUUGUAGAUGCUAAUUGUUAGAACGUGUUUGUUUCCCGGUAAAAGGUUUAUUGAGAAAGAUACCCAAGAAACAGGGCAAAAAAUAUAAAAUCUCCAGCAUCUAUCGCUCUCUGGGUCUGGGAUCUGUCUCUGUCAAUCAAUAUUCUUUCCCAGUCUCUCUUCGCUGCAAACAUGCCUCAAGGAACGCUUGAAGUUCUUCUUGUUGGUGCCAAGGGUCUUGAGAACACAGAUUUUCUUUGUGAGUUUUCUUUUUCUUUUAAUCUGAAUCUUAUUGGUAUUAUUACUAUUUGUUCAUGGUCUUAUUCAAUUUCAAUCUUGUCUACCAAGAUCUGGGUACAUUUUAAUAGUUUUAGGCGUUUCUGUUACGAUCAUGACGAUUUCGAUCAGAUCACGACCAUUUAGCCAAGGAUUGAUCGAAGUUUUUCUUUUCACAUUUAUAUUUCCAUUGACAAACAGCGAAAAGAGUGGUUGUAGAUUUAUUACUUGAAUCGAUUGUUUAUAUUAGUUUGAUUUUCAUGCUUCGAGUUACGAUCAAACAUAUGUAAGGGUCAUUUGUGUUGAAACUAUUUGGUCUGAAACCCUGUUUUUGUUGCUUAUAUUUGUAUGUUUUUGCUAAUGAUUUUGAGAAUUAAAAUUUGGAAACCAACAGGUAACAUGGAUCCUUAUGUGCUUCUCAUUUGCCGUACCCAGGAGCAGAAAAGUAGUGUUGCAUCAGGUUGGGGCUUAGAUUAGUCUAAAUUCAGUAACAUUGUUUCUCUUGUGUUGGCUAAUAGAUCAACUAUCAUGAUUCAAAAUUCGUUCUUGGAUUGUAAAUAUAUAGGAACUAAUAGAGUUAGAAAGAAAUAACUUUCUCAGGAAAAGGGUCUGAUCCGGAGUGGAACGAGAAUUUUGUAUUCAAUGUGUCCGAAGGUGUUUCAGAACUCAAAUUGAAAAUAAUGGACAGUGACUGUGGUUCUCAGGAUGAUUUCGUUGGAGAAGUAACGUGAGUAUUACUAAAUUCUCAAAUGAUUUGUGACAAUUAUCAGCAAAAAAACUCAAAAAGUCAAGUAAAACUUGCCUUGAUUACACAUAUUUCAUAAGAUUAUAUAGUGAAAUGCUUUUGAAGAAGAGGAAAAGAUCCAAGCUUUUUUUGAAGUUCUUGUUUGAACCUUGAGCAAUGAAAUAUAGAUUUCGAACUUAGGCUCACGAGUCAGGAACUAGGUAAGUUUUUAAUUAGUUAAACUUGUUUUUUUUUUUAUAUUUGCAGCAUUCCUCUGGAGCCUGUAUUUGUGGAAGGAAACCUGCCCCCAGCUGCAUAUAAUGUUGUCAAGGAUGAAGAAUAUCGUGGGGAGAUGAGACUUGGCCUAACUUUCACCCCCGAGGUAUUUUUCUUUUGCUUGUUGUCUUCAAUUACAUUUCCAUUUGACUACUAGAAGAUGAAACCAGCCUUACAGCAUUCAGCAUUGCUUCAACAUUGAUUUAUAACCAUCCGCAGACAAGAAGGCAAAUGAGUAUCAAACUCUUGAUCACUCUGCUCUUAACAAAUCACAAAUAUGAAUGAAAUAUUUUAUUCAGCUCUGCAAAGGGCUCCUUUCCGUUCCAUUUUUGGGUUUUCUUUUGCCCUUUCUGAAUUGAACUGGACGAUUAUUCUCAGAUAGCAAAAAUUUCCAUUGCUCCAUAACAGGAACGUCAUACCGGGGAAUUUCAAGUUGAAGAAUCUUUUGAAGGGUGGAAGCAGUCUUCAUACACGGACUAGGCCACUAGUGGUUUCCAUCUUAAUUUCUGGUUUCAAGAACUUAUUCUGAAGCUUGAUUUAGAACUACAUUUGGUUGAAUGUUGUUAAUUGUGUGCUUCUUUACAAUCAAAUUGAUUAAGUCAUUUUGGACUUUUACUAAUAAUAUUUAAAAAGUUAAUAAGAUGUUUUAGGCCCCCCAAAAAAAUGGUGAGCAUGCAACGAAAAUUGUGUUAGAAAUUCCUGUGGGAUAUAUUAUCUUUUCCUCAAAUCAUUACCAUAGUGACAAAUUAAGGUUAAGUUUCAAGGAAAUAACCUGAGGCUGACAGUUUGAUUUAAAAAAAAAAUUGUUUCUCCAACAAACAGGCUUUAGGCUUUAAAUUUAACGCCAUGAAAAUCUUAAAAUAACUCAAAAAUUAAAAGAUACUUGGAAGGUAGAUUACUGUGCUUGAAGAUACUUCUUAAUUCUAAAGAUCAUCCAAAAUGAUGUAAUGUGACAACAAAAUACUAUUUGAUAAACCAAAAGCUUUUUCCUUUUUUUUUCUUCUAAACGUGCAUGCCAAAAUACAAAAGCUAGCACACCAAGAAGUCAAAACCAUGAAGGUGUCAGUUCAAACAGAAUAUCUAACAGGAACUUGUCUUUAGCAAACCUUUAUAUCUAGGACUUUACCUUGCCUGGUAAUUCCUUUUCCCCUUCCUGUAAGGUUGUUAAGCACCAACUCUACUGUGAGUAGGUAAGCUUACGUUACCGGGAGGGCAGGAAUGAAGGAUUCAAAGGGAACUGUUGUUGCAUAACAGGUUGUGCCAUGGAAUCUAGUGAUGAAAUAUCGCUUUGAAAAACGUUGGACAAGCCAUAAUCUGGCAGUGCAAAGUUGCCAUCUGUUUGGGUGCCAGAACUGCCAAACUGUUGGUGGAAGAAACUCUGAAAAGCAAAACUAUCCUCAGCAGGACUAGAAUCUGUAACGGUCAUGAAUGCAAACUCAAAGCAUGGACCAGACCAAGACUUCCCAAAUGGAAUUGCAGAUUGUAGCCCUGGCUUCUCAUUAUUCAUUUCUGUAGGAGCAGUUUGGUUUUGAUGAGUAUCUUUGCUCUUGUUUGAGGACUCGACAUGAAACAUAGUGGCACCGUAUGUAAAGUCAUGACCUUCAAGUGCCAUUCUCGGUCUAGUCUCAGGUUGUUGAGGUGUUUUAUCUGUCAGAUUCGCUGAAGUCAAAUCCACAUUCCGAAUGGCUCUGCUAUUACAAGACCUUCGAGCAGCAAUUUUGAGAACUUGUUCGCUAGACAAUGAUUUUGCCACCAACUGAGAUGCAUAACCAGCAAGUCGUGUUGAAGACAGAUUAGGCACACUGCCCUCCUUCUUCUUAGACCCAAUUGAGUUAAACACAGUUUCUCUAAAGCUGCUAUGUUCAAUUCUUCUUUCAGCUAGAUUCUUCUCUUGCUUGAUAUUAGCAAUAGGCGUUGAAACAAACCAUUCAUUGAAUGCAACCUCUGAUGGUAUUGCACCUGUAAGAGUCUUCAUUGCAAAUUCUAGGCAUGGGUCAGAACAAAACAAUUGUUGUAGUUCUGACUUGCUGUCACUGUCCUUAUGAGUUCCCAACAUUUUUGGUCGCUCUCCAAGAAUUGUCCUGUAUUCAUGAGGCCUUAUUUUAUUGAUUUCUGGAUUGGCUGCUGCUGCAGAAGCUGGAUUUGGGAGCUUGGCGUUAGGGCCAAUGUUUAGCAGCCAAAUUGCUUUAUCCACCAAAAAACAUGGUGGUUUCGGUUCAUUUUUUCCAGACUUUUUAGUUGCAUUCGGAAUAGCUACUUCAGUGGACACUAUAUUGGUCACCAGCUCAGGUUCAAGCCUAGCAAGUCAUUUUGACAACCAACGAGGCAAGUCAAGCUCUUUCAUCUUCUUGAACUUGCUCAAGUUCUUAGUUUCUAUGUUGCUUCUCUUGCUUUCCACCCCUUUUUUGCCUAGAUUCUUCUCUAGCAGGACAUUAGAAGUUGGAGUUGAAACAAGCCCUUCACUGGCAACAUCCUUGAGCAGUAUUGUACCUCUAAGAGUAUUGAUUGUAAAUUCUAGGCACGGGUCUGAACAAAAGAAAGGCUGUACUUCUGACUUAGUGUCACUAGUCUUCUCAGUCUCCAACAUUUGUGAUUGCUUUCCAAGAACAUCUUUGUCUUCACUGGGCUUUAUGGUCUUCUUCACUGAGCCCCAAUGUGAUUUAAUUGUUGAAUAAGCAGAGGCUUGCUUUGCUACCUCUGCAUUUGAGAGAAUAUUUAGCUGCGGAGGUGCUUCAUUCUCCAUAACACAUGGAACACUAGCUUCAUUUUGGCAAGGCUUUACAGGUUCAAGGCCAUUAGCCACCACCUGAGGUUCAAGACAAGCAAGUCGAUUUGAUAAGCCACAAGGCAUAUCAAGCUCUGUCUUAUUCUUGGACUUACCAAACUUCUUAGAGUUUAUGUUGCUCCUCUUCUCUGUUUCACUUUUGAGCAGGUUCUUCACUUGCAGGACAUCAUCUGCAGCAGUAGAAACAAGCACGUUAUUGGCAGAGACUAUUUUACCCUGUUUUCUAUUGGAAGCUUUUGGAGCUACCAAGCUGCUCCAACUUGAUUUUUCUGCAGUCUCAGGAUUCCUUUUAAGUGCAGUCUCUACCAAACCCUUUCUUUGAGGAAUCUGAAGUAUGGAAGCUGUAGCAAGCCCAGUUUCAGUAUAAUCCUUCUUACUCUGGCCUUUCUCAAAGGUCUCAGCUUCUAGGUCAGAUAAGAUACUCCCAUCAGAUGUCUCCUCACCUGCAGCAACAUGUUUUGCAUUCAGAAGCAAUGAAUCCCACAUAUGAUUGGCUUGGAAACAACUUCCUGCUCAUGACUUGGGUGGUUUAUAAAUUUUCCACUCCUCACCUCUAAAGAGUUGGCGCCUGGUGGCAGGAUGCUUCACUUUCUGCCUUUUAGCUGCUGGGAGUUGCUAAAAUAGACAGAAGAAAUGGAUAAAAACAAUCAGCUAAUUAAAAUUUCCACCCGCAUAUCUCCCAAAAGAAAAAAUGUGGUUCUGAAGGAAAUCCCAACUGGACAUUGGUUGAAAAUAGAGUCUACAAACAGGUAGAUGAGGCAUCAAACUUGAAUCACAGGUCAUAAGAUGAUGAACCUUGACAAUGAAUAGUUUGCAGGUGCUUAUUCGUUUCUGAAUAUUCCCAUAUGUUAUCUGUAACCUAAGGAAAACCUUUAUAGGAAGCUUACUUGUCUCUGAAUCUCUUCCACUUUUAAUAUGAGCUUACUUGUCUUAUCCUAUUCUGCCCAUAAUCUUGUAGAAAAAACAUGACCUUCCCUCUACUCUAUGUAAAUUUUAAAGCAAACUACGUCAUUUAAUAAAUGAUAAUGGAAUUUUAGUUCGAUACAGCAUGCAUCAUUGGAAUUAUGUACCUAAAUCAAGCAGGUAAAAAUUGGACAAGAGACAAUGGAAUUAGGAUUAAAACGGACAUAGCAACUAUAUGCAGAAGCUAAGUGCAAACUUACUGAUUUAUCUUUAUUAAUUAAAUUUUGAUCAUCACCAUGCUUUUUCAGUACAGAAGCAUCUCUACUGAUCCCUCCAGUUUCUAGAUAGCGAAGAACAGCCUUUUUGGAGCGAAAAACACAUCCACUAGCUGUAUCAGUGUAAUACUGUAGCAUUCAUAAUUGUUACUGAUCAAUAUUCAUAAAUAGUAUGUAUGUCCAAAGAACUACGUUAAAAACUCCAUAUAUAAGCAGCAGUUGGUUCAUUAUGCUGUCAAGGCAAAGCUUGAAGCAAUAUGAGCACAAGAAUAGGGACAUACUUUUUUGGUACGUGUCAUAAAAUUGAGGACAUGAAAAAGUCACAUAUGUCCAUGUGUAAGAAUCUAAAAGGGAGGCUUGGGGGACAGCAAGAGUUAAAGUAACUCCAUACCGGAUCUCUUCUGACCCCAUUUGCAUUCCUUCUAAUCUUGACUUCCUUAAUCCAUCCUGCUGGUAAAUCAUCCACUGUUGAUCUCUUAAUCAAAACCUAGAUUUACAAAAACCACAACAGCAUAUCUCAUUCAGUAGCUGUAGCAAUGGAAUAAAUUUCUGUAUCUCAUAAAUGAUAUCCCAAAAUGCCACUUAUGUGUAUUUUAAUGAAGCACUUUAAUGUAUGCACUAAAAUGCAACCAAUCUCUCUCUCUCUCUAAAAACAAAUAAAUAGACAGAUAGAAACAACAACACCAAAAUGGUAGCAAAAGAUUUUUUAAGAACCAAGUUUGCUUGUAGAGCACGAGGCUCUUUUCUUUUGCUUAGAUUUGCUACUUUUCUGCUCUGCAUGAUUAAGAAAUCGGAACACCUCUGGCUUGGAAUGGAAUCUAAAUCCAGUUGAUGGAUCAACAUAUAUCUGCAACAAAAAAAAAGUUCAAUUAAAAAUAAAAUUGAGGUAUUACAGAAAGAAGAAACGAGCUUAAAGUUCCUCAUGUUAGUAGAUGCUUCGUACAUGCAACAUAAGUAAAUUAAAGAUGUAAAAGAGAAUUUCAAAUAACAAUCUCAUGCGAUAUGAUAUCUGCAUAAAAGAUCUAAUUCAGAUGUCAAUGGGGAAUUGGACAAGCCAUUCCUGCUUAUUGAAGUGGUAGCCAUUGAUGUAUCAUGUAUAGCUGCAUAACAGGAAUACCCAGCAGAAACGGUAAAGGGUAGUAAUGGAAAAAUAAUCUGCCGGAUUGCAGAUAAUACAAUACUACAAAUUCCAUGUGGUACUAGGAGAUAGAAAAGCACCAUGAUUCUUCUGCAUAAAAGAAAAUCAAAUUUCAUACCUUAUAGUAUUUCCCAAUUUUUGCACCACUCUUAUGGGCUUUCACCUCCAUGAACCAAUUCUUAGGUAACCAUUCAGGAUGUUCAUUUGCCUUUACAGCAACCUGUAUGAUGAUUAAAUAAUUAAAAGUAAAAAAAAGGGAAAAGGGCAGACAACUAAUAGAUUAUCUAAACUCACUUUCAUGUAACCAUUUGCUGAGGGCAAUUUCACAGAUAAGACUGCAAUUGUUUCUUUCAUACCACAACUUCAGUUAGGAGAAAGGUAAAGGCUAAAUUAGUUGUUUCAGGAGGCAAAUAGAUUUUGUAUAAUCUAACAGUAUCUAUUGGUUGCACUAAGAAGGAAAUGGUGGAGAAAAGAUGACUUUUUGGAAAUGUUACCAUAAAUAAUUUAUUGUACAAGACAGGAUAGCUUCUUAAUAAGCACUUUAAGACUAAGUCUCUCUCUGUCUCUUUCCAAACAAAUAAAUAGAUGGAUUGAAAAAAAAAAAAAUUCCCAGACAAGGUAGAAAACAAAAUGGUAGCAAAAGAAUUUUUUGAGAACCAACUUUGCUUGUAGAGUGCGAGGCUUUAUUCUUUGGUAUAGAUUUGCUGCUUUUCAGCUCUACAUUUUUAAUAAAUCCAAACACCUCUGGCUUGGAAUAGAAUCUGCGUCCGGUUGAUGGAUCAACAUAUAUCUGCCACAAGAAAGCAGCUCAGUACAAAAUAAAAUUUAAAUCCACAAAAAGAAAAAAGAGAACUCCUCAGGUUAGUAAAUGUGUAGUCCAUGCAGAAAAAAAAAUUAAAUCAAAGACCUAAAUUGAGUUUCAAGUAAUAAUCGUCAUUAUAUGUGUCUGUAUGGAAGGUCUAAUUCACAUGCCACUGAGAUACAGGACAAGCCAUUCACACUUAUUGAAGUGGUGGCCAUGUGUAUCAGCAUAAAAGGAAUACCCAGCAGAACCAGCUAAGAAUAGUAAUGAAAAAGUAUCUGCUGAUAAUAGAGUAUUACAAAUCCAAUGUGGUAACUGGAAGAUAUAAAAGCACCAUGGUUCCUAAGCAUCAAAGCAAAAAAAAAUACCUUGUAGGAUUUUCCAACUUUUUUACCACUCUUAUGGACUUUCACCUCCAUGAAACAAUUCUUUAGCAACCAGUCAGGAUGUUCAUUUGCUGUUGCUGCAGUCUGCAUGAUGAUUGAAUAAAAGAAUAAAACAGGAGGAAAACAAAGGGCAGUUAAUUAAUUAAUACAUUAUCUAAACUCAAUGUGACCAUUUGCUGAUGGCAUUUUAAUUUGCUUUAAAGUUGGCUGCUGGUCAUCACAUUGAGUGAUUCCUGUUUUAGUAUAGCAAACAAGGUCAUCCUUGGUAAAGCAUUUUGACUGGUUGCCAAGUUUACAUAAUGCUGCAAUAGGAAACAAUAAUUAUAGUAACAAAAGCAUGUUAUCAGAUUUGGGUAAAUAGACAGCUUAUUUCUACAUAUUACCAUUUGUUUUAUUUAAGAAGUGGCAUUCAUCAAUGAUUUGCAUUGCUCAAUUAUUUUGCCAAGAAGACAAGAAACAGGGAGAAAUCUUGACACCUUAUCAUCAACUAUUUAAGCCUUACCCUAAAAAAUCAAUGUUUCAGCGCCACAAAUCACCUACAUUGUUUCCUAUUUUCAUUUUCCUUAACUUUUUGUCACGAAAAAACGAAAAGAAAAUCAGUCCAAUGCCUUAAAAAAUUCCCCAUGCAGAACAAAAUCCAUCCGUCCUUACGCAAAAGUUACUGUCAACAAUUCAAUAAACUCCCAUUUUCAUGCAAUGCAUCACUAAAAUGCUAUAUGAACAGAAGCAACCUCAAUCCUUCAGCUUUCAAAACUUAUAAUCCAUCCACAGGCAACCCGCAUUUCUUCCACUAACCCCCGAAUUCCACAUGCACAUAUCAAGAUAUAUCAUUUGACUGCAUUUCUUUCACAUGCAACUAAAAACAACCGAUCAUCAACUAAUAAAAGCUCCAUAAUCUUAACCUCAAACUUCAACAGUUCAUAUCUGCCUUACUUCACUAAAAUUAUUCAAAAACAGCUAGCUUUUUUAAGUAAACAAUUAAAUUAGAGACAAAAAUAGAACCUAAAAAACCCUAAAUUGAAAUAAUAAAAGUACAAAUUCGAUUAUAUAGUUAAAUAACCGUGAUUCUACGGCCUGUCUUUUGGAAUUUGAACUGUAGGGUCCAGCCCGCCGGCAGCCAGUCUGGUGAAGUUUUCGCUGUCACUAUCACCGGAAACUAGAUUUUCCGGCGACCAAUAAAAUCUUUUUUUUUUUCCUGAGUAGUAGUAGUUUAUUUCAGAGGUUUUGGAGUCUCUGUCUGAUCAAGUAAGUAAAAAAAAGUGGAAGUGAAUUGUCAACCUGCCCGACAUAAGAAGACUGACGAGGAUAAUGCGACGGAAAAUCAACACGUGCUUUUUUGUUAUUUUUAUUUUCAGUUAAAAAUCUUUAAAACAAUUAAGGUGAAAAAAUUUUUUGAUUCAGGUGAUUUUUUACUGUCAGUGGUCUGUUAGCGGAGGUUGAGUUGGCAAAUCAUUUACUGUCAAACUUUUCUAUUAUUAAAAUUUUCCAAAAGAAAACUACAAAUAAAACAAUUUUACCAUUUUCUCUCUCAUUUUAUCGGAUUAUCUUUGAUUUUUAUUAAAAGAAUUUAAUUUUGAUGUUAUUUUUAUAAUAUUAUGUUAAAUUAAAAUUUUAAAAAAAGUUUUAAAAAUUUUGAAUUUCAAACUUUACAAAUUUUUUUUUGAAAAUUUUUAUAAUUUUAUGUUUUUAUUAAAAAUAAUGAUUAAAGUUGAAGAAUAUUUAACUAUUAUUUAAAAUUAAAUCUAUAUACAAUACACUAUUUUUAUUAAAUUAAAAAUAUAUAUUAAUUCAAUUUUUAAUAAUAUACAAACAAAAGGGUAGUUUGGGGAAAGCAGGUGAAAGGGCUUUCGGCGGUUAUGUCCCUAACUAAGUUUUUGCUUAUUUAUUUACGAGGACGUCACUCCUUUUGUCAACCAAACACGACAGUCAAAGAAAGGGAAAUUGAAGCCAAGGAAACUUCUACCAAAGCCAAAGGUGCUCUGUCUUUCUCCUUUUUACGAUCUUCGGUCCGUUGAUUUUCUUUUUUUUGAUGAAACGAUUAAUAAAAAAAAUCCCUUUCAAAUCACAAUUUUGAUUGUCAAAGUCAGGUUUUUAAUGGGUGUCCAUGUUGAUAACUUGAUUAUAAUAUGGAAUCAAAGAUUGGGUUACUAGAUUUUGAUUCGAAUUUGAUAUGGGUUUGGAAAGAUUCAGCCGUUGAAGUUUUUUAACUGGAAAUUAGGUAAGAUUAACUGGGUCAGUAUUAAAAGAAGUAGCAAACCUCAAAAGCUGUGGAAAUAAUAAACUUUAACUAUUUAUUUAUAGAUUGGAAUCGAAUAUUUGUUUUUGAUUGUGAAAUGAUUCUUUCUUAUUAGGUCAAAGUUGAAAUUUGAUUCAUGUUACCUUUGCUAACAUAAAAGAUUGGAAAUUUGUUAAGUUUCUGAUGGUGGAUUUCUCUAUUUUCUUUAUUUGGUUGAAGUUAUAGAAUAAGCAUAUGGGUAGUUAUACUGAUAAGCAUUUAGGGUUUUAAGCUUUGUUUUUGCUUUUUUUUUUUUUUGGUCUCCAGCAUUUGAGACGUUCAGAAGGUUAAGAAGGUCUUGAGUGAUGGCAUUGCAAGAGAAGUUAGAUAGAUUUAAUAAGCAGCAGGAGAAGUGUCAGUCGAUGCUCUCCAACAUUGCCGCAAAAUCGGCAUCUUCUAGGGUCACCACAACUCCAAAACCUUCACCUGUGGCUGCCUCCCCCUAUCCCAGUUCAAGACCCUCUGCAUCUGCUCCCGUCAAAUUCUCAAAUGAUACCGAGAGGCUUCAGCACAUUAACAGCAUUCGGAAAGCUCCUGUUGGAGCUCAGAUGAAGCGUGUCAUUGACCUUCUUUAUCAGGUUCUUUAAACCUUCUUUUUUUAAUUUAAAAUUUAUGCGCCUGAUGCAAAUAAUUAGAGUGUUAUGCCUUGUUAACAUUUGUCAAUGAUCUUUAUUGUUGCAAGUAUCCUUGUCAAAGUCAUGGUUUGCUGGCUCAGAGGAUAAAUCUGUUAUGGAGAAAAAUUGCUUUUGUUGAGUAUCAUUGAUGGAAAUGUGUAUAAAAAUAUGAAAUAAAGGAGAAAUUCUCUUGUUCAUUAUGUGCCUGCUUUAGUUUUUUAAAGUUUCUUGCUUCUGAUAAUGGUCCUGAUUAGCAUGUGCCUUCUGCUGCUAUUUUCUUCUGUUAUUCUCAUCCUAUUGUGGCUAUGAUAGUUUUACCCUGCAUUUCUCAUGGUUGUUGAUGCAAGUAAAAUUUGAUAAUGCUUUAGCAAUUUUUUAGAGUAGUGAAUGUAAGUGUUUUUGGGGUCAGAGUUUGAGAUAGUAACCAGUAGGUCAGUGCUCCUAUAGCAGCAUUGUUGUAUACUUUUGUAGCCUUUUUGCAUUGAACAUGUAGGUGUUCUUUGCUGUAUUGGAAAUAUUAUUUCUACCCUCCAGUAAGAGAAGCUCAGUUGUGGGAUUCUACUAUAUCAUUGAUUUCUUCAAGCAGUUUGAUUUUAUAUCAGAGAAGAGUGGGAGACUUAAGAUUGUAUAUGGUAUUCACUUUGUGAGAUCUGGAAAAAAUGGUAGUUGCUGUCAGUGUGGACUUUUUACAUGUAUCUUUGUUUCUGCUGACAUUACUAUCAAUUAUUGAACAGACAAUAGUGCUUAGUAAGGAGCUGAAAUUUUUAACUAUCUCCAAGCUGUAAAGUAUGUAUUCAUGGUUGCAGAAAAGGGAGGCUUACACACCAGAGCAGAUCAAUGAAGCAUGUUAUGUUGAUGUGAAUGGAAACAAAGACGUCUUUGAGGGCUUGAGGAAAAACCCAAAAGUGAAGUAUGAUGGGAAGCGCUUCUCUUACAAGGUGACAUUUACUUGGUCGCUGCUGUGACCUUUUGAUAGACUUAUUCUUUUUUGGCUUCAGCAUCUAUAUCAUAAUAAGCAUUUUUCCUAUUGCUUAGUCUCUUCAUAAUGGAUUACAAUUUUGUACAUGUUAUCCUUACAGGCCAAGCAUGAUGUAAAAAACAAGAAUGAACUUCUUGUUUUGAUUCGGAAAUUUAUAGAAGGCAUUGCUGUUAUUGAUCUCAAGGAUGCAUACCCAAAUGUGAUGGAGGACUUGCAGGUAUAAUUGAGCUGCAGAUUUUCCUUCACUUUCUAUUUACUCCUAUGUCCGUAUGUAAGUUUCCAUAAGGGGUCUUAUUUUUUACUUUCAAUUUACAUAAUUGUAUUGAAGCCUUUAUUAACUUAAUACUUUAGUUUCUUUUGAUCUGAUUCUUUAUUAUUAUUUCUUUCUAACAAUUAAAUGCGAUAAAAGCAAAGAGUGCAACACCAUAUUAAUGCAUAAAGUGGGAGAAACUGUUAUGCACAUAACCUAGAAUUGAAAAGCUUUAAGUUUUGAAAUUUACUAUUGAUAGGAAGGGUAUUAUAUAAUUAAAUGCAUCACAAACUUGUAAUUCAACUCUUUUUUAAUAAUUAUUAUAUUGAGAAAUUUCUCAAUGAAACUAUGCUUGGAUACUUUGGUGGGUUGGUUGUUAAUUUCCUCAUAAAAGGGUCAUUGAUUUAGGAGAUUUUCCCAACAGUUCUGUUAAUUGUUGGAUGUAAAUGAUUCAGAUGGUUAUUUUCUAUUGUUCUCAUUAUACUUAUGUUGUUUUGGCUUUUAAGAAAAGCCUUUCACUCAAAAAUCUACUUGUUUAUGAGUGCUUAAUUUCUCCUACUAAAUAAUUCAUUAUGUUGGCACAAAUUCAUUUAAAAAGUACUGAUAAAUUUAGUAGUUUCUGUUGCAACGGCUACUUAUAGUUGUUCUUUUUGUAGGCUCUAAAAGCUGCCGGUCAUAUUUGGCUGCUAUCAAAUUUUGACUCACAGGAGGACAUUGCCUUCCCGAAUGAUCCCAGGGUACCUAUUAAGGUGGAUGACGACCUUAAAGAGUUAUUUCGGUCUAUUGAAUUGCCACGAGACAUGCUUGACAUUGAGAAAGAUCUCCAGAAGAAUGGAAUGAAACCUGCUACCAACACAGCAAAAAGGAGGGCUGCUGCACAAGUGCAGGGCAUUUCCUCCAAGCCCAAGCCCAGGCAGAAACACAAGGAGUUCUCCAAGAAGGCAAAGCUAACAAAUGCACAUCUUCCAGAACUUUUCCAGAGUCUCAAAAAUUCUUGAAGCCAGACAUAGAUUUACUAUGGGGUCAGUGGAGCAGCUGGAUUAUUUACUUUUUUUAAUGGUGAACAAUGGAUUAAUGGUUAAACAAAUAUAAUAUAUCUGUGCUAUAUAAACUCCCACUCUCCAACAAUCACCGAGAAUGCUAUGCUACUCUAGACUUCCAAAAUCCGACUAAAUUGAAAUGAGGGCUAUCGAUGUAGAUCAAACUAGCAAUUCUUGUUUCUUGUAUCUAGCAACACAAUUGAUCCAAUUGUUACUCUUGUAAUAAUAAUAACAGUAAUUACAUUUUCUUAAUGUUUGAUUAAUUUUUGCAGGCUUUGAAACUUCGAAGUGGAAUUUUGGUAUCCUUGUUUGUAAAAUGAAAAGCCUAUUGGUCCAACUUUUUUUUUAAUGAGAAAGCCUAUUGGUUUCACUAAUUACAGAAGGACAUGUAGAUUUAGAUUUAGACUCAGUUAUUUCUAGUAAGAUCCGAGGGUUUGCAUUCCCGCAUCAGACAGAGAAAUAUACAUGGUUAUUCUUCAUAAUUCAAAAGCUUCAGAAAAGCUGCCUGAGACCAUGUAUCAAAAUCAAAAGAUCCUGUUCUUCCAUAGUUGCAUUUCUUGUUAACUAGAACGUUAUACUAAUAUUAUGGAAAUACGGCAACACCAUCCCUUGUUUUUUUCCUUUUCAAAGACUGACGAUUCAUCUUUGAGUCUUUGGAUAAUUAGAAACACCAAACGUCUGAAAAAAACAGCUAGCACGCAUGCAUGCAUGCAUGAUAGUUAUGUUUCAAGAGAAACUAAUGUCUCUGUUUGAAAGUCUGAUUUUCUUGUCCCAGUCCAAAAAUGUAAUGAACAUGUAGCUUGUGACAGGAACAGAGUACCAGGUACCCGAUACGUCUCUUAUACAAAAUUCUUGUAUGAAAGCAACUUGUUUUCGACAAUCCAAUCUGUUAUGUCCAAUUCUACAGAUAGGGAUGUGUGUGUGUGUGUGUGUGUGUGUGUGUGUAUCUUGCUUCUCUUUUGGGUUCUUGCUCCUGAUUUGAAAUUCAUAGAUUUUGAGGUCCCAUUGACUGAUAAUUUACGUCUGUCAACUUGUUAUUUUGGCUGGACUUUUGCUUGCUAAUUCAACUCUUCCAUAUAAUAGAAAAUAGAACUUUAUCAUAUUGAUAGCAAUUCGAAUGUAUGAUAAGUAAAACCUUCCAUGUUCCCAUUUUUUUUCUAUCAUGGAAGUAACAUCAAGAAAGCCAACAAAAUGUGGGUUUGACCCUUGAACCAAUAAACGGUUAAGAUGUAUAAAUUAGCAACUAAAAUAUUCUUUUCAUUCUUCUUGUUUUUUAGGUUUUUUUUUUUUUAAAGGCAGAAGAACCAAAAUUGCCCCACCAUUCACCGUGCGGAAUGAUGCUGAAACAAUUCAACAGUUCUUCCUUCAAAUAUAAAUAUAAUUAGUACUUUUAGUCGGUGGCCAUUACCAAUUUAAUAGGCCAUCUGUUGAAUUCAACUUCAAUCCAGAGUACAUAUUCAAGGAUUAUUGGUUACUUCUUCUUCACCAAGGUCUGACCUUGCAAAAGACUUCCUUGCCUGCAAUUCAUGAUUGCAGAACAAAUUUAUUCUACUAAAAAUAUAUACUCCAUUCAAGUACCUUGCAAGAGUGCAGCUUCCUGGGAAAUAAAAAUCCAGCUAUUUACAAUACAUGACUUCACAUCUCUGAUAAUCAAACAAAUACAAUUGCAGUUUCAGCAAAAAGUUUGCAUUCUUUUUCUCAAACUGUAUCUAUUAUACAUUUCUAUCAAGAAAAGGGAAAAAAAAAAAACAAAAAACUGCAGUGUAAGCUGCCUAAAUUUUGUAUAACUAAAUAUAUAUUUAGGAUCUGCAAAAAAUAGACAAAUCAGUUGUGGAGGGGGUUUGGUCCCCCUGGAACUGUUCGAUAGGAAGCUUCAUGAAUUGGUUGACUCUUUGUUGCUUUGGAUGCCUCAGGAGACUUUGCAGGGAAAUGCCAUGUGGAGAAUUCUGUCUUGGUUGUUUGCUCAGCUUCACUGCUUAGGCUUCUAUGGAUGUAGCGGCAACUUGAGGGGUGGAUGGCAGCUAGUAUGAUCAUAAAGAACAUAAAUGAGAAUUUGGGACUCCAAAUCCUCAUGAUUUUAAUGAUGAGAAAGGGGAGAACAGAUGAUGAGAUGAACUGCAAGAAGUUUAUGGGAUUGAGUUUGCUCACUUAUUAAAGAGGCAGGUAUGAAGUCUAUUAAUAUGAGAUCAAGGCAUCAAGCAACCAGUGGUGACGAUGUAACCAAAACUAGGAAUUAGUUCUUUUGUAAUGGCUGAAAUACCCUUCAUCUUUGGCUAAAUCUGCCUUCAUGUUAUAAAUUCUCCACCCAAAACUACAGUAGGAAAUUAGUAGUAGGUGUGAUUUGUUUCUUCACUUGCAUUGACGAAUUAUCCUUUGGCAUUUUAAAUUCUGAUAUCGAUAGUACCCUCAAAUUACAUGCACCAAUUUAAAUUCAGACUGUUUCUAUUAUAUUUAAAUCUCAUUACAUUAUUUACAAAGAGCAAGAAUAUAAUGAUUUCAGCUUAUUUAUAUAAGAUAUAGUUGAACUUAAUAUCUGUGUUUACACAAAUUUUAUUUUAAUUUAUUCUUUUUUUCACCGAAAAAAAUCUAUUCGUCAUACUUGUAUUUAAAAUUAAUCUGCACUAUUUUUUUAUUUUAUAAUGCAAUUUUUUUUGUUUAAGAUUCAUUUAAUAAUAUGAUACACAUUUUAUAAUCGAAUUCUUAAAAAUUUAAGUAUAAAAUAAUACCAGAAUGCGAUAAAAAAUUUUCCCACCAUACCAUGGAAUGAACCCUUAAAAAAUAAAAGAAAGGAAACAGAUAUUACAGCAGAGACGACAGGCUAAAUUGGUCCAUUUGCGUCUGGUGGAGUGCUAACUUGAAAAACCGUAUCUAAAGGGCUGCUGUAGGCGUUGACUUUACAUUAAUUUGGAUCGCACUAAUACCAAUUUGGGUUUUGUUAAUUUAUUUCGAGCUCAAGAUUAAUUAUUGGUGGUUCUUUCUUAAGGUGAUAUCAUCGACACGUGGCAGCACGAUUGCCGUUCCCAGUAGUUUUCUUCAUCACAUAUAAUUGCUUCUAAGUGAUUGGUACUAUUUCAGUUGGAGUAAGAAAGGCUAGCCAUCAAAUAAUUAUUAUAGGAUGGUCCAUGAGGAGUUAUUGAUCUUGUCUAAGACAGACGGGAGUUCUAUGUUGACACAUUCCUGUCAAGGGUUCCAUUUCUUAAGCAUUUGAAAUUUGUCCCAAUAAUUAGUGGCAGUUUGAUUAAGCAUGAUAAGUGACGAAAAUUGAGAUGGAACCAAAAGUUUUGGUUCAAAUUAGUUGGUAGGACAUCAAAACUUACGAUUGGAAUGAAUAUAUUUCAUGUGGAAAAUUGUUUAUGGGGAUUAUAUAAAGUGAAAAAAGGAAGAAAGUCGUAGUGACACAUCAGCUGACAAGAUUUUAUUGCUCAAAAGGAGACAAUUUUCCUGGAAAGAGAAAUGGAAAAUAUUAUGAGAUUGUGAUAUAGAAUGAUUGUGAUUUUGAAGAUUGCUGCUUAAUUCUUUUUUUUUUCAAGUAGGCCUGUUUGAAUGGAAACGAAAUUAUGAAUUUUCCAUGCAACAGAAUGUGAUCAUUUUACCCUUCCAGGGUUUCUUUGAAACAUUAUGAAAACCGCACCAACCCAUUGGAAUUUAAGCAUGAUCAGGACAUUUAAAGAGGUUACUUUCUUCAAGCUCCAUCUACAAAGCCUUAGGUAUCUUCAGCUCUAGAUGGAUAUGCCCUUUCCCGACUGCCCUUGUAGGCUGGUUUCAUAACAGGCAAUUAGAUGAAACUUUUGUUGAUGCUCCCAUUUUAGGUCCAAAUGGGGCCCCAAAUUAAUUAUCCAUUAAAUAGGUGGACCAAGGCACAUUUGAUUUUGAUGGGAUCCAUACCUGUAAAUUCCUUAUGCACAUUCUCUCUGCUCACCUGGUUAGGCAUUUUUUUGUCUGGGAUGUAGCGUUUGUCAUCAGCCAGAAACAAAAAAAAGGGGAUAGAAAUAACCUGGACCAGAUUGUAGAUUAUGAUCUUUAACUUUUUGUGUGCCUGAGGCAUCAGCCUGAUCUGAAAGACAUAAAUAUGCAUAAACAAGCAAUUUCCCAAAGUAAAAUUUGCCUAACUUCAUCUCACAAAGAUAAAAGAGUAGGGUUCACGCUGUUAUCAGUUGCCCAACUUGAUUUCUUGAAAGGACAUCAUUACCUAGUGAAUUAUUUCUUGUCCAUUUGUCUCUUUGAAUCCAAGGUCAUGACAUCUAUCUAUCUUCUCUUUGGAUUACAGUUACAUCAGAUUAAAUAUUUUCAUUAGAGUUAAUCAACAAUCUGAAAGCAUACUGUCAAUCUGAGGUAGAGUGAGAACUGUUUAUAAGAGACUGGAAAUCAAUGCUUUGAUCAUUUUAAAUUGACUGAAGAUAUUGUUUUUCACCGUCAACUCUCAAGAAUUUGAAAAGAUUGGAUUGUUAACAGCUGAACAUAAUAAAUUUUUCCACAUAUGUAGAAGAAUAUAGCGGCAACACGCCUUAUUCCUAUUUCUUUUUUAGAAUAUGUCCACAUUUUGGAUUGUGAGCGAUUAAUAUUCAUAAGCGAUUUUACACUAGAAAACUCAAAGAUUUCAGUAAAAAUUAACUGAAAUCCCCAUAUAUAUAUAUAUAUAUAUGUAUAUAUAUAUUGAAAAAUUAUUGAUGUAAUUUUUUAUUUGGUGAUGGGAAGAUCCGAUGGAAACUGAAAAUAAGGAUAUAUGACCUGUUAAAAAAAAUCAACGUGUACCAAAAAUUAUACUUUGAGACAAGCUCUUAUGUUCAAGUGCUAGAUUUGCUAGAAUAUGUCCACAUUUUGGAUUGUAAGCAAUUAAUAUUCAUAAGCGAUCUCACACUUUUACCUUGUACUCAGGUGCUUGAGAUAUAUGCUUCUUCAAAAGAUGGUGAACAAUCUGAAAGUGCAAUUCAUGUGGUGCACAAGAAGGGAUUGCCUAACCUGCAUUCAUCAAGGAAAAUUCUUCAGAUAACAUCACUGCUGCUAAUAUUUUGACACAAUUAUACAUCCAUUUUAAGUAAUUCAAAAUUUUUUAAGGACUUGAGAAAAAGUCAAAGUAAUCAAUCAAAAAUUCUAAAUUACCUAAUUAUCCAAAUUCCAUUGUUUAAAAACAAACAUGAGCCUAAUUGUAUUUUCCUGAUAGUAAAUGUGUGCAAUUAUCGCCAUUUGUACCUUAUCAUGAGUUUCUACACAGCCCAGACCCACUGUAUCAAUGAAGGCAUGUUCCCUUUUCAAAACAAGCUGAGAUAUUCAACGAACCUGCGUAAUCAAGCACAAUUUAGGUCUGAGUUGAUUCAUAAAUAAUUUAGGCCCGAGUUGAAAUCUACCUUGUUUACAACAAAUAUGAGAAUGAAAAAGCUAACCUCCUUCAAAAUUGUUGCAGAAAACAAUGACUGCCUUUGAAGCAGCAAACAAUCAACAAUUUUCUCUACAUCUUUCCAGAAUCCCAGGUCUAAUAAAUGGUCAGCUUCAUCAAGUAUAAGCAUUUUUAGUCCCAUCAACCGCACAGACAAGGUAGACUUGUUCUCAUCGUGAUACAGCAACCCCCCCGGUGUUGCAACAAUUAACUGCAGAAAGUUUCAACUCAACUAAUUAGCAAAGGUUUAUCUUCUAGCAUUUUUUUGGUUUCUUUCUUUUACCAGCUCUCGAACCUAGCUCUUAAGGCUUAAAUGUCAAGCACCUAACCAUUUAGGACAAGAGGAGAGCCAGUUAUCUUCUAGCAUUAGGAUGUAGAAGAUUCUAGAAUAAUUUUAUAAUGCUAAAAUAAUUACCAGGCAUAAAACAUAGGCUAACCUGGCAUGGGUCUGAUUCUAUACGUUUCUGAUCAACUUUGAAACACGUUCCUCCAACUAGAGUCAGAACACCUAUGCCAUCACGAUGCUUCAGCAGAGCAUUUGCUUCAGCAGCUAGCUAACUUGCAAGUUCUGUUGUGGGGCAAAGAAUGAGAACAAAUAUUGGAGGCUCCCGUUGAAUGGCAUUAGUACUAGCCACCUUCAAAACUGUUUCAAUUGCAGGAGGCUGUUUGUCUUUAACGGAAGAAUUGGAAGAACAGAGAAUCAACAAGUUCAUUAAUAACAACUCAGGGCUGGUAGUAUACCAGAAAAGCUGCAGUUUUUCCUGUGCCAGUUUUAGCUUUGACCAAAGUAUCUAUGCCUGCUCCACAUUAGAAUAGGGAUUGUCACUUAAAAUGUUUUACUUGUAUCAAACAAAUAGAGCAUCAUGUUUAAAGGAAUAUAAUAUGAAUGACAACAGAGUUAUAGAAAGUACUUUACCAUAACUAUUCGGAAAGCACUAACCCUGCAGAAGAAUUUUAUACACAAAGGACCAUGUGACACUCAGUACAUCUCAUACAAGCAUAGAACAGUCUUCCAGGCAUAAAAGCAACAGUGAUAAUCUCUAAUGUUAAUUUUUUGUUUCCCUAUCUUCAAAUUCCUAUGUUUUGUAUGCCUUCACUGAAUCACCUUUCUAAUCCUGCAUUUUCUACACUAGUGACUUUAAUACCUAAUGUCACAUGUUGAGCUUCCAAAAUGUGAUAUGUUCUUGACAACAACAACAAACUAAGCCUUAUAUCCCAUAACUCUGGGGGUAAUAUGCUCUUGACAAUUUAAGAAAUUCCCCAUCAAUGUUAAUAUUCCAGUGGAAGUACCUAUUAUGCAUUAAAGGCUACCAAGGCGCAAAGCAUGAACAACUUACUAUCAAAACGAAUGUAAAAUUGAAAACCAGUAAGUUCCACGAAAAUGAUGAUAAAAUCACACAAUGGCCAAAUAAGCAAUAACACACACCCUCAAAGCAAACAGAAAGAGUUGCUUCCUGUGCUCAAGUUAUCUGAAAAUAUCCAGCAGCAGAAAGUGCCAUGACUGUCAAUGGGGAUAUACCACACUCAUCAAAUCUGUAGAAACAAAAACCCACAGAUUCACCAUUACAAAAACAAACUAUACAUAAAUCUAUAUUUCAAAUUCUCUCACUAGAACAAAAGAAAAACCAGUCGAACAUCUUAGCUUACCUUUUUUGACUAUAAAUUGUUUCUCCCUCCCCUCCUUCUCUUCAUUUUCGUAGCUCCACUUGCUCUGAAAAAUUACUCUCCUUCCCAAGUUCCUUCCCAAGUUCCUUUAGUGGAACUCUCUUCCUUAUUUUCAUAUCACGUUUCCCCAUCAAUGCACCACUCCCCAACUUCCUAACAUCCCUGCAACCACCCACUCCUUCCACUUCAUCUUCCAAAUCCAAAUCUGAUUCAUCAUCACUCGUUAAGCUCUCGUUCCUCCUAAACCUCCUCUUCUCCAAACGAUUCUACUCUUUAUAAACUUCCUAAUAGUAUAACGAUUCACACUCUUGCUUUUACAACCAUGACCACCAUGACCAAAACACUUCAAGAAAUUAUCAUUUGCAACGAAAUGUUAAUUAGAAGAACUCUCAUUCUUCUUGAACCACCUCUGUUCUAUAUUAUGCCCUGAAUGUUUCAAAGAAUCAUCCCUUGAACCAAUGUGAUUCCGAUUAAAAGAACUCUCAUUUACUCUAAAUUUCCAGUUUCUCUGAACUGAAUAACUCCUACUCUUAACAGAAUUAUUACCAUUGACAAUACUUAAUUUCCCAUUUUCUCUACAAGUAUCAGAUAUCAGUUUCCAAGCACCGUUAAUUUCUUGCUGUUGCGUUGAAUCGUGGCCGUUCCUGUUCCUGUGGUGUCAACGUACCGUCGUUUUCGUUCUACAAAUACCCUGCCACUUCUUUAAUGAACGGAUCAGCUAGGGCUUUGAUGUGGUUGUUGGGGUUCAUGGGCUUAUAUUUGGGAGGAUUUGAUCGAGUUUCCCGGCUAGUUUGGCUCGGAUUUGAGAUCGAAUUCUGGCUUGAUAAAGGAUGGAAGAGUCUUUUCUCUUUCUCCUGAGCUUCUUGCUUAGGCAGCAGGAAAAAGUCCGUGACCGCUUCCUAGAGUGAAAAUAUGGGUUUAGAGGAAAACCAAGAGAGUUUUGAAACGUUGGGAAUUAGUUUUAAACCGGUGGAAUGGGUGAAAAUAUAUUCAUAUAUUAAUAAAUUUAUAUAUAAUAAAUUUUUUUUUAAAUGAUAAUGUAAAUUAUAAAUAUUAUUAACAUAACUUAUAUAGUUAUUUUUUUAUUUAAAUUGUAUAUUUUAAUAUAAUAAAAUAAUUUAAUUGCAUAUUGAAUAUUUUUAUGUAAUGUUUAUCAAAUUUUUUUAAAAAAAUUCAAACUGUAAUUUAAUUCAUCAUCACUCGAUAAGCUCUCGUUCCUCCUAGACCUCCUCUUCUCCAAACCUACUCUUCAGAAACUUUCUAAUAGUAUGACAAUUCACAUUCUCCCUUUUACCACCAAGACCACCAUAACCAAAACAAAUUAUCAUUUGAAACGAAAUCAGAUUCAUGUUGAUUAGAAGAACUGUCAUUCUUUUUAAACCAUCUCUAUUCUAUAUUACGGCCUGAAUGCUUAAAAAAAUAAUCCCUUGAAUUGAAGCCUUCUGAUUAAAAUAACUCUCAUUUACUCUAAAUUUCCAUUUACUCUAAUUAUUACUAUUUACACCACUUAAUUUCGUUUUUUCUCUACAAUUAUCAGAUAUCAGCUUCCUUACAUCAAGCGUUGAAUGGAUUAAUCCUGACCGUUGAUUUCUUGCUGUUGCAAUGAAUCAUAGUCGUUCCUGUUCCAGUAAUGUCAACGAAUCGUAGUUUUUGUUCGACAAAUAUUCUGCCACUUCUUUCAUGAACCGAUCAGCUAGGGCUUUGAUGUGGUCGUUAGGGCUCAUGACUUAUAUUUUGUGGGAUUUGAACUCGGGUCGAGUUUCGGCUACUUUGGCUCGAUGUUGGGAUCGGAUUUUGGUUUGAUAAAGUUGUUUCUCAGAGUCUUUUCUCUUUCUCUUGCACUUCUUUUUCGUGGAGACGCUUCCAUUGCUACUUGUUUACGCCGCCAGGAAAGGUCGUGGACCAUCUCCCAUGGGUCGGGUGAAAAUAUAGAUCUAGAGAAAAACCGAAAAAGUUUUGAAGUGUUGCAAGAGAACGAUUAAGAACAUGAUUGGGAUUUAGGGUUAAUAUGAUCGAGGUUUACGGUUCAAGGUAGAAUUAGUUUUAAAUCAUUGGGAUGCAUGAAAAUAUAUUCAUAUAUCAAUAAAUAUAAUAAAUUUUUUUAAAAUGAUAAUAUAAAUUAUAGAGUUUAUGAAUAAUUUAUAACUUAUAUAAUUAUUUUUUUUAAGACUUAUAUAUUUUAAUAUAAUAAAAUAAGUAAAUUAUAUAUUGAAUAUUUUUAUGUCAUUUUCAUCAAAUAAAAAAAAAACUUAACUGUAAUUUAUUGAGUCCAAAUAUUAUAAUUAUUUUUUAUUUAAAUUUAUAUAUUUUAAUAUAAUUAAUUAAUUAAUUACAUAUUAAAAUUUUUAUGCAAUUUUCAUCAAAUCUAAAAGAAAACUUAAACUAUAAUUUAUUGAGUUCAAAUAAUUUCUAAAUAGAAUAUAAUAAUAUUUUUAAUUUCAAAAAAUUAAAAAUUUUGUUAUCUUAAAAUCAAUCUCGUAUAUAAAUUUUUUUAUGAAAAAUUCUUUAAGUUAUUGUUUAAGGAAAUAUGCAGCAAUUUAUUUUUCAAUAUUUCUUUUGUGUUAAAAAAUAUAUUGUAAAUGUUGCUUUUAUGUUAAAAUUGCCCAUCUGUUUUAUCUAUUUAAUCUUGUGCUUAGACUACAUAUGUAAAUCUUAUUUAAUUAUCAAUAAGCUACAAAUAAUUUAUUAAAUAAACCAUAUAAAUUCAGCAAAAAAUAAUAUAUAUAUAUAUGUGAAAUAGAUCACGUAAAACCAAUUAUAAUUUUGCAAUAAAAAGGCAAAAUGAUUCUUAAGAAACAAUAAAAAAUAUAAAAAAAAGUUAAUAUCAUAGUUAAAAUGAUAUAAAAUAUAAGUAUAAAAAGAUAAUAAUAUUUUAGCAACAUAGACUAAGAAAUAACGUAAAGUAAAAAUUGAAGAUAGUUGAGUGGUGAUAAAAAAAUAUAAAGUUAGUGAAAGACAGUUAAAAAAGCAUUACUUGUCAACAUUAAAACCUAAAGCUAUUUAUACAAAAGGUCUGUAAGACAACUUUAAAUUAAAAAAAUUAAUAUUGAAAUAAUAAAAAUUAUGAGUGAAUAAAGACAAAUAAUUAUUUGUUGAUUGAGAAUGAAAUAUUUUAUUUCAUUAAAUUAAUUAUGGAGAAUUAAUUAAAUAUAUUUGCUUUUUAUAUUUAUAUAUGAAAUAUAUAAAAUACUCAAAUGAAUAUUAUAUUUAAUCAAAUAUAAUUGUAUCAAAUAAUUUAUUAGAGAAUCAACUCUUUUAUAAUUAUAAUUUUAAUAUUUAUUAAUUAUAUUUUUAAAAAAAUUCUUAAAUCAUUAAAUAAAAUAUUUUAUGACCAUAAUUAUAAUGUUUAUUAUUUUUUAAUCAUUUACAAAAGAAAAAUAGCGUGCAUCUAAACAGAUUGGACCACAGUUUAUUAGAAAUAUCAUAUGCCAACUAAUUUUAUUAUUGUUUAUUUUGUAACUCCAAUUGCUGUUGAAAUUAUAGUGAUUAUUAAAUUAUUUGGAUCAUUAAAAAAUGUUUAAUGACCGUAAUUAUAGUGUUUAUUAAUUCUUUUAAUCAUUAAAAACUUUUUUAAUUAUAAGUUUCAUUGAUUUAGUUUUGGUCUAUAAUUUAGGAUAAUUUAGCUUGUCCAAAAAGUUGAUUUUUACUUUAAUUUUUAAAAAAUAAAUUUACUCUUAAAAUUUUGUGCCUAUUAAUACAAUUUUUAUUAUUGGAUCCAUUUUUUUGUUCAAUUUACAACAAUAAAUGCCAACACAUAUCUAAGGUAUUUCUCAAACAUAAUAGACACCAAUUAAUGUAAAAGCCUAUGUGCUACAAUCUCAAAAUUAAUAGACACCAAUUUUGUUUUUUGGCACAUUUCUAACUCAUUUCUCAAAUUUAAUAGACAUUAGUUAAUUUAAAAUUAUAACACAUUUCACAAAAUUAACGUAUUUCUUAAAUUUAAAAGAAAAUUAUAAUCAUAAUUGAUGAAAAUUAUACGUUAAGUGAUUAAUGUAAAUUUCAAUUUCAUUUUGAAUUUUCAAAAGAAAUGAGCAAAUAAAUCAAUUAACAUAAUUCUUAUUACAUAUAUUAAUAUUUAAGAAAUUAAUAUAUUUAUAACUUAGAUAAUGAAUUAAAAUUUUAUUUUCAAGGAUAUGUAUAAGAUAAUUGAAUUUCAUUUAAUAUUGGAAUAAUUGGAAUUUAGAAAUUGUUAGUCAAUGCAAAUUAAUUAGUGUAAGACAUUCAUAUUUGUUUGUAUUUUCCCUUGUGUAUCAUAUCCUACUUUCUUCAUGACAUUAAUCUUUCACUAUAUUAUUUGAGAUCAUACAUGUUCCUGGCAACAAUUUGUUACCAAUUAAAAAAGCUGAUAAAAUUUUAUAGUCAAUAUUAAUCACAUAGCAAAUAUAUAUACAUUUAUACAUAAAAAUUAUAAAUUAUUUCAUUAAAAUAUAAACUAAAAAUCAUAUCGACAUAAUUGAACGAAAUGUCUAGAUUAAUUUCUAAAGCAUAUCAACAUAUUUAUAUAUUAUACUAAUAUUAUUUCAAAAACUAAAAGCAUACUAAUAUAUUUAUAUAUUAUGCUCAAUCUGGAUACUCAAAUAUCAUUAAAUUAAAUUAAAUUAUGAAACUUGAAAAAGAAAAUGGUAGUUCUUGUUUCCCCUUACAAUUCCCCUUAAUGAAUUGUUACCCUUGUGUCAGAACAAGACAAAUUUUUACAUGAUUGAACAUUAGGCUUACAUUGCUUCAGACAUAAGGCUAAGCUGCAAACUUCCAACCCACCUCAUAUCAGACUGCUCCAUUCCUCCAUUUUCCUUCGACGAAAGAGGAAAAAAAAAUCAGUUGAAAGCUUUAAAAAAGAGAAGAAUACAGUAGUUAAUUUCACUGACCAAGAAAGGAGCUGAAUCGAGUUAAACUCUUUCAGAAUUUAGACUGGCUCUGAGCAGCAUUUCGUCUUGCACAGCAUCCCACCAUGUAUAUCAUUGACUGGCAUUGCAAAACAAAACACAAGAGUUAGCUUUAACAUGAUAAGUGCUGGGACGAAAUCUUGUCGCCUAAAUCAAUGUAAGGUUCUUGCUUUCUUUUGUUUUCAUUGAUGUAAGAAGGGAAAAAAAAAUUUGAAGAUGGUCAGAAAUUCGUAAAAAGAAUCUUACUAAGACAACAAAUAAUGCCAAAUUAAAGAUUGCAACAACUCUCCACUCAGUUUUCAUGUAUUGUGCAACUCCGGCCCUGAAAGGCGAUUGAAAGAAAGCAAAUGGCACUGAGAAAUGUAUACAAUAGAUGAAAUGGAAAGUGGGGAAAUCAAAAUGCUUACUUGCAAGAAUCACAAUUGUAGCACUUCACAGCUCGAGAGUUUUUGUAAAGCUUGCAGUCAUUAUUGGAACUAAUUGGAUGAAAGCUCAAGUCAUAAUAUGAAGCAUUGAUAACAGGAUAACCGCAUCUGUGAUCAAGUUGAAUGUCAAGAAAAAUUAUUCAUUAAAUGAAUAAAAAGAAUGGAAUAAGCUUCAAUGUACUGCACAAACCAUGAUUAAAUAUAGGUGCAAUUGCAGAGAACCAACCCAACCCAAAAAAAUAAAAAAAGACACCUACUCAGAAGGCGGCCGGCAGCAACCAGCUUCGAUGGGCGUUAGUUUUGCCAUUUUAUACUGCUUAAGAGUCUGAAAAUCAGAGUUGAAAACAUUAGAAUCGAUGCAGAGAAACAAAUAGCACUCAGGAUUUAAAUGGUAGACCUUGUAUUGUUUUGCUAGGUUGUUGCAGUCCUCUGAUUUCACAAGACAACUCUUCAAGUGCUUCCAGUUAUUCGUAUUAUUGAGCUGACAAAAAAUGCUAAAUAUGGCUAAACAAAGUGGAAAUUACAUUGCCCAUAAAUUGAAAGCCUCACCUGCUUUAGAAACCAUGAACUAUAGUCUUUAAGUUGAUACUCCUUGUAUCUGAUAAGCAAAGAAGAUAAGAGAGACGAGGGUCAUACACCAACCUCGCCAAACUGAAUUAUGAAACAAUGAUGAUACACUUAUUUGAGACAUCUUGCACAAAAACCACCCGUGGGAUGAGAAAAACAGAUUUUGCACAUAUUACUAUUGGUAUGAAGAUGAAGUAAGCCUAGGCACCAAGUGCAUACAGAGAGAGAGAGAGAGAGAGAGGUGGAAGAUAGUUUUUCAGUUUCUUGUGGUACAAAUUGCAUAAAGACCAGAAGGAUUAAAAUACUAAAAAGUUAUAAUUACCAUCCGAAGGCGAAAGGAGAGGCAAAUUUUGCCAUUGAAGUGCAUAUUUCCUUACCUCAAGCCAGACACAUUGUGACCAGAUCCAUUAUUUGUUAUAAUGAACCUACAAGAAAAGGCAUAAAAUCAAUUUGUUUAACUUGAAAGCUCUUACAAAAGUGGGGACUCAAAAGGCCUUAAAUGAUACACACAAAGUAAGCAUGAUAAUAUCUCAUUAAAACAUAUAGCGAUAUAAGGCCUUAAAGUUCAUGUGAAUAAAAUUAAGGUACCCUUACAACUUAAAGGUUACAGAACAGGUUGAGACAAAAAAAAUAGCGGAACACAACAGUCAAACCAAUAUACCCACUUUCAACUUUCUUUUGUUGCUCUAGAAGACUAAAGUUAAGAUAAUCAAAUCACUUAAGCUAUAUGAGACACAACUAGCUGUUUCGCUGGAACACCAUCUCAUGAAACAGAAUCACCUGGUAAUCUCGCGAGUAAUCAAACUUUUAGUCAGUUUCAUCCAGAACUAUCAUUUAGUUAAUAGCACAUGAGACAUCUAUUUAAAAGCUGACCUAUAAAAUACACACUAAGAAAAUCUUAGUUUAAACCACACAUAGAAAACUCAGUUGCAACCAGAACUAGAAAUGCCACAAAGAUUAAAAAGCUCAGCAAUCCUACCACUCUCCUUGCAGGUCUUGACUGAAUAUGAACAAGAAAUUAACUUUAGUUAACCAUACUUACGCCAACACUGUGAAUACAAGGAUCGCCACCAGAAUGAUGCAUAACAUGAUCAAAUACUGCAAACCAUUGAGUCAAGGGAAGUCCAAACAAGGAAACUAAAAAGAACAGAAGCAGCAUAAAAUAUCGAUAACUCAAAGUUAUAUUAAGGAUACAAUCCAUAAUAGCAUCGUGUUCUUCUUCACUGCCCCCACGAAACCGAUUAUGGAUCUAAAAUUCAAAGACAAGAAUUGUAAUUGCAACUUUCUAUGCAAUAAUAAGAAUUAGAGUAAUCAGAAACAACAUAGUGAUCAAAACUUACAUUAUAAAAAUGAAAGCACCAAGGCCUAGGACUGGGAGAGUAAGGGAUUUUCGACAUCCAUCAUGAUGAGUGCUCAUCCAUACCCCAAAAAUUACAACAGCUAGAGCUAAAAGCUGCCCAAUGAAAGAACCUUUUUAAAAAAGGGCAUAUAUUAACUUCAAAAGGACACAAGAUUCACAUAUAAUCAUCUUCAAUUUUUCUCAUUCACUUCUACUAGAAAUUGACUACAGCAGAACCAUUUAAAUGAGCAGAGGCUUAGAACAGAUUGAAAAACAGUAUUUUGCAGCAAAUUUUUACAAUGAGGUAGCCAACCAGGUCAGUGUUCAAGAAAAUUGAAGAGAAAACACCCAACCAAAUUUAGAAAUAAAAUAACAGCAUCAAUAAGAAUUAAGAAACCAACAAAUGAGACGAACCCAACAGGAAAAGAAAAACUUCAUUCUAAGAAUGAAAGCUGGCAUUGUGACCCAUAAAAAAAAAAAAAACACAUUUAGGAUAAUCAUAGUAAGAAAAAAAUCCUAAAAGAAGAGCAUACCAUUGUAAGAAAGUUGACCCAUCUGAUCACAAAAUUGCUUGAUCCCAUACCCAUUUUCACUUUCCUUUAAAGACACAAUAUACAAACAAAAGCACAAAGAAAAAAAAAAAACCAACAAAGAAAACACUGGUGAAGUUGGGUUUCCAAAACUUUCUCAGUUAGAAGAAUGAUUUUUGGAAAUAUAUAUACAAAAGAAUAGAAGUUUAGAAGCUUCUUGAGGAACUCUGAUAUGGCACUUGCAUUGCAAGAAAAGAGAGAGGCGCAAGGCAAGUAGAAUGAGGUUGUCUAGCUGGGGACAGAGAAAUGUGAGGGCUGAAAGGCUGAAGCGAGUGUGAAAGGGUAGUUUGGUCAAUGAAUAUGCACAUGGCUCAUGUUUUUGUCGGAUAACAGAAAGCAAAGCUUAUUGUGCUUGUAUAAUCAGCCUCUAUGACAAUAUCCAACAACAACGAAAGUAUCUUAAAAAGCCUUUCACCAGCCAGAUAUUACAUCGUUGACGGUUGCAGUUACAUAGAUUCUUGCGUAGAAUAAGGUUCCACGUAUGGCUUUUGUCUCUUGUCAGGUCAAUAUAGGUAUUUUAUACCACUCCAAUAUUUUGACCUUUUUUUUCUUAAUUUACAGUUACUUUUUUCACAUCUCGUCCCUGUUCUAAUCUUUUUUUAUGGGACAUGAAACUCUCGGUUCAAUACUUUGUAUUAUUACAAAUUUGGGAAUGUGAUUGUGGCAUUUUGCUGUCGUAACCGCUAGGAUAUAGCAGUGAAGCCGGGCAGAAAAGUGGGUCUAAGGUGCUGAUAGAAAUCAGAAGCAAUUUAAAUCAUUUUAAGCUGAAACGUAGACUCAAAGGGAAAAUUUGUCCCUGCUGACUUUAUUGCCAGUAAGGACAAUCCAGCUAUGACUCGAAAGCUUCGUCACUUUGCCAUUUAUCCCAUUUCAAAAACUCAAGGAUCUCAAUAAUGUGAAGAUAAGAACUUACUGGAAAAUUGUUUAUGAACAAAAAUUAAAGAAACUAAACCAGGAAACAUUGCCAUCCCAAAAGCCAUAAAAUUACAUAACAUUACAGGUAGCUGUUUACAGUGCUAUUCUAUCGGACAUUAAUCCAAUGUUUAUGUAAGUUGAACUCUGAUGUAAAGAACAUAAAUUUUUUGAAAAGAAGAUACAUUGCUUAUGUUUUCUGUUGCAGCACGAAAGAAUGUGCCGAUAAUGAUACUUGCCAUUUUAAGGGAUGAACAAGAAAAUUCAAGCAAUCCUCCACCCCGGCUCCCCUCGCUUUCUGUUCUCUCUCUUAUCCUCCUGCCGAAAGUGCCUUUUGGAGAUCAAAGUUGGGGUUCCAAAUUAGUUAGAGUCGGAUACCAAUAGGAUGAAUAAGACUCGGGUAAACCAGAAAGCAAGAACCCUAUACCACUCUAUUUGUGCAUGAUAGAAUUGUAGAUUUCAUUUCUUCCUUAUCCAAUGAUGCUUGAACAAUGACCUGCCAAAACAGAAGAUUUGUCAUCCAUAUCUCCACUGUUUACAGCAUUUUGGAUAGAAUAAUAAGGUUGAAUUUAUUUAAAAAAAGGUUGUAUUAAGAACCAAGAUAUUUGGUGAAAUAGGAAACAGAAAGAAUUUUCACAGAAGGUCCUCAAAAGUUUAUGUACAUUAGAAUUGCAUUUUUGGAUUUAGGGUUUUGGCUUAUCCUUGUCUAACUGCCUUGUAAAAAAUGCCAGUAUGACAGAUCUAUAAUCUCGACUAGAAACAUCACACUUUACAGGUGUUGGGAAAUUUAGACCUAACAAUGCACAAGGUGCAAAAUCAUUAACGUUCAAGAGUCAAACUGAUAUAAAACCAAACAACUAAACAGUGGUUUGAAAAUUUUAAAUGAUAUAUAUAUAUAUAUAUAUAUAUAUAUUCAUAAGAGGGAAGUUUUCAAUUGGAAAGAUUAAAUCCCCCAAUUGAGAGUUACAGUGGAUAGUAGCCAAAGCUUGGAGACCAUGAAAAACUUUACCUCUUGCACUUUGUUUCCAGAUCGAGCAAGUAACUUAUAUUGAUUCUCAAACGUGGAUGCCAUAUAGACCUGAAAAAAAGAUAGAUUGGAAGCAGAUAAUUCACAAUUGAGUCUGAAAAAAGAGACUGACCAAUUUCUUGAAUAGAAAAAGUUUCAAGUGAUUUCAAUUGCAUGGUUCCGCAUCCACAAUCUCAACAAAUGCCAGGGUUUGAACAUUGAGGCUUCUAUUAUGAAGUUGAUAAUGAAGCCUAGAAUUGAAAGAUAGCAAAACUUUUGGCAACUAAAUGAUGGAACAGUUAUGAAGGGCAGCUGAUGCUGAUUAAAGGAUUGUAGAAUUAUUUAGGAAUUAUUCAGUAAUUUUGUAUUUUUUAGGGUUCAGUUGUAAUUAUGUAGAUUUAGCCAUUUAGGGUAUUUUAGAUUACUAUAUAGGCUUAUAGGCUUGAUUCUUUACCAAAUACUAGGUACUCUAUACAUACCUAUAUUAUUUUCAGCUUCAGUUAGCUCAUAAUGCUGACUGAGCUGUUACUCAUAAUUCUCUCUCCAUUAUGUUUUUCAUACCUGCUCUACAUUACACAGCUUUUCAACAGAGAUUACAACCAUUAAGUGAAAAUUCAUUUAUCCUCGUCAGCAAUUCGAGGGCUCAACUGAUCCAAAGGUUUGAAUCAACAAAGCCUUCUUUUAAAAAGUUGGUAAUAAAUUCUGGCAUUGAAAGAUUAAAAGCUUUUGGCAGCUAAAAAUCCAAUCUGGCUCUUGAGAAGAAGAUUUAAGGGUAAUGGUGGUUUUGUAAUUUGUCAAGUGAGGAGAAAGAAUAAAAAUAAAGCCAUUUUUGAAUUUACUAUCCAAAAUAUCAAGGCAAACAUGGAACAAGAAAACAACACAUUAUUAUUGGAUUGGUUGUGGUAUUAUUGAAUGUGCAGAAUGGAUAUUAGCAGGUACAUGAGCUCAUUCUUUUCUCAAGUUUCAACAAAUAUGGACAUACAUUAAAGAAAUAGCAUUCAAACAAAUGUCUACUAAGCAAAACUGAUAAUCCAGAAAUCAAUAAGAUCUCUCAAACCAGAGGCAAAAUAUGAGCAGAUACAUUUGAUGCAAAUUAUUAUAUUUAAUCCUCACCAACUUUAGCCUACUGCAUUUAGUUCAUACAAAAGCAGCCAUACCUGGAAUGUUGGAGCUAAACCAGGACUCAAGAAAAACCGGCCCUUUGAAACUAAUUGAACACCUUCAAUCUGUUGCAAUUCUUUGAUAAGUGAUUCUACAUCAGGCCACUGUCAAUAUUUAAUAUCAGUGUCUGAGGAUUAGCCAUUGCAAGCAUGUAAUAACUAAUACUAGGACAAAAAGGAUAACAUAGAAGAUAAGAAUCUACUGUCACAGGGUAUAAACAAAAACCUCAGCGUCUGCUUGUGCUUCUUGUAAUCUUCCAUCUAAGUUAUCAUGAUCACCAACCACAGACUCCAAGGCCUCAAUCAGUGGAUCUGGCUGUCAUGGGACAAUAGAAUAAAAAGGAUCACAAUAUAAUAAAAAAAGGCCUAAAACAACUUAGGAAAUUAUAAAAUUAAAAGACCUAGUAGCUUGUUGAUUACCGUUAUCUCCUUCAAUGAUAAAAAUAUACGCUCAAGUGUAAAAUCCAAUUGGUGAACUUUUGCCUCGACUAUCUGAAAUCAUGAAAAUCAUCUGAAAAUUCAAUUCCAGGCAUAGAGAGGGUAGGUAGAUAAGAGCAUGGCCUACAAGAAAUAGCUUUAUGGAGUUCAGACACAAGCAAAGCACCAGGAUGAAAUAACAGAUACGAGCACCCACACACCAAAAAAAAAAAAUCUGUGAAUGUCAACAGCUUCUAACCCUACCAGGUCUUUCUUUGCCAUGCAUUCCUUACUUAGAAGAUAGGAGACUCAAUUUGCUAUUGUUUUAAUCUGCCAGUAAACUCAAAUACCUGACCGGUUUUGAAAUAUGAUGCAGGAUCCAAGGUGGCAUCCCAUGAUACUUCAGUUUGGUGAAUCAGAGCAGGUACACCUUCAACCUAUAUUAGCAAGAUUAGAUCACAAUUUGAGUGAAAAAAUAUAUUAAAGGAUCUAGUGUAGCACAGACAUGGGUGUUGUGGCUCCAUGCCAAGUAGGCUUAAGUUCAUAAAAAAUUAAAAACAAAGCAAAGGAGCAAAAAUCCGCAUGACACUGUUCCAGGCUAUAAUUGCUUCCAGAAACUUCACUUUCUGAAAGAGCAUCUAUUAUAGUAAUUGCACAGAUAUUGUAACAUUGCUGAGAAACCUGUGGCUGAGAGAUCAUUUACCUCCACAAAUAUACCAAAAUAAGUGAUUUUCUUGAUGCAGCAUUUUACAACAUCCCCUACACGAAGUUUGGCCUGCAACAAGAAAUGGCAUAAGUGCUUGAAGAGUUUUUAUCUUGUCAAAUUAAGCACAGUCAUGUUUUUCAUUUGGAAAUAUUUUUUCAAUUUCUCAUUUAUACGAAAAGAAAAAUGUUAGACAUUAAAUAUAAUUUCCUUGAAUAGUUGUUAUUGCUGCAAAGAGUGAGAACAUUUGAAAUACACAAAAAGUAAGUAUAAACACUGAAGAUGAGCAAGAAAAACAAAGGAAAAUUAAAACACAAUGUAGCUACUCACCAUAACAUUUCUCUUUUUCUCUACUAACUCUUCCUUUUCUUUUGGCCUCAGAGAAACUAUAAGUUUUCUAAACUUUCUGUCAGCCAUUACCACAUUCACUUUGACUGUCUGCAAAAACUAAACAUAUCAAUAUACAAAAUGCAAAUAAAAAAGACAAUUUAAAAAAAUCAAUUUCUUCAAACCUGACCAACAAAUAAGGACAAGAAUUUAAGCUUCUCUCGAUCAUAAAUACUCAACAAAUCUUCCAAUUUCAUAUCUGGUGAAAGAUUUCCCUCAAAAUGUUGGUUAUUUUCUGACUCUGAGUUUGGAUCCAGAGAAGAGUUCUUGCUCAUCAUACCAGCACUUCCAAUGACUCCUAAAUUCUGCUUAUAAACAGAUGGGUCUAAGCCCUUCUGUCUCAACCAUGAUUCAAAAGCUAAGAACUUCCAAUUAACAGCUAGGUUGCGGUAAGGCAAAAAUCCAAUCAAAGAACCAAAAGAUACCUAUAAAAUUGAUGCAAUAAAGUCAAAAGUUACAAAGAAGUACAUGUUUGCAAAUAGACAUGACAAAAGGAAAAGGUUCACUUACAACAAAACCUCUCGUGCUAGAGCUUAUUAACUCCACUUCUGCCCUUCUUCCAGUCUUACACAGAUCUUCUACCCUGGUCCAAUCACUAUCCUACAAUUGUAUGAGAUACCAAAAAUGAUCACACAUUAGAAAGUGAUACUUUAAAAAUGUCCACUAAUUACUUGAGGACAAAAAGGUCCAGUAAGCUGACCUCCUGAGGUGAUACAGAAGGCAGACCACCAUAAUCUUCAGGACCGAUGGGACCAGUUUCUGCUCUAUUGGAGUUUGAUGUUUCUUUCACAGAUUGUUCUAAUCUAUAAGAGAGCAAUUUGUUAAUCACAACUUUAACAAUUGAAGAAGAAAUGUCCUAAUUUGAAGAAUGAAUUUGACACCUUUUUGGCCUCCCUUGUAGUGCAGCUUCCAUAGAGAGAUUAAAGCCAGAUUCCACAGUAGACACCCCAUUACUUAGCUCAACUGGCUGCAUUCCUUGAAAAGCCCAGAAAAAUAUAAAUUUCAAUAUUUCAGAUUGAAGGGUUUCUAAACUUCUUAGAUAAGGUAAAAGAUGGUAACUUAUAAGCGCUUUAAAAGAGAAAGAGGACUCAGGUUGUUAAUAAACCCCACCACGGUGACACUCAACACAAUCAAACAUAAACUAACUUAAAAGGAACUUCAUGAUAUAACAUGGUGCAUUACCAAUUAUGGAGGCAUCCUCUAUCUCAGGUUUCUUAGGGAUUGAGCUAUGCCCUGCUUCUAAUGAUUCUUCAAUACAACUCUCUGUUGUAUUAGCCAGCAUGUUAGCUUCCAGCUUUGCUUCCAACCUUUCUCCCUCAACUUCUAAAUCUUCAAAUUGCUCUUCUUCUUCUCCAAUCUUUAUGUUCACACUUACCAGUUCAGGCUUUUUUAAUAGCGUAAAAUCACCACUUCUAUCCACCACUUCUUUCUCUUUCUUUGGCCCAACACUAUCAUCAAUAACUUGUUUUUUAUUAAGGCUUGUAUCAACACUAUCAACACUCAUCAAUUCAGGCUUUCUCAACAAAGUCAUAUCACUAUAAUGUUCCUUUGCCGUUUCAUUCCUCAUUUUGAGGGACAAAUUUGAUUUCAUCCUAAACCUGGACGGCCUAUCUUCCACAUCAUCUUCAUUAACCACAGUUGGCUUUCUCAAGAUAACAUUUGGAAGCCUCCUCUCUUUUGGACUAUCAAUAGCCUUCUCAUCUGACAGAGUUGGACUCCUAAUCUUAGAUACAGCCGGCUUAUCAUCAGCUUUAAACUUGACUCCCUUCUUCGGAACAGGACGAACUAAAUUUAAACCAUCAAAAGAUGUGGUGGGUGAUUUCUUUUCAACAUCAAAAGGAACCUCCUCUACUUCCACUAUUUUACCCUUGUUCUUAUAAAAUGCUUUCUCAAUUUCAAUAUAAGAUGCUUCGGGAUUUGCCUUUCUACCCAUUAUCUAAAAAACCAAAACGCAAUAACAUAAAAAAAAAAAAAAAAGCUGUAAAGAAGCAAUCUUUUUUAACAAUUAGAAAAUAGGUACUUAAAAAAACAAAAAUUUUCUCUAAAUUGAGCAUAAAAAUAUAAAAAUAAAAAAGAGUGAGAAAAAGCGUGCCUUGGCAUGGGUGAGUUUGGGGUCUUCACCAAGCAAGCGGCCAAACUUGACCUCCAUUUGGUCCCAUUCGUCAAGCUUUGGCUCUUCUUUCUGCGCAGAAACCCUUUUCGCCCUUCUUCUCACUCGUACUCUUGAUACUGAUACGGAAGGAAACAGCAAAAACUUGUUGACAGAGAAGGAAUAAGCAGUUGCUGUGGUAGCGGUGAAGCAAGCUAGACCGUCCAUUUAUAAAGCGAAAGUAAAAGCAAACUGAUCAGACGGCGUUGAGAAGCAUUGUAAAACUGUUGAAUUUUGAAGCCUGAGACUGAAAAUUGAGCUUUGGUGGUGAUACAGCGGCCUCUUGGGAAUGGGGAAGUGAAGAAGAUAAGCUACAUUAUCUAUCCAUCAGGUAACGCCAACGUGGCAGUUUAAUUUAACAACCGCUAUAUUCCUCCACGUGAAUCAAUCUGCUAGUGUUUUCCUUUCUGUUUUAGCGAAAGCAAAUUUCUGACACGUGUCAUGUAGAGGCCACGUUAAUUUUUACAGUGAAAUUCCAAUUUAAUUUUCGGGCCUUAAUCCAAUGUCCCAAUCCAAAACCUAAUGUUGAAUUCGAUUCAGGGUAGACUUAUUAGAGAAAAAGGAUUGAUGAUGGAAAAAAUAUCAAAAGAUGCGAUUUUAAAAUUAAAUAAAAUUAAAUAAAAUUUAAAAAUAAAAUAUUUUUAUAUUAAAUAUUUUAAUAUAAAUUAUAAUUUAAUAAUUUAAUAUUUUAUAUGUUAAAAAAAAUAUUUAACUACAUAAAUGGUCUAAAUUGUAUUAGGCAGGGCCCUAAAUUGGGCUCAAUUCGGGCUCAAGCAAUUUGGAAUCUGUCUUCUUUUCCCGUGUUUUUUUAUUUCUGCAAUUAUAAAACGAUAAAUAUUUUAUAGAGUCAAAUUAUAGUAUUAAUAGGGGAGAAAGUAGGGAUUUGAACGAACAUUUCAAGCAAUUAAAAAGUGAUUCCUCUCAUUGCAAAGGCGAUGCAACGGUGAAAGUAUGAACUCUGAAAGGAUUGCCCAUUUACACAAACCCCCCCUAGGUCACAUUACAGUCAAAAUUUGUCUGCAUACAAGGAUGAUUUUCCAUGAAAUGUAAACCAAAAUCAUAUCAAUUAGAAUGACAUUAAUUUGAACCAACAACUUGAAUUUGCUAGCAAAUCCAAGAACUGGGAGACCCUGGAGCCACAGGAACUUUCCUCAUGAGACUAGAGCGAAAACAGAACAAGGUCAAUACCCAGUUCGGAUAAAGCCCUAUGUCCCCUGAAGGUUCAGCGAGUAUUCUAUUGCUGGUCCUGUGCAAAAGGUUUAUUAGAUUUUUCUUCCGCCUCUGCUUCUGCUUCUGGUUUUGGCUCAUCUUCUGGCUUUGAUUCUGAUUCGGAUUCAGCAUCAGAUAUUCCUUCGAGUAAAGCUCCUGUUGAAUUUUUCUUCAGAGAAGCCGCCUUGGUAAGAUAACUGUAGCUGCCCUUCUCCUUGAACAACUGAGCAAAGUGGUGCUUGCAGUAGAUGAUGCCAUCCAAUGCAGCAUAUGACGAUGGUGUAAGGAAGCAACCACCACGAGAACACUUGAAGCAGGAUUUAUGGUAGAUUUCUCCCUCCACAGUCACCUGGUAUUGUUUUAACUCAAAAUGAUCAGUUUUAUUCAUCCUGAAUUUUGUUAGCUUAUUAACAUACACAGUCUAUAUUGGGUUCAUUCAAUCAAUAAAAGGUACCACCCACUCAAAUGAGUGAUACUGGAGACCACCCUUUCUUUUUCUGUUUGUGGUAAAUAAGAUUAACUAGACUCAAAAUGAGAAACAGACAGAUCAAGAAUCUAAUAUCAGACCUUCUCUAACGGGUAUGCGGUUUUGUUACAGACUCCACAUUUAUCUUGUGUGCCAGAGAAGAAGGAUGCAAGUCUACUAGGAGCCCUUGCCUGCGAGUUAAAUAAAAUGAACAUUAAUUGUAUCAAAAUAAUCUUUGGGCAUCUACAUUGCAAAUAAAAUAAAGUUUAAUGCAAUGGUGGGAGAGAAUUUGAGUACCAAUCCAUUUGGCUUGUCGGAAUUCCCAGCUGAAAAACCAUCAAAUAAGCAAAAAAAUAAUAAUAAUUGUUAGCUAAAAUGAAAAUUGAAACAACGAACUAAUGCCCGAACAGGUGGAGAGAACUGGUUUGGAAAGGAAAGGGAUCUCACCUUGAAAUUUCUUUGUAUAACUGCCAGUCUCCUUGAAGAGUUGCUCGAAGUGAGGCUUGCAAUAUAGGACUCCUUCCAUUGAGCAAUAGCUGCUCAUCUGUAAAAAAAAAGUAUUGCGACCAAGACAUUGGAUUGAUCAAGUUUCAAUGCUCUAUAAUUCAAAGAAGAAGAAGAAAAAGACACUUUCCCCCACAUAUAUUAUCAUAGAUGUCGCUGGUUAACCUUUUUUUUAUUCAUCCAAUCUCAAUUUCAUGAAAGCAGAAAGUUCAUCAAGUUUUGACUGCCUUAUGAUCAGCAAUUAAUUUAUGAAAUUUCAAAAUUCUUGCAUAGGAAAACAACAAUCAACAUAGACAUACCACCAGAAGUCCAUUGCAAUGGCUGCAUUUGAAGCAGGUCUUAUGAUAAGAAACCCCAUCAGCUGAUAAUAAAUCAAUAAAAUGAACAGUCUUAUCACAGGCCUUGCAUUUCUCUGUUGUCCCACUGAAUGCCAUUUUCCUCUUGUAUUAUAAUUUCAAAAGCAAAUACAACAGAGCAGUUGCAAGAACAAAAGAAAGGGUUUUCUAGAGAAAAUGUUUGAAGGAAAGACAACAAGAGUUCUGAUCUCUAUCUCAGAAGAUUGGGAUAGAAAACGAACUCGGAAAAUUGUCUAUCGUCUUUCACCUUGCUUCAGCGAAUGUUAUAAGGCACAUUUCAGGGUCAAAAAUGUAAUGGAAAAACAAGUGGAGGAUAUGAAUCAACGCUUAUUAAGGAUACGCAAUCAAAGGUCCACCCCUAACUCGUUGGCAUAUAUAAAAUUCCGUGCUCUAAGAAUAGGGUCAUGCUCCGUGGAAGGGCAUAGAUGCAAGGUUUCCUGCUGACCAAGUUUUUCAAGGAUGAUAGAGAUCUGAAAGUACAGUUUACAACCUGAUCACAGAUAAUCCACUCUUUUAUACAUGGUGACAUAUGAAUAUAUAUAUAUAUAUAUAUAUAUAUAUAAAGAAGAAUGUCCCACUAGAAAUUACAACUAGAUUUAUGAAAAUAGGAUUAAGUAUCUCUCAUAUAUAUAUAUCUACACACAGAUAAAUUGAUGUACACGAGUAUUAGAUUAGAAUGCCCCACUUACAAUUACAAACCAACUGGGGGAGAGGGAAAAAGGAAAAAGGGGGAAAAAAACAAUUUUCUCUCCUUUGAAUAUCAGUAAGGAUGUUAACUGCCGAAGCAUCCAAGAAAUUUCUUCGGUGUAUAUCCAGUUGCACGAAAUAUCUCUGCUGUCUCCUCUAUCUUGAGAAAAUAUUCUCCUCUCUUGGCCUCUAUCACUGCUCUUUUUUCUUCUGCUUCCUCCUGGAUUUCAGCCACUUUGUUUUUCAUUUUCUCACCAUACUCAGCCUUCUUCUUUUCCAGUUUUUCCUAUCAAAAUAAGACCUUCGUUAAACACAGUACCCAUAAUCUCUAGAACUUGUUUUAAUACAAGCUAUUUGUGCUUAAGAGUUCAAUAUUGUACCGUUAAUUCGUAAACUAGGGACUGAUCUAGUACAGAAUUUUACCUCAUAUUUCUUUAGCUGCGCUUCUACACCGGCUUUCUUGGCAUUCUCCCAUGAUCCAAUAGCAGAUAUCUUCUUAUGUGCCCUGAUUUAACAUUUUCAGCAUUAUAAGUUGCUUAAAUCAAGUAUGAGGACUCAUAACAUAAAUGGGUAUUGAAAUCAUUAUGAAAUCAAAUAAAAUAAAUCUCAGUCCAGAAAACUCUUUCUUCUCUAUGUUUAGGGGUUAAUGUGAAUUGGCCAUGGCUAAGAACUUAUGCUGCAUAAAUCAUAACUCUAUCAGAGUUUUUUCAGCAUUUAUAUACCAAAGAUAUGAUGACUUUUUUUUUAGUACUUUUGGCUAUUUCGCAGGAUGGCAGAGACUGAAAAACAAGGAGCUGUACAAGUUUAAAAAUGGCCUCUUACUUGUUUUCUACUUUUGCCUUUUCAUUUUCCUCCCAUGCUUUAAUCAAAGCUAGUCUUUUUUCUGUCUCAACCCGUGCAAGCACAGAAUCUGAAAUAAUGAUCUGAUAAGUCAAUUAUUUUGCAAAUAAAUGUACCAUUUCCAAAGGACAGAUGGUUUCAAAUAAAUGAGCAUAUAGCCAUAUACCUCUGUCGUUUGGACCUUUCCCUAUAGCUGGUGCUGCUACAACUUCUGCCAUUUUCAACAUUUAGAGGUCAGAUAAUGUCAUAUCAUAGGGCAGCCUAUUAAACUGAAUGGCUGAAAAUUUCCCAUUCCAAUUAACCGGACUAAUUAGACCAACUGACAUUUCAAUAAACAUUAUGGAUUCUGUUUCAGGAAAUGAAACAUAUUAUUAGCUGCAAGUAAUUUGCAAGGACAUGGAAGCUAUGGCAUGUUUGUGAACAAGUUUGUCUGAGAAUGCAAAAACUUGGCACAGAAAGAAAGAACACAAGGAAAUACAAAUCAGGCUAACAUCUCUUCAGCAGAAGAGCAAAUCCAUUUAGCCACUAGUUUAUGUAUGUAGGUAGCAUAAGCACUGAUAAAACCAAAAUGAAGUUCUAAUGACAGAAGGCCCACAGAAAAACUGAAGAAAAGCAUCCUAACUUGAAUAUUACCCUGCAUAUAAUAUCAAAGGGCAAUAAGUAGGAUCUCUUUCUCUUGCUUUUUGUAAGAGUAAAAGCAGAUGUAAAAAAUAGAAAUAUGAAAACCAAAACGAAUCUUUAGCAUACCCUUUUCCUUUUCAAAAUAACUUUUGACCGCAUGCAGACAGCCUGAUAAUAUCUUGUAAAAAAUAUAUGCAUAAUUACAGUUUCAGUGUAAAAUGAAGGCCCAAAAUUGAUCAGAGCUCUAAAAACAAAAUCAACCCAAGAUAUUUUCAGGUUGCCAUGAGAUCCCUAAUGCAAAAAUCACACAAAAUAAGCAAAUUUCAAUGAAAUAAAGUUGAUAAAAACAUCACAAAAUCACAAUAGUACUUAGGAUAAAAAAAUGAAGAGUGUAAUGGGAUAAAAACAAACAAAGAAUCAGUCUUUGUAAACUCUGAGAGAAAGCAUACGUUCAGGAACCGGGAUCAGACUCUUCUCUUUAACUACGUCACUCUUUGCUGCAUCCAUCUCUUCCUUAACAGGCUGCUGCAGCUCCUUGGGUACAGAGGCUUCCAUUUUGCUGGCUUCCUCCUCUCCCAUAACGUAUUCCUUUAACUUAGCCACAGAUACUCCACCAAAAAGAACACUCAAAACAUAAAUUUCCCUCUUCUGGUAAAGACAGAUUUUAAGCAACAGCAAAAUUAGCAAAGAUACAGAAAAUAAAGAAAGAGAAACCCUUUGGAAAUGUCUGCUGGAAAUUACUUGGUGGUUGUGGUUGGUAUAAAUAGAAGUUAAGUUCUGACAGAAAAAGUGAUUGGUUUUGCAUUCUUACUUUAUAUAAAAUUUUGUACAGGUAGCUUUCUUAAAGAAAAAAUAUCAUCACACGACAGUUUAGAAGAGAAAAUAUUUGUAGCUUUUGUGUAAUCACAAACCGAAACAAGAAGCAAAAAAAACUGAGUCAAACUGUGUUAUUAUACAGAUUCCUAAUCAAGAUUGAAUUGUUCAAUUUGUUCUCAUUUUCAGCUUUGGAAGUGAUGUUUGAUUGAAAUGGAAAUGGGUUCGUGUUAUUUCGAGAAAGAACCUAAAACCUGGUACGUAAUUGGUAGGUAAUUAUGAAUUUGUGAUGGUCUGCCGCCAUAAAACUUCUUUAAGUUCUUACGGAUAUAUAUGUUUGUUUCCUUCACGAUCACGAUGUAGGUAAGAACUACAGCUACUGAAGAAGGACAGUACAUUGAAAGAUAAAUUAUUUAGGCCAACGAUACAAGGGACAGCUAGGUUCAUCAUUGAUGGUGAAAUGCCAUAAUAUUUUCCUGGAAAGACUAAUUGUGGAGGAAAAAAGGAGAAGAUCCUAAGCCACGAGAUUGUGACCAUCUCGAUCGUAUACGUACAUUAUUAAAGGAGCAAAUGUACAAUACUGGCUAUCUAAGUACUUAUGUAAAAACAACAGUUGAUUAAUACAAGUGAUUGUUUAUUAUAAUAUCGUCAAAUAAUGUGAUUUAAGUAUUUCUUGCUACCCUGAAAUGCCCAUUGAUAGUUCUUGUAUUGCUGUAGAAAAUAUAGUAUUCCCCAUAUUGUAACAAAUGCCGUCCGACCAACGUAAAAAAAUGUUGUAGCAAAUUGCAAAAAUGGAUCUGAUGAACAUUUUACAGAUGUCGAUUUGCUUCCAGCCGACCAGUCGUCAACUUCCUGUCUGUCCCCAUUUGCAUAACUCUCCAAGGUUGGUAUAUGGGAUUGUUGCACCAAAGUUUUCAAAUGUUAAUCCAUUAUGAAUAUUCCCAAAAAAAAAUUUGAGAAAUCUUGAACUCUUUUUCCCUAAAAUCUUUUAAUUUCAUUAAUUAUUUAUAAAUAUGAAACAGGAACAUUAACUCAAAACAAGUGAACGUGCAAAUUAGUUAUGAGCAUUGCCUCUCAAUUGAAGUUGUCACAUUAUUAUUGAAGCCCUACUGCACGGACCACAAUCAUGACAUGGCAAUCGUUGGACCUUGGUCUCACAUGUAACGAAGAAAGAGUUGGUGAAUUUUCUCACCAUAUUGAAGCAUCCAUCUGAAAUGGGUUUUUCUUCCAUCUUAAUUUUGGGGUGACAAUCCAUAGGAAUCCAAAUUUCUAUGUGCAUGACUGAUGGUUAAAGAAAUCAUUUUUAUUGGGGAAAAAAAAUGAUUUCCCUGUCUUGCAUUCUUGCAAGAAUAAUUACUGUCCAACAAAUGUCUCCAGAAGCAGCCCACGGCAAAGAUAUGACUCGUUGUUUAAAGCUUGAACACUAUUAAAAUUUUAAUUAGCUAUCUAAAUUAAUUAAAACCCGUUUGAUUAAUCUGAUUAAUCCUUUCUACUUUUUACAUUAUCCGAAUAUUACUCGCCUUGAAUUUGGUGAACCUUUAUAAAUUAUAUUAUCCAAAAGAAAUCAAAUAAACCGACCACGGAAGGCUUUUGACUCAUGGAGUAAUGUAUCAGAAUCAGAUCCUCGUCGUGUUCAAAUUCAUUUCACUAUUAACUUAUUUAAUUUAUUGUUCUUAAUUGCAUUCUUGAAUCAUAUGUAGAAGAAACCAAAAGAAGAAGAAAAUGCAUGUGCUAUGAACCUCAAAGACUUAGAUGUUUGACUGUGGAGACCAGACAAGUAGGGCCAAGCUAAAGUCUCAAAUUAACCUGUGCCAAUGUCUAAUGCUAAUCACACAUUUAAAAAUCAUUUUUUGUCAAAGAAACAGAAACGAAAACAGGCAACAGGGACAAGUACAUCAUAUACUUUCAGUUUGACACUUGUCCGACGGUCCCCACACAUGCCCUUGUGAUCUUGUCUUUCACUCUUUUUCCCAAGCGUUACACCAAGCUGCUUAGAGUCUAACAACUUUUUGAAAACCAUUGCGCCUUGGAAGCCUCAGAACCUGAAAAAAGGCAGCUUGUUUAAACAAAAACAUGGGACCAACGCCCAUGGUAUCCCCCAAUCUCUUCUCCUAUAAAUAUAUUUCAGGUCUCACAGCAUUUUCCGUGUGUUAAAAUUCAUUACACUUUGCGUUCUCCAAAGUUUCUGUCACCUUAUUUUUAGGAAAAAUCAUACUAUUCGGGAACAAAUCAAAUGGAUGUGUUUAUUCCCGAAGAGUAUGUUAUAAGGAGAAGAAUUGAGAAAAAAGCAGCUUCCAUUGCUGGAAAGAGGCAAAGUAUGGUGCCGGAGGGAAGCAAGAAAAUGGACAAGGAGAUGAAAAAGUCCCAGCUGCCACCGCCAUUUCGACAACUAGACAGCACUGAGUUCUUGGUCCCUGGUGGGAUUAGUGAACAUGUAGUUUUCAGUUGCUUGUCAGCCUAAUUUGAUGGCCAAAAGAUGAAAGUAAACUGAAGUUGUCUCGAAUGUGUUUAAUUAGAAUUAACGUCCUUUUUUAGUGUAUGUUAUUACAUAUCAUAAAUAUAUGUCGAUACCAAUUUAGUUCUUCCUAUUUGUUAAUCAGUUCCUUCUGCUUUUCUCUCUUUUUUUUUUUUUUUUAUUAAAGGCUGCAGUUCUGCCUUUUGUUUAAAAAACAAAAAAAGUCGUAUACACAUGUAUUUAGAUUUGAAUUAUUUGAACUUCGGAUUUGGUUGAAUUUCGAAAGUCUGCUUCUUUCCUCUUUGAUUGAUUUGACAGUGUGAGCUACAUUGUCUAGCUAGGGCGUGCAGCUUGCAUUAGCAGCUAGGUCACAAUCAAGAUUUCAGUUCGCUUAGUUGGGUUUGGAAGAUUAUUACUAUCAAAUUAAUGAUAAAAAAAACUUGUAAAAUGCAUGUACAAGCAGUAUGCGAACUAUUUAUAGAUUGUGAAGAUAGGUAUCAUAGAAUCUGUUUUUCAUUCAUUAUUAGCUGCCUGGGCUGGUUGUCGUGGUUGUGUUUGUUGAUUUGGGCCCAUUUGUUGAAUCUAUAUUGGGACUAGGGUUGAAAAAGAGGGGUGGGAUGGGCUCAUCAGUGUCGACGUAGAGGAAAAAGUACGGUUCGUUUGAAACUUAUUGACUUUUAUCUUAUGGACACAUUCUUGCCUCAGCCCAAACUACCUUUUUAGUUCUCAGGCCCUAAAAGGCUAUCUUAAAGCCUUCAUGUUUCAACCCAUUUAAUUAAAUUUUAAAUUUCAGAAUACCAAGAUUUUGGACAUGAAAUUUCAAAAUCAUGAAAUUCUGUUUCAUCAAUGAUGGUGGCUAGUACGUGUUAGAUAUGAUAAUUUGAUAUGGUAACAUAAUAUAAAAAUGAUAUGAAUAAAGAAUAUAAAAAUAACAUAAUUUAAAAUUUUAAAUAUAAAAAUUAUAUGAAUAAAAAAUACAGAGAUAACAUGAUUUAAAUUUUUAAAAAAAUCAUAAAUAAAUUCAAUAAAAUUAAAAAAUUAUAUUUUAUAUUUUUAUAUUAGUAUAAACUGUGAUAUGUGAUUUUCGUGUAAAAUACGAUAUAAAUAUAAUAUUUUAUAUAACAUGAUUAUACGAAUUAUGAUAUUUAAUACUUGCUAUUCAAGUAGUAUAAUUUGUAUUUUAAAAUAUAAUAAAAAUUCAAAAUUAAAUGCUUAAAAGAAAAAUUAAGAUUCUAAUUUUGACAUUUUUUGUAAUACUAUUGAAAAUUUAAAAUUAUUUUAAAAAUCAUAUCCGUAGAUAUCAAAAAUAAAUCUUAAAUUCUCCUAAAGUAAAUACCUCCUUAAACUUAUUUGAAUGUGCGACACGAGAGACGUGUUGUGCAUGCUGAAAACGAUUAAAAUAUGCAUUUAAAGGAACUUAACCUCCUCUUAAAUCAUGCAGUACGUAAGUAGAGAGAGAAAGACAAAAUUUCUAAUCAAUACUUAAAACAGUUAGGCAUAUAUGCACGUAGUUUUUGAAAAAUUCAAUAUGAGAUAAGUGAGAUUUUAGUCAUACGAACGAGAUGGUAAUAGGUUAAUAUUUUAAAACCUUUUAUAUAAAAAAGAAAUCAUUAUUAAUUAUAAGUGAUACCAUACAUAAUUAAUAAAUUUUUCAUAAUUGGAUAUUAGGUAUGCUAAUUAUAUAUCAUUUUUCAACCUAAUUCUAGGAGGUAUCCAUCUUUGAAAAGAUGAGAAACUGCGAGUUAAUCUUUGGAUUCUCCAAAUAAUAAUCUUUAAAGAAUACCAAAAAAUGUUAUGAGUAAGUUAAAAUUGUAUAUUCUCCCCUUUUUUUUAUUUAAAAUUGACAAUAAGUAAAAAAAAAAUUCAAUUUAAAUGUAAGAUCACAAUAAAUUUAAGAUUUAAUAAAUUUGAAAUAAUAUCAAUCAUUUUGAUAAUUUUCAAGAAACGAAGACAUAAACUAUUAUGUAAUAAUCUUAUAAGGGGUAAUAGAUGUAAGUAAUAGAUAAAAAUAACAUAAUAGAACGUGUAUUUUAAUAUCAUAUUAAAAAUUUAACUAAAAAUAAUUAAUAAUAGAUAGAAAAAUUCUUCUUAAUUCUUAAAUAUAAAACCACAAAAAAUUCAAAGCUUAACCUAUAUGUGAUAAUAUCAUGCUAAGAAGAUUUAGAUUUAUUUGGGGACUUCUUACAAAUUUGUACAGGCAUUAACGGGGAGAGGGAGAAGGAGAGAGAGACCUAUGAUGAUUUGGAAAUAUCCAUUUCCAAAGGAGCAGCUUCCACAGAGUUUCCAGUGUCCGAUACCAAGUUGAGAAGAAAAUCAAAUAUAUCAGUAGCUAUAACAGCUGAGGUAACAUCCUCUUUGUUAAGCGUUCUCCUCUUGCCUCGCAUUGUGACCAUCCAAGAUCUUUGCGUAAGCUCCUCGAUGAACAGCUCGCAAGCCUUGGAGAAAACAAUCGGAGCCUCCCCAGAUAUCAUCUUAACAUCGUCGCCAGACUUCUUCAUGAUCUUCUUGAUCCUUGCCAAGGGCAACAAAUGAGGCCCUGUUCUCCCAGAUAUUCCACCCGACAGUAUGCCCGAAUACGUUCUUGCUUGCCUCAUACUUGCAAGCCGGUGGAAGUUACUUUGACAAAGAGAUAACUUUGUGAAGUGAAUAAGAUUCCAAUGGUGUAAUUUGCUUAAUUAUAUAUAUAAGUGAGAAUCAUGUGAAGGGGAGCGUGGUAAUGGAGGCCGGCUAGCCUGCUGAGGCCGGCAAAAUCCAAUGAAAUUAGUAAUUUAAUUAUGGCUGCUGAUAAAUGACUUAGGAUCAGUUAGGAUGUCAUAUGCCUAAUUAACGGUCAAAGAGAGCCGAGGGUAAGCACAUUGGCAUGUAUAGUAUGAGUUGUUAGAAUACAUUUUCAUGGAACUGUAAGGACAAAUUGCUACUUUUAGUGUGACAAAUACAAAUAGAAUUAUAAAAUAACAAAAUCUUAAUUUUGUGAUUGGAAGUUUUUGCCUUGAAGCGAAAGGGGUUCGGUUGAAACUUGAUCUAAUAUUCAAAUAGGUCGGAUUGGGUCCACUCCAAAGCUUAAAUAUAUAAUUAUUACUGGCACUUGAAUAUGUAAAAAUCAUUCAAGUAGUAAGUGUGGAUUUUGUUUAGAAUAAUAAUAACGUGUUUCAAUGGGGAUCUUGUUUAACAUCUCAUUAGGUCGACUAUAAUCAUUUAUAUAACUAGAAAUUAUAGUCACCUCGAUUUCGUGUUUUCCUUUUUAUCUUGUCUGUAAAAAAUAAUAAUAAUAAAUAAAAAGGUACAGAUAGAUACUUAUAAAGUCAUCCAUAGAGCCGGAUUUACUGGAAUCUUUACAAUGGAACUAUAGUCUGAUUUGUCAAGGUUGCCCUUCGUUGGGAAUGAGAGAUGAUACAAGCACGAGCUUGAAAAAAUCUAAACUUUUUGUUGGCAGUUCAACAGGCUAGAGCUAGACCUGGACCCGGACCCAACCUUCUUUGAUGAUGGAGCUUCUCUCUCAUGAUGGCCCAUAUAUAAUGGUAGCAAAGAUUGGAUGCAGUCUACUUCUCUGAUCUACAACUAGACCCAUGUCUUUUAUGCGAGGAAGAAGAAGAAUAGUAAAUCUUACAUUCAUUUGAGUGAAUAGUAAGAUUAAUCUUGAUGAAAUUAAAAAUUAUAAUUAAUGUAAGGUUAAUCAUUGUAAUGAAUAUAAGAUUAAUUAUUAUAAUGACGAGAUUAAAAUUAACGAUAAAAAUAUUUGUUUAGAUUCAAACACAAUAAUAACGAUGAAAUGAGUUGCAAUAAAUAAAGAACUAAUCAUAAUUAAACAUAUUAAAUUAAAAUUUAUAUAUAAUAAUAAAUUUAUAAAUUAUUUAAUAUUAAAUUUUAAUUUAUUAUAUAAAUUUUGUUAAUAAAUAAAAAAAUUAUUUAAAUUAUUUGUUAAUAUAUUAUAUAAUAAAAUUUAAUUCAUUAUAUUAAAUUAAUAAGUUAUUUAAUAAUUUUUAAUAAAUAAUCAAAAUUUCAUUUCUUUUGGCCAAAAAAUUAAAAUAAAAAAAAUAAAGUGUUUCCUUAAGAGUGAAAAUUACAUACCUAUUUAUAAGUGUUUCCUUCCCUACAAUGGUUUUUCAUGUAAGAUAUAAAAAACUACAAACAAAAAAAUCUCUUUUAUAACUCAUUUAUUGUCCAUUUUAAGUGAUUAAAAGUUAUAUUUACAAUAAUAUUUUUAAAACAUUAUAAGAGAUUUUUAAUAUAUGUUAUGUGUACUUUUCAAUAUAUUAAUAUUAAAUUAUGAUUAAAAUAUUGUUAAAAAGAUAUUUAAUCAUAAAGUAGUCAUCUUAAAAAGAAUAAAAACAAAAUAUAACCAAAUAUUUAUUAAAUUUUUUCAUAAAUAUAAACAAAUAAAAAUUUGUAUUCGAAUAAUUUAUUAAACAAAUAUUAAAAUAUUAUUUAAAAUUAUUUGUUAAGUUUAAUAUAUAUAUAUAUAUAUAUAAAACAGAAAUCGAACAUAUUCAGAAACAAUUUAUCAAUCAUUUACACCUUUAAACCUAAGCCAUUUUUUCAUUUCAGAUAUCUGUUGAGGGUCUAUGUCUUAAGCAAGCAGAGAAUGAUCAGGUCGAGGUUCGGGGACCUCCUGUUUCGAAAGCCUUUAGGUUUUGGUUGCCUUCAAAUUUUGUUUUGCUAAAUGUUUUUCAACUAACGAAACUUUGAUGUUUUGUCCAGUGAUUCUGGUAGUUGGGCAGUACAACUCCAGUAGUAUAGAUUUUGGCAGUUCCAUAGGAGUUUGUUUGUUUCUCCCGUGUAUUUGAUUUCUACCAAUAUGAAAACUGUUAUGUACUGCUGCUAGCUAAAGCUUGAGCCCUGAGGGUUUUUGACACAAGGAGUUAAUUAUGGAAUCUCUCAAGUAAUCUCUCUCUCUGUACAUCAUGGAACAUCUCAUUGCAUAAACGCACAAAUGAAUCCUUACAUAUUUCCAUGUCUUGAUAAGGUGCUUUAAAUUCAUGGCCAAAAAUAAUAAUAAUAAAGUGUGCUUUUUGUUUGGCUCUAGUAUCUUAUAUUGGCAACUUACGGUUGUCAUAAAUCAUAACUUAGCCUUUCAAGGUACAAGUGGAAAUGCCUUUUAUUUGGUAAAUCCUUGUUGCAUAUCCUGAUAAUAGAUAACAAUAUAUAAUAAGCUUAUCCAUCAGUGGAUCCAAACAUUGUUGCGAAGGAUCAGUCUUGAUGCCAUUAAGUAUAUUUAAAGGAACCAGUAUCUGAACAUUGUUAGUGAUAUUCUAUAUUAACCUAUUACCAUAAGUGCUGGUUUAACCCACAGUAAGAAUUCUGUUAUGACAUUGUUUUGGAAACUUCUUAUACUUCUGUUCAUCCUAUUUUUUAUGACUUCGAAAAAUGUAAGGUUAAAUGGACGAGAUUAUUUAUUUGAUUGUUGAUUUCUACUAUCAGUAAAUUCUACAUUUUUUUCGAUAUGGCGAUUUUAUCUGAUGAUUGAUAUUCCAUCACCGUUGAAUUGAAGAGAUAGAAAAGGGCAUAGUAAAUUCAACAAAUAAAAAAAAAAAAAAAAAAAAACAUGGUAAUCAUGUGACAUGCACAUGUCAUGCAUGAUAAUUCAUGGGUAGAGUUUUAUUUUUGGCAUUUUUAUAUAUUUUUUUUUUCUUUCAAUCUAAUUGUUACUACUCUGAAUAACAAGUGGAUCGAUAAGCUUUAUACUUUGAUGAAUUUUAGUUUUUUUUUUUUUUUCAAUAAGAUUGUUGCGAACGUAACAAUUUAAUUAAACUAUAAAAUAUUUUUGAAAGAAUUUUAUAAUUAAUUUAAUAUCUAUAAUUGAACUUGUGAUAAAAUAGAAUAAAUAAAAUAUUAUUUUUAAAUAAUAAUUUAAUAAUUCUUAACAAAUUGAUAAUCAAUAAUCACCAAUAACUUCUAUGAAAAAUAAGUUCCAAUUGAGGUUGAAGCGCAGUGAGCCUUCAAUUGAAAGAAAGCUACGUGCCCAAUUGGGACUGUGGGGAAUUCAUACUUCAAUUGAAGGUUACGUGGUAACUGAAUAGGAAAGUAAAUGUUAAUUUGGAGUGAGGUUAUAUGCUGAGUAAACAAGUAAACAGGUGUUAUAUUCUUAUUGGAGAACUCUAAGCAAAGGUAUUUGUUAUGUUAUGCCCCUCGAUAAAUUUGAUUGUUUUACUUUUUACUCUCAAUAGUCACGCACUUCCCAAAGCAUUCCCUUUUAAAUAUCUAUACCUAUAUGAAAAAAAAUUCCAUUUCUUCUUUGACAUUCGUCCAUAAAAUUAUUAUUUUAUCUAUGAUAAAAAAUUAAUCACACACUCAUUUAUAUAAAAUAAUUAUUAUAAUUAAAAUAUAAAUAAAUAAUCUCAAAUUUUAAAUAAAAUAAAAAAACUAAUUUUUACACUUUCAACCAAAAAAGAUUAGCAAAAAAUAAAAAAAAACUCUAAAAAUAAAAUUUAAGGUUUCAUCCAAAAAUUAAAAGAAUCCAUUUAAAAACUACAAAAGAGUAUAAUUUCCCGUGGUUAAAGAACACCAAUUAAAUUUUAUGAUAGAAAAAAUAGCAAAAUCACUACAAUAAAUUUUUUAUUUCAAAAUCAAAAAUGAAAAAAUGAAAGUUGAAGAGGAAUUUUUUGGCAGGUUUAAGGAAUUUUAGGUUCUAUUUGUUUAGUAGAAAAUAAUUUUUAAAAAAUGAUUUUAGUAUUUUUAGGUGUUUAUUUGGUAAAAAUUUGAUUGAUUUUAUGAAAAAUAAUCUACUGGUCAAUGAAAAAUAAGUUGAUUUUUUUGUAAAUUAUCUUAUGAAAAAGAUGUAAAAGAGUUGUAGGAUUUUGUGAGAUAGACACCCCAUAGGAGUAUUGGGGCUCUACGUCUUAUGGGUGUGUAUGUUUGUUUGUGAAUGGACUAGAAGAGAUUGAGAGGGUCCACAUAGGUAUGAUGUAUGAGAACAUAUAGGUAUGUGUUUGAUUGUGUUGAAAAGGUGCACAAGAGUUUAGGUUUGUGUUUGUUUGGGUAGAGAAUAUUUUAUAGGACUAGAGGAGAUUGAGAGUGUCUUAUGAGUAUUGAUUGUUGAGUGUGGUUGAUGAUAUGAUGUAUGUUUGUAAUUCUCUACAACUAGUGGAUCUUGUUUCUCAUCCGUGGAUGUAGGUCAGUUGGACCGAACCACGUUAAAUUAUUGUCUCUUGUGUGUUUGAUUUAUUGUUUGAUUUCGCUUCCGUUGGUGUGAUUGGAUUGGAGGCUUUUAGCCCAACAAAUGGUAUCAGAGCUGUGGUGUUCCCCAACAAGUGAUAUCAGAGCUGAAGGUUCGAAACGUGAGAAGAGUUGAAGAUUCAAGAUGUGGAAAGAGCUGAUGGUUCGAGACAUGGGAAGAGUUGAUAGUUCGAGAUAUGGGAAGCGCAUGGUUUGAGACAUGUGAAGAAGUAAGUCAAGAGGAGUUCGAUUCAAGAAAAGAGUUCGAGUUCAAGUUUUGAGGAUUGGUUUGUAUGAAGCGUGAAGACACAAGAGAAGAGAAGAUGAUUGUGAGACUUUCAUUGCAGGUGGAGCCAAGCAUGUCUAGCAUGAAGACAGAUGAUUGAUGGAAUUUGAGUCAAGGUGGAGAUUGUUGGGAAUAUUGACUCAAAUCCUAUAAGAAAUUUGUUAGAGAUUUAUUUGAGAUUUGUUAGAUAUUGCUUGAUAAACAAGAAAACUUGCAAAAAAAAAAUUCUAAGAAAAAAAUGAUUCUUAAUAGGUAAGUUUGACUUGCAAGAGAAGAAUUUCAAAAGGGAAAUGGAUUCUUAAUAGGUAAGUUUGACUUACAGGAGAAAAAUUCUAAGAAGAGAGGGAUUCUUAAUGGGCAAGUUUGUAUGGUUAUAAAUAGGUGAAGUCUCUACAGGGUUAGGUAUGAGAAAAAUAUGUAAGAGAGUUGUAGGGUUUUGUGAGAUAGACACUCCAUAGGAAUAUUGGGGCUCUACGUCUUAUGGGUGUGUAUGUUUGUUUGUGAGUGGACUAGAGGAGACUGAGAUGGUCCACAUAGGUAUGAUGUAUGAGAACAUAUGGGUAUGUAUUUGGUUGUGUUGAAAAUGUGCACAAGAGUUUAGGUUUGUGUUUGUUUGGGUAGAGAAUAUGGAGUUCUAAAUUAUUUGAGUGUAUUUGUUAUUUUUUUUUUACACUAGGAUCUGUUUCAUCGUUAUGUAGGUUUAAACACGUUAAUUAUGUUUUGGUUUUAUUUAUAUUUUUUCGCUUCCUUUAUAUUAGAUGAGCUUUUAGCUAACAAAUGGUAUCAAGUGUUGUUCAAAUUUAUUUGUAAAAAUUAUUGAUUUUAUGAUAUAAACAGAGACUCCUUAUGCAAUAUAUUUGAGUAUAAUUUUACUCAAGUCAAAUUUUGUAUAUGAUUUUUUAAGCUUAAACUUAAUUUGACUCGACUCAAAAUAUUAUUAUAUUAAUAAAUAAUAAUUUUAUUUAAUUAAAAUAUUAACAUUAAAAUUUUUUUAUAUUUCAAUUUUGCAUUAAUUAAAAAUAAAUAUUUUAAUAUUUCAAUAAUAAAUAGUAUUAUAUUAUAUUUUAAUAAUAAAUAAUAACAUAUAUAAUAAUAUUUUUAAUAUUUUAGUAAUUCAUGUUGAAUAAUAUAAUAAUAUUAUUUUCUUAAUAUGAAAUGUUUAAUAAUUUUAUAUUAUUUUUAGUUUAAAAUAUAUAAUUUUAUAUUUAUUUAUUAAGGUAUUUAUAUUACUAUUUUAAUAAUAAAUAUAAAUAAAAAAGAUUUUUGUUAUGAUUUAAUAAUAUAUAUUUUUAAUAUAAAAUAUAAAUAUUUUAAUAAUAAAUAUUACUAUUUUAACAAUAAUAAAAAUAGUAUAUUUAAGAAUAAUAAUACUAUUUUAAAUAUUUUAAAAUAUUAAUAUAAAGAAUAAUAAAUAUUUUAUUUUAAGUACUUUUUAUAUUAACAUAAUAUUUUAAUAUUAUAUGUUAUUAUUAAAAUAUAAUUAUUCUUGAAUAUUAGUAAUUUUAAUAAUAAAUAAUAUAAUAUACUUUAAUAAUAAAUAAUUUUUAAUAGUUUAAUAGUUAUAUUAAUAUUUUUUAAAAAAACAAACUUUUCAAAAAAUAACUAAACAAUAUAAAAUAUUUUUCAUCAACUCCUUCAAAUAACAUAAAAUCUCUACUUUUUCAAAAAAUGUAAAUAUUUUUCAAAAAAAAAUGUUUUCCGAAAGUCAAUUUUCACAAUACAAACAGAGGCUUAGAUUAGCUCUAAAACACAUAAUUUUGGUAUUUAAGAAAAAGAAUUGGCUCAUUUUAACAUAAAACUGAAAGUCAAGUUCAUUCGGAGAUUGAGUUAUUGUUUAUCAUUGAUAGCUUAAGGAUUUAAAUCUAAAUUUUAUACAGAAAAAUUGAUCAAUUAUGCCCUAAUAUUCUUUUGUGUCUAUUAAUUUGAAUUUAAAGGUAUAAUUUAAUUUAUAAAAUUGCUUGAAAAUAUUAAUUAAAGAUUAAUAAAAUGAUAAAUUAAAACUAUCAAUUGAAUAAGUGAAAUAACCUCAUGCAAUUAUAAUAAAAAUAGAAUAUAGUUAUUUUCAAAUAAUUAAAAGAAUAUAACAAAAAAAUUAUUAAAUAAAUGUUAACUUCAAAUAAUUAACAAAAAAUGAAAAAUAUAAAAAUAUUAUUAAUUAAUUAUUACAUUUUUACUAAAAAUUUUUAGAUUCAAAUCAUAAAAUCAACUAGAUACAUGCACUUUCUGUAAAAAAAAAAUUAUGUGAUUUAUAUUUUAAAAAUAAAAAAUUUUUACCCGGAUAGCUGGACGUUUUUACUAGUGUAAUUGUCCAUUUUUUUUUAUGAGAGGGAUACUUAGGACAACAGAACUAGGUUAUUUAACAAUUUAGUAUAGUUUCAACUUUUAAUCAUAUUGGCAAUAAAUAAGAUCCUAUGAAAUUUUAUAGUAUCAUCUCAUUCAAUGAUUAUCCUUAUGAAAUAGGGUUAAAUUGAUUAACUAUUGUUACCAUUCAUUUUCAUAAUAAUGAAGUUAUUCUUAUAUAUGAAUUUAGGAAAGUGUUACUCAUUUAUUGAUAUUCGGUAUAAAUUUUGCUUAUAUAUGAAUUUAAGAAAGUGUUACCCAAUGCCUAACAAUAAUGGGUAACUGAUAUUUAAGAAAAACUAUAUAAUUAAUAUAUUAUUCUUAAUUAAGUAAAACUUAAGUGUUAAUUACAAAAAUUUUAAAUAAUAUUUUAUAUAUUCUUAUACAUAAUUUUAUAACCCACUCCGAUAGCAUUAAAUGACUUCAAAAUAAUUUGAGGGUUAACAUAAAAUUUUAAUAAAAAAUUUGAAAUAAUUAUGUAAAGGAUCCAAUUGGAUGUUUAUAAAAUUGUUUAAAGAUAUAAAAAUAUUAUUUACGAAAAAAUUUUACAUUUAAUAUAUUAUUUUACUAAAUUAAAAAAAUAAAACAUUAAUUAUAAUUUUUUAAAUAUGAUUUGAAUAAAUGUUACUAUCCAUUAAUUGACAUUUCAUCUUUUUAAUAGUAUGUUAAAUGUUCAAAGAAAUACACAUGCAUUUCAUACUCUUAAUUAUCUGUAAAAUUUUGACAAAUUAACCAUUAUUCAACUGUUCAUAAAACCAACGCUCUAAUUUAAAUUUUAUAAACGGUCAAAAAAUUAUUUAUGUGAGUAUUUUCUUUAGAUUCAAUGAAAUGAAAUGAAGAUUUACAACAGGAUAAAUGAGACAGAGAGUACAGAGUCAGGGAUGUGACAGCCAUCUAAUAACAAGUAGUGGGGGCAAAAAGGGUGACAAAAAACGAGCGCAGUGAGAGACAAUCCAUCAUUCAGAAUUAGAGGAAACGAGCGAGCUAGUUAACUUGGGUUGGGUUGAGGAUGAUGACUCAGUUGAGUUUGGUGGGAUAGUGAAGAGGAUAAUUAUAGUGUGAAGGUUUUAGUCGGGUUUUGCUAGGGAAAAAUGGUUUUCAGAAGCUUUUGGAGACAAAUCGCAAAUAUAUUUUUGGGUAUUUUUAUCAUUUAGACAAGUGAGGAUUGAGGGUGGAAUCAGUCUGCCACUCAUAAAACAUCUUUUCCUUUAAUUUUCUCUUCAAGUCCAUUUAUAUCAGGCUCUAAAACAGAUAAGAAUGGAUCGUAUACCAUACAAGAAAGGCCCAAUCUGAAAAAUUGUGGGCUGUAACCAUACCUCAACCUUUAGAAAUAUCAUAUAUACAACCAGUAAAUGAAAACUUGGUUAAAUUAAUAUGUUGAUUGGCCUCCAUUUGCUAAUCGAUAACUUAAGGUAGGAAUAAAAUUCAUUUCGGUGAAAUUAAAAAAAUAAAAAAUAAAAUAAUUAUUGUAAUAAUAAAAUUAAAAUUAAUAAUAAAUAUAUAUAUUUAAAUAAACUUUUUAAAAUAGAAUUGUGAACCUCUCACAUUAUUAGGGUAAGGAAAAAUUUAAGGGGCAAGUUGCUGCGAUUAAAAAAAUUUUUUAUAUUUUUGGUUGCAAUGAUCAAUUUUGAAAUGAAGUUCCCGUGUUGAGUUUAAGUCUUGGAGGGUUCAAUUUUGCGAAUAAGUUAUAAAAUGUCGUGUGUUUUCUUGGAAAAUGGAUGAAUAAUACGUAACAAUUUUUUAUUAACAUAUAUUGUAUAAAAAAGAUUUUCAUAAUUAGGUUAAAGUAGUUUAAGUUAUUAAUAGAGCUAUAAAGAUACAAUACUCUACUUUAAUUUUUUGUCUUUAGCUAUUCAUGUUGGGAUCAAGUCAAUAAUCAAAUAUAACGCAUUUAUAUGUAGUCAAAUAAGAUAAACAUCUAUGAUUUGAACAAAUGUUAGAAUAAGAUUUAAAAAAAAAUAAAAUUAUAAAAUUAUAUAUGUAAUAGACGAAAGUAAGAUAAAUAAAAAAUAAAUGGUUAUACUUUAAACAAAUGUUAAUCUAUUGUUAUCUUAAAAAAUAAAUUUGUUAGUUGCAGGCCUUAGACGGGGGGAAGGUAAUAAAAAAUUGCAGUAUUAGAGAACUCACUCUAUUUAUCUGGGAGUCAAAUAUAAAUAUUUAUGUCAUAAAUUAAUAAUAUAAAAACUAGAUUAUAAUUGUUCUAUUUCAAUGACUUUAAAACACAUAUCACAUAAUCUAAUGAUUUACUGCUUAGACAAGUAAUAUGGAUAUAAAUAAUAUAUUAGUAUUCAUAAAUUAUUCGAGUUCGAUUCGAAUAAAAUUUAAAUUCGAUUUAAUCAUUAUCGAGUCGAAUUCAACUUUAAGUAGUUUGACUCAUCAAUCGAGUCAAGUUUAAAAAUUUUUAUAUUCGGUUCGAGUAGUUCGUGAGUUUAAUCAAAUUUUUAUAUUUUAAUAAAUAAAAUAUCUUAAUCUCGAGUUCGAACACAAAUAAUCAAAUUUUUAUCGAAUAUAAUAAUCGAACUUAUUUUAUAUGUUAAUUGAAUUUAAUUAAACGAAUUCAAAUAAUUUAAUUUUUAUUUCAAAUUAAUUUUAAAUUAAAAAAAUAAAAUUUAAAUAAAUUCAAAUCAGAAUUCAAAUAAUUUAAUUUUUAUUUCAAAUUAAUUUUAAAUUAAAAAAAUAAAAUUUAAAUAAAUUCAAAUCAAAUUUUAAACGUAAAUUUUAAAUCAAAUUCAAAUUUAAAUUUAAUAUUAUAAAAUUUUAAAUUCGACUGAUUAUAUCUAUAUCAACCUUGAUAAUCGAGAAUUGUGAGGUGGUCAUGAUGCAUUAUGGGAUGCGUGCAACUAUUUUUCUAUUAAUUAAAUAAAAAACCAAGCAUUCUAACCUCAAAACUUAAAAUCCUCUUUAUUUUUUUUCUUAAAAAACAAAUAAUUUUUUUCAUCCUCUUAUAAAUAUUUUGGUACGUGGCGUGGAAUGUACAUGGUUAUGCAUAUAUUUUGUAAGCCAUUUUAAGAAUUUUAUUAUUAUUAUUAUUAUUAUUAUUAUUAUUAUUUUUCAAUCUAAUUAUAACUAUUUUGAAUAAUAAAUGGAUAAUAUGAUUGAUGCAGGUAAUAAUUUAGUUAAACUAUUAAUCGUUUUUUAAUGAAUUUUAUAAUUAAUUGAAUUUGCGAUAAAAGAUAGUAAAUAAAAAAUUAUUUUUAAAAUAAUAAUUUAAUUAAUCUUAACAAAUCAAUAAUCAAUAACUUAUUAUUAAAAGUAAGUUUCAAUUGGAUUGUAACAGGGAUACCACGUGGCCUCUCAGUGCGAAAACUUCCAAUUAUUUUAUAUUUGUACUUUUAGAAUAAUGUAUAGGGAAUGUGGGCAGCCUCAAAUGUCAAAAGCCCAAAAGAUUCAGGAAGGAAUCAGCUGCCUAACUUCAUAGAGCAAAGCCUGUAGCCCAUAUGGCCCACAUAUGUGAGUUAAAUUUAUGAAUUUAUUUCUUUCCUUUUUCAAGUCCCCUCCAAUACACAACUUUUAUGUUUGCAAACAACAUCCUUAUGAAUUUGGAGUAUUGGUUUGAUUUAUGCAAUUAUUUUUAGAUAAUAUUUAAUAAAUUUAAAAUUUUUUUUCAAAAGUUUUAAUAUUUUAUUCAAAAAGUAUCCAAAAAAAAAAAAAAUCACAUCCUUGCAUCGAUUCUCACCUCUACUUUUGCCAAACAGAAAUGAACUUCAAUGUGAUGAUGCAAAUUGCACAAAAACAAACCAUGAAAAUGUAUUUAGUUCAAUAAAAGAUCUUUGGGACCCCUUCGGCUAAGGCCUACAACAAUCGACCACCUUCACGUGAGCACCUUCUGUUGUCUCUCAUGUGUGCACUUAUGCUCAUCAUCAUUUCACCCCCUUCUCUUGCUUUCUAGUCUUCUUUUCAUCUUUUAAUUUCUUCUACAAUUUCAUCACACUUACAGCUUUAUUUUUUGCGAUGCUAUCAUAUGCUAAAGCAAAAGCUAAAGUAAAAAUUAUCUCAAAGAAGUAUUCACGUGAAUAAAAUAGAAACUAUAUGUAACCUACCAAUUUUCUGGUUCCUCUCCAUCAGUAUUAAUUCAUAAACAUAGAUGUAGGCAGCCGGCCAGCCAAGGCCAUCCUUUGUUUAGAAAAGAAAUUAUAAAAGAAAAAAAGAGUUACAUAAAAUGCAAUGUUUCACAUGACAAAAGGGAUAGGAAACUUUGAUCUUUUGGUAAAUCAUGUGCCCUACAGUUGUAGCUUAAUUUAGAAGCUUCAUCAUUCACUUUGUAUCCAAAACCAGCAUUGGCUUUGGAGUUUUAUGUUUUUUCAUCUUCGUUUUGAUUGAUAUGUUUUCUCAACUUCCAUUAGUGUUUAACUUAUUGAAAUCAAAAAGGUUGUAAUGUCCCUAACUUUCUUGUGAGAUACCAUUGAUGAUAGCUUAAUUAUAAGCCACCAAAGUCUGACCCCAUAGUUCCUAUUAUUUCAUGGACAUUGGAACUGUAAUUCAUGGCAAAGCUAAGCAAUGAUCAAACUAAUUUAGUGGAUUAAGGGUCCCUCUCAAAACCAAGUUAGAAAGGUGAGAUGAGAUUGUUUGUUGAUAAUAAUCCUCAUCUCCUCCAUCGGAAUUUACAAAAACUAUUAUCACCAACUUAAUAAGAAAAUCAAUGUUUCUAUAUGAAUUCGAAAUUUAUUUAAGUUAGUUUAUAUUUUUAAUAAAUAACAUUCAAUAAGUUUGAAAUUUAAAUUUUAACAUAUAUAAUCUUUUAUUUUAUUCUUAAAUUAUAACCUUACAAAGAGUAUCGAUUAAUUUUCAUUAUUUUUUUACUCUUUUCAUUUCAUUACCAUCAAACUAAUUCUUUCUUUAUAUUUGUUGACGAGAUAAAGACUUUAUUUUCUAUAAUUUUUAGAUUAUAGGGCUUUUCCUAAUCUCUCUUGCAGAUUAUAAAAUUAAAUGUUGAUUGAAUCUAAACGAUUACUAAAUAUGGCAUGGCCUCAUUGAUCAAUCAUUAAAACAAUUGAGGGUUUUCUCUUCCUUUCAUAUUAUAUGAAGAUACAUAUUAACUCUAAUUGAUGAAAUAAUAAUUAAAUUUUCAAUAGUAAAGCUGCAUGCAUGUGAUAUGCUUUUAUUUUUUGGUACAAAUGUUAGACAAUGUAGGAUAUAUGUAGCUUAAAAAUGAAAUAUUACAUGCAACCAAAAUUAAAUGCUAGAUCAAUGACAUUAUUAUAUAAGUUAUAACAAUGCAUGUUAGAAAUAAAUAAGAGCAAUACAUAGAUUCUAUAUGUUAUCCUUUACAAGAUAAGGGAAUUGGACAUUGAUGCAAGAAGCAGAGCACAUGAAGGACAUGGACCCUUGAAAUAACUGUUCGUGGCUGGCCAAGUUGGCCACGAAUCGAAUUACUCAAGGGCAGUUGAUUUUCUUUGUCUAAGAACAGAGCUGGCAUGAUCCUAGAAUGUGCCUUGGAUCAGUGGGUUGCACCCAGGCAAAAAAUAAGAAACUCAAUUUCAAACAAACCCUUUGUUUUUACUUGAUUUUGCUUCUAAACCUGACUUUUUUCAAGUCUAGAAUUACUAGAAAUUACAUUUUCAGUCAAAUUUUCAUCAAAGAACAUCAAUUUAUAUAUAAGCAAACGGAGCAAACGGAGCAAACGGAGCAAACAGAAGAGGAACAGGCAAGUGGCAUCCCACCAGCUGAUGGUGAAGGUGAGGCCCCACAUUCUGAAGAGCGGGGGGGGGGCAAGCAGUUAGGUCGGCAGUUGUUGUGAACGCUUGUGACUUUACAAAGACAUCAGAUUGUAACAAUAAAAAAUAAAAAAAUUCCAAUGUAUUUGUUGACAGAGGAAUCGACCGGUAGAUGGGCUGAGUCUGGCGUGGUGCGACUGCCUAUCUUGAACACGCAAGCUUUUUUACACUCAAUGUGGACUCUUUAUUGAAGGGGUGGUUUGGCUUUGGUUUCUGCUUUUGAGGGUAAGUUUAUAGAUACAUAUCUCACGCCCAACACAUGACAUGACCAGCUUUAAAGCCAAGUAAAGGACAUGAAAAUAUAAAUGUCGAAGCAACCCAACCAUAUAUGUUUGGUUUAAUUUCUCAGCUUCACCCUCUAUCUCUUUCCACGUUCCACCUUACACCAUUCAUGUAGUUAAUUCUCUACCUAAACCUUUUCCAUUUUUUCUCUAUUCUCUUCCCUUUUUUUGGAGUUUAUAAUUUUCCAUUAAAGAAGUUUAUUGCUUCGGCUUAGAUUGACAUGUUGAGUUUCGGAGUUGAUGAUCAAAAUUCUGAAAUUAUAAAAAAGAGAAUGAUUAAAAGUAAAAGUAAAUAAUAUUUUCUACAUUUACAUUAUGUACUCAAAUUACAAGUUAGAUAUAAGAAAUCAAAAAUAGAGUAAAAAAAAUAAAAAAAAUGCAUUAUAUAAUACUUAGAAGACUUUGUUUAUGAUUAGAAGAUGAGAGGUAUAUAAAAUAAAAUAAUAAUAUAAUCGAGCUAAUGUGAUAUUAUACAUAUUAGAUUGAUUUGAUGUGUCAGAUCAAUUUAAAAAUAAAAAUUUUUUUAAUUGUUUGUUAAUAGUUUUUAAUGAAAUAAAAUAUUAUUAUAUUUUUUGGAUUCAAAAAUACUUUGAACAAAACCAAAGAGUGGGUAUUUUGAAUAAAAAAAAAAAAAAAGAAGUUUGCUGUGAACAAAUCAGAGAAUUCGAUUUAUUGAGAAUAUGUGUAUUUAAUAACAUUAACAACAGUUUUCUGCCAUGGACCCAUGGUUCUCUCCUUCCAACCAAACGGUAUAUAAAUUUUGUACGUACUACUAUUAUUGUUAUGACUUCAAAAAGUUUACAAUUUUUGGUUGGCCCAAUGAAGACAAUAUAUCAUGGCCCAUUUCAUAACACAAUAUUAAAGACUAAUUUCAUUCUUGGUGAAAUUAAUUAAAAUGUUUAACUAAUUGAUUUUAUUCCAUAACGAACAAAAAUCUGAUUGAACAUCAUAAUAUUAAUUGUCAUUAAAUAAAAGCAUUAGGGAUUUAGAUAAACAAUUUGCAUAUUAAGAUUUAUAAAAUUUUUAUUUUUUAUUUUUACAUAGAAAUAGUGAUUUUUAUGCUACGAAUUUAAGAUUUUUAUGCAAAUUUCAUCCUAAUUACUUAAAUUAUUGUCAAGUAGAUAAAUUUGAAAUUUAAACUUUAAUCUAUAACUCAAAUCACGCACCUAUAGUCUAUUUUCUUGUUUUUAUAUUGUGAUAUUUUUGGUACAACAAAAUUUUGAUUAAGUAAUUUUAUUUUUAUGUUUAAAGUACUAUUUCUCUAAUAAAAUUUAAUAUUUCUCCUUUCAUUUUUUUUAUUUUUAAUGUAUUUUAAAAGGAAAAAUAGAAAAAAGGAAUGAUGUAUACAAGAAAAGACAUUAAUUUAAAUUUACGUAAAUUGAUAGUAAAAUUUAUAAGAGACUAAGGCAGAAUUUUUUCGGUUAAAAUGUCAUUUUCUAGUGAUUAGUAUAUAAUUUAGAAAAAUAAUAAGUAAUAUCAUUAAUUAACUAAUUAAUUAGUCGGAGAGGCUGACCAUCGGCAACAUGCACUAGCAAAGCUGAAAACCCAAUUAAUUACCAAAAUACCUGUCUUAUUUUCCUGAAUUGCCUAUUAUACCCCAGGACUCCAAAACUUUCUGACUACACCAAUUAUUGUGGCCAAAUUUACAGUAAUGACAUAAAUGCUAACAGACUUUGAUGAAAAUGUAAUAUCUAAAAUUAUUUUGUAUGAUCCCAUUUAUGUAAUUUUAAUGCAAAAAAAAAAAAGAAAAGGACCAUGUAAAAUUAUUUUUUUGAAAUGCAUAUGUUUCACCUUUAUUUGAACGUUUCUUCAAAUAGACUUGGAAGAAAAGGAUGUUGAAAUAUAUUUUUAUUACAUAUAUGAAUUUUAGGGAAUGUUAGGGGACUAAGGGCCCUAUAUCUUUAUCUUUGAAAAAUAAUUAAAUUACUGGUUCAAAAAAAGGGAUUAUUGAGUAAAGAAAAUAAUAUAAUCCCCCAAAUUGAAGCUCUUAGUGGGGCUUAAAAUUAUGGGUAUAAAUUAUAUAUUAAUACUCGUAAGUUAUUCGGAUUCGAUUCGAAAAAAAAAUUGAAUUUAGUUCGAUUAUUAUCGAGUCCAGCUGAAUUCGAGUAUUUUUAUAUUCGAUUCGAAUAACUCGAGAGCCUAAUCGAACUUUUAUAUUUAAAUAUAUUUUUAUUAUUUUAAUUAAUAAAAUAUUUCAAAUUCGAGUUCGAAUAUAAAUAAUCAAACUUUUAUUGAGUAUACGAAUUAAGCUUAUUUUUACAUAUUAAUCGAACUUAAUCGAGCGAAUUCGAGUUGCUCGAAUUCGAUCACAAAUCGAGUUUGAGCUUGAAACAUAAAAUUCGAUUGAGUUCGAACCGAAUAUCGAGUUACGAGUUGUGAGUUGAAUUUGAGCUCGAACUUUUCAUUGUAUCGACUCAACUCGACUUGAUUACACCUUUACUUAAAACACACAAAAAAAAAUCCACGAAAAUUAUAUAACCUAAUAUUCAAUAAUUCAAAAUAUUGAAAUCAAUUUUCGAUUUUGAGCUCAAAUCAACAUUAAAUUUCAUGAUUUCCCUCUUUGUGAUUAGUUAUAAUCCCUUUCUUUAUUAUCGAUUUUUUUAAUAUCUAUUUUUAUAAUUAGUAUUUUUAAUCAUUUAACUUAAAAAAUUAUCUUAGUUAUUAUCAAUAAAAUUUUUAAAUUUCAUGAACAAGUCAAUAAGAUGAUAUAUAUUUAAAAUAUAUUAAAAUAAUUAAUUAAAAAAAUAAAGUAUAUGUAUAAAUAUUUGAAUUUCACUUAUAAAAUUAAAAGAUUAAGAAUAUAUAAAAACAAACUCUAAAAAAUUUAAAAAAUUAAUAAAAUUAUACUCACAUUAGCAAUAUCCAUUAAAGAAAAGUACAAAACAAAUAUAUUGUAAUUUCUUGAAUUUCCAAUAUAGAACUUCCUUUUCAUCUAUCAGUUUCCGUAUUUUUUUGUAUUUUAACCGUAUUCCAACUUUUUUGGCUAUAAGGCCUCAGUAAUUAAUAUUUUUUAUUUUUUCUUACAAGCACGUGAAAUAAUGAAAGUACUACUCGAAUUUUAUAUCGUCGUUUAACAUGUAAUUUAUAAUUUUAAAUUUGGUCCUGUUAAAAAAAUAUUUUCUACCCGUUUGACCCCCGACGUUACGCUAGAAUAUUUGCCAAAAGAAAACUGGCAAGGGGCAUUAAUGUCACAUGGUGACCUCUACUUACUGUUCCCUUGACCCAAAACAAAUAAAUAAUUGUCCUCACCAAAUACUAAGCCUCGAUUAAAUUAAUUAAUCACAAAGAAGCUUCUUCUUCAAAAUUUUGAAUUUUUUAUUUUCCAUUUCUUUCUUUUUUUUUUUUAAUUUAAAAUAUGUGCAAUCUCUUUCACCAUAGACUGUUACAACUUACAAUUAGAAAGCAGAGAGAGAAGAAAGAUCUGCUCUCUUUCAACGCUUGCGUGUUUCUUGAGUUCUUGACUCGGUUCUGCUCGCAUUGAACCAGCUUGCUGCUGUUUAGCUGAAACUCUGCGUGUAGACUGGUGCAAUAGGCUUGGUUUUCCCAUGCGGGUUUGCGUUUUGAUUGAAAUUAAGGCAUUGGAUCCAGCGAUCGAAUAAAUGGCGGUUUUCCGGUGAGCGUCGCCGGAGCUCCGGUAAGAGUCCGGGAAUUCCGGUGGAUUUUGCUGCGGAGAUGUUUAAGUCGGCGAGAUGGAGGGGCGACAAGAACAGGAUCAAAGCUGUCUUCAAGUUGCAGUUCCAUGCUACUCAAGUACUCUCAUUCUUUCAAAUUCUUCUUUGUUUUACAAAAAAUCAUAUUAAUUCAAUAUUUUCUUGCAAUUCUAUUUAUUUAUCUUUGUUUGUUAGCUUCAUUUCUGAGAAAAUGCAGCUCAAACGGAAAAAAGAGUUUGAUUCAAUUGUUCUCUAACGCUGCUUGAGCUAUUUUGUUUGGGUUAUAUUUUUUUUUCAAAAAAAUUAAUUAUUAAUAAUUACUUUAUUUUUGUAAGAAAAUUUAACAAAUACAUAUUAAUUAUUUUCUAUGUGAUUGAAUAAUUUAAAAAAUGUUUUAUUUUCUUUGUAAUUUAGGUGACGCAGUUAAAUGUGCAAGCAUUGAUGAUAUCAAUAAUUCCUGGCGAUGAAGGAAAAUCGACAACAAAAUUAGAAAAGGCGACGGUUCAGGACGGUAACUGUCGAUGGGAAAAUCCAGUCUACGAGACUGUUAAAUUUGUUCGGGACCCAAAAACUGGGAAGAUCAAUGAAAGAAUCUAUCAUUUUAUUUUAUCAUCAGUACGAUUUUUCCUUUUUGAUGAAUUUAUAUUAUUUGUGUUUUUGUGAUGUAAAUUGUAUGUAAUAUUUUAUAUGUCUGUUGUAGGGAUUGGGAAAAGGAGGUUUGAUUGGGGAAGCUUCAACUGAUUUUGCUGCUUAUGCUGAGGCAAUUAAAACUUCCACCAUUUCUCUUCCAUUGAAGAAUUCAAACUCUAAAGCAAUUUUGCAUGUUAGUUUACUCUCUCUGUUUCUCUCUCAUAUUUAUAUGUGUCACGGAUUACUUCUGGCAGGCUUUUUCUAAAAUCGUUCCUCAUAUUUUAAUGUUGAUUGAUGUUUAAAAAUUGAAUUCAAGUUGUUGGUUUUGAACAGGUCUCAAUACAGAGGUUGCAGGAAAAUGAUGAUCAAAGGUAAAAGCUUGUCACUUUCUAUUGAAUUCUCAGAGCUAUUGGAGGUUGUUUCUGGAAUCUGGAGUGUUUGUUUGCGAGCUUGACUUUGAUAAUUUUUGCAGAGAGUUGGAAAAAAUUGAAGUUGCAAAUAUUAAAUCGCAAGAUAGGAGCUUGAACGCCCGCUUGAGCAAUGGUGAUACGGUUGAAAGCACUAAGAAUGAUCCCAUUGAAGUAAGUCUCCUAUCCCAUUUAGUGAAGCCGUUGAUUUUGGGUUUCUUUUUGCUGUUGUUAUUUAGACCAUUUUCUUCUCCUCAACUUUUUGUCUCUUGAUAUGCGCUUGGUAUCAAAGCUAUUUGAAAAUGGGUUUGCUUGUUUUACUUAUUUGUUUAUUUAUUAUCUUUUCAACAGGAUGUGCCUUGCAGCAAAACUACCCACAAUGUUGAAUUGCGUGGGAACCAUAGGGGAUCUAAUGGAUCUGAUAUUACCGUUUCAAGUUCUGAUAGUAGCUCUGGACUUAAUACUCCACGAGAACUUGGAAUGAGGAAUGGCAACAUCAAUCUGGAUCCUCCUUAUCUGUCAUCUAUGAAUAACGCCUCAGUUACUCCUAAACCAACACCAAUUGCCUCAACAACAAUCUAUGAGGAGUGGUCGGCAGGUUCUGAUCAGGGAAUGAGUACUGAUGACUCUAACAGUUCUCAGGACACGUUUCCACGAGAAAACUCCCAACUUGGUUCAGAUAAAGAGAUUGAAAAGCUCAAGAAUGAGCUCCUUGCUUUGUCCAGGCAAGUGGAUGUGUCAGAUUUGGAGUUGCAGACUCUCAGAAAGCAAAUUAUAAAGGAGAGCAAAAGGGGACAGGAUCUCUCACGGGAAGUUGUUAUUUUGAAAGAAGAGAGAGAUGCGCUCAAAUUAGAGUGUGAGAAACUGAAGGCCUUUCAGAAGCGAAUGGAUGAUGCAAAAGUUAAAAGCAGGCUGCAGUUUCAGAGUGGGGACCCCUGGUUUCUUGUUGAAGAAAUCAGACAAGAGCUAAAUUACGAGAAGGACCUGAAUUCCAAUCUUCGGUUACAACUACAGAAGACACAGGAAUCAAAUGCUGAGUUAAUCCUAGCUGUACAAGACCUUGAAGAAAUGUUGGAUGCAAAGAAUACGAAGGUAACCAAUCCUCCCAACAAAUCAGGAUCCCAUGGCGAUGCUGAAGAAUUGAGUGGAGCCAUCUCAAGAAGUGACACAGAUGAGGAUGAAGAGCAGAGGGCAUUGGAACAGCUUGUUAAAGAACACAGAGACACCAAGGAAACCUCUCUCCUGGAACGAAAAAUCAUGGACCUCUACAGUGAGAUAGAGAUCUAUAAGAGAGAUAAAGAUGAGCUUGAGGUACAUAUGGAGCAGCUAGCACUUGAUUAUGAGAUACUGAAGCAGGAAAAUCACGACAUGUCAUACAAAUUGGAGCAAAGCCAGCUGCAAGAACAACUGAAGAUGCAGUAUGAGUGCCCAUCUUCUUUUGCUAACAUAAAUGAACUUGAGACCCAAAUUGAGUUCUUGGAAAGCGAACUCGACAAGCAAUCAAAAGAAUUCUCUGACUCUUUAGUCACCAUAAAUGAACUAGAAACCCACGUCAAAAGCUUGGAGAAAGAGUUAGAGAAACAGGCACAACUAUUUGAAAUGGAUCUAGAAUCUAUUACACGAGUCAAAAUUGAACAGGAGCAAAGAGCUAUCCGGGCUGAGGAAGCCUUGCGAAUGACAAGAUGGAAGAAUGCAAAUACAGCUGAAAGGCUACAGGAAGAAUUUAAAAGGCUUUCCAUGCAGAUGGCCUCUAUGUUUGAUGCAAAUGAGAAGGUGACUACAAAAGCUCUGACUGAAGCUAGUGAACUACGCUUGCUGAAAAAUCAGCUGGAGGAACUGCUCAAAAAAGCUAAAGAAGAGUUCCAAUCAGUUAGAGAGGAUUACGAGGCAAAACUCCGUAACCUUUCCAAUCUAGUAAAUUUAAAAUCAAAUCAGAUAGAACAGAUGUUGAAGGAAAUAGAUGAUAUAUCUAAGCAGCUUGAACAUCAAAAGAAGCAUGAGGAAGAAGUUAGUGGGGCUUUUUCCCAGGAGAUCUGCAGCCUAAAAGCUGAGAUUGACAAGCUGACUAUGGAAAAGGAAUGCCUCCGUGAACAAGCUGAAGAGGCAGAAAAAUUCAGACUUGAGUUGGAACAGACAAAAGCAUUUGCUAAAGAAACUGAAGUGCUGGUGCAAAGAGGAAAUUUAGAAAGAAAUGAGCUGGUAAGUGCAAUUGCUUUGAUGAAAAAGGAAUCAGCUAAGUCACUGGACGAAUUGCAAAGAAUGAGGCAUUUGAGGGAUGAAAAAGAAGCUGCAGUUGAAUCCUUCCAAUCAGAGUUGAACACCCUCAAAAGUCAGUGCAAUAAAUUGAAACAUUCUUUGUUCGAGGAUGAAGUAGAGAAAGAAAAACUCAGGAAGCAAGUAGUUCAAUUAAAGGGUGACCUUAAGAAGAAGGAAGAUGCACUUACUGGCAUGGAAAAGAAGCUGAAAGAGAGCAACGGAAGAGCAGCAGUUUCUGACGGAACAAGAACACCAUUAAGAAACAAUAAAUCUGCCACGGUUCCUCGCAUUCCUAAAGAGGUUGCAAGCCUGAGGGAGAAAAUAAAGUUGCUCGAGGUAAAUUUACACACAUCCAAGUUCUAUAUAAAAUCAAGUUCCUCUUUGAAACUGUUUGUUGGAAAUGGUCUACAAUCUCUGCUUUUCCAGUAACAGCAAUAUGGAGAUUCAUUAUCAUGCAGCAAUUUUCAUCCACAAAGGGAAAUUUGUAUUCAUAACGAUUUUUUUUCUCAUGGCAGGGACAAAUAAAGUUAAAGGAAACUGCCUUAGAAACAUCCACAAAUGUCUUUUUGGAAAAGGAAAAGGAUCUUCAGAAGAAAAUUGAUGAGUUAGAAAGCAGAGUAGAAGAACUCAAUGAGCAUAGCACCAGUUUCUGCGCGUACCAACUUCAAAAUGUGAGAGAUAUUAUAACUUGAUAAAAAAGAAAAAAAAAACAAAAUUUAAGGGAAACUCUGUUGUAUUAAUGAACAAUAUUUUGUAGUGUCAUUGCUGAAGUUAUGCAUUCUUCAUGGCAUCUAGAACUAAUGAUCUUGCUAUAUUAUUAAUUUAUGACCGUAUUCUUUGACCCUAACCAUUGUUUGGUUAUGGCUAGAAUGGCUUAAUGGAGUGUUACUUACAACUGUAUUUCUUGCUUUGACUUAUAUUUUCUUUAAAAUGGAUAAAAAAUGCAGAUAUUUAAAGAUUCCAAGGAGGUUAUAUCAGAUGGCGUGAUAUCCGAUGGGAAAGCAUGCAUAUCCAAAGAGAAUGGAAAUACGGUGCCUUCUGUGGAAAGGUAAGACUUGAAGAAAUAGAACUUUAGUUUCUGAGUCAGUUUUUCAAACUUGCUAAUUUUCUUCUUGGUAAUAGUUGGUUGAGGAGAAUAAAAAUACUAAGAAGAUUGUUGAAGAAACCCAAGAAAAGGGUAGGUAACUAAUAAUUACUUCCAUUGAUUUCUUAUCUACAGCACUGAUGACAAUAUGUCAGCGAAAGAAGAGAAAGCCUCUAUUGUCAAUAAAGACGGUAACCAGGGAGAAUUGAUAGCUGAACUGGCAUCAUUGAAGGAAAGAAACAAAUCUAUGGAAAACGAAUUGAAGGAUAUGCAAGAGCGAUAUUCCGAGAUAAGCCUCAAAUUCGCAGAGGUCGAAGGUGAACGACAACAACUUGUGAUGACUGUGCGUAACCUCAAGAAUGCCAAGAAGAGCUGAAAGCAUUGAAAUUCUUCAUAUACAAAAAUAGAAUGUAAAGAUGAAGUAACAGCUGGGUGUGCCCAUACGGAAAAUUUAGGUGUGACAGUUCCCUUUUAGAGUGAAAAUAAAUUAAGUUGUACAAAAUUUUAGUACGGAUAUCACCUCACCAGGUAGUUUCCAAAUGUAGGUAAGUUUUUUCUUUUAUUAUUCAUGUUUGAUUCUUGUCCUCCCCAUAAUUUUUCUUUUUUAUUGUCGUGGUGACAUUUUCCAGUAAUAUAAUUAUUUCAUUUUUUGAUAAAAUUGUUGAUAGAAUUUAAGAUUUGUUGUCUUAAUUCAAGAACACGUUCACAUCAUUGGGUUUUUUUUGUAUUUAUCUUUCAUUAGCCAGUACUUGUCUUUAAAAUCUGGAAAGAGGUCUGCCAGACCCUGAAUUGUUCUCAACCGAAUCCUUUUUUGUCUUUGAUAUUGUGCCAACAGCUCAAAUUGCGAUGCCUGUCCUAGCAACCCGGUUUCAGUUUUUUGGAUUUGUGGGAAUUUUGAGUUUUUCGAGUAAGAUCCUGGUGGUGGGUAAUCAUUUUUUUUAUUAUCUUCUGCAAAUCACAAGUUUUCUGACAAUGGGCAAAUCUUUCAGAUCUGAGUUUGGUUUCAUUUCAGUUUGAUUGGUUGUUGAAUGUUGGGCCUCGGAGUAUCCAAGCUGGGACAGGGAAUUUUGGCAGAUCAAACAUAACCAACACUUGGACAAAAAAGGUGGGCUCGUCCGGUCCAGGAAAGCAAUGUCGGGGCAAUUUCAGAUUUCAGUUUUCAGUUGUUGAGAAAUCAAAAGUGGAAAUAUAUAAUGCAUGUACUAUGUACUGUAUUUUGAUAAGAUAGGAGAACAAUGAUCUGAUCUUUUUCAUGCCAUGGACAACAAUAAUAACUUGGACAAAUUCUGACACUCACUCUAUGUUACAAACAUUGCCUUUGGGAAAACUAUGGAGAUUUUGUCUUUGUAUACAACUCUUUAAUUUUGUUUUUUUCUGUAGUUUUGGCAUUCCCUGUAUAUAACUGAAGAAUUGGGAACUGAAGUCAAUUCAGGCAGUCAGAAAUGGAUUUUAGAUUGGGUAGAGGAGAGCUGCUGACAAUUCCUUACUAAUGGUUUUUGAACCUGAUACUUUUCAAACACUUGUUCACAAUCUAUGAUGAAUUAGUCCAUAAACAGUGACCAAAGCCAUGAGAAGACAAUGAUCUACAUGUGGCUCAACUUCCGAGGUUAAUACAUCCUCUCCUAAUAGAACCCCUGAAGAUGACAGUUUCCUCUUUGCCUACACAAAAAUCAAAUUCAGAGCAAGCAAAACUUUGAGUAAUAAUAGAAUUAAAAACAAAAAUUUCAGGCCCAAAAAGACUCACCUCAGCAGCCACUUUUCCAUUGUCAUCUGUUAUUUUAAAAGCUGAUUUACCAGCUUCCAAGCCUUUUAUUCUAUAGCAGCUGCUUGCUUGGCCAAUAUUAUCAAAACAAAUCAUGAUUACUUGACAGGAUAAAUCUCCUUUAAGAAUAUUUCUCAAGUUUUUUCUUACUUGAAACUGCAGCUUCUCAUCAGUAUUCAGAUUUAAAUCAUUACAUCUAUCGCCCACCCAUCUUCUGAAAAACCAUUGUUUCUGCAAAAUGAAUUGUAACUACUUAGAACAUAUUUGGGCUCCAAUAUUUCAUUAUAAGUUUCGAACAAACUUUCAAAUACCUUUCUUAAUAUGGUGAAGAGAACUUUGCCUUGAAGAUCCAUGAGGUAAACUUCAUUGCUGCAUUUUUUAUCAUAAUUAUCAAUUCGAUAAACAAUCUCACCAUUUUCAUUAUAAACAGUGCAUCCAUUUCCUUGCAUCACAAGGGAUUUCAUCCAUACGGUGAAUGUUUCUCUCCUUGAAGUGACAUAAGAAGAAGAAGAAGAAGAAGAAGAGGAAGGAGGCGCAGUAGCAGCUGCAAUAUGAUGAACCUUGAUCAUUUUGAGAAAUAAAAUAAUUUUCUUUUCCAUGCCAAAAAAGCACUAUCUAGCUCUUUUUAAAAGAUCGAAGGAACUCUAGUCAACGUGUUUAAUAAUACCAUAGGAAAAAGUGCAAGAAUGUGAAGCCCGAAGAAUGAGAAAAAGGGCACUCAAAUAAUUGAAUCGGCAGGUUCUAUUAGUCCUUUAAACUUAUCACGUUCAUGUAUAGGAAGAGAUUCCAUUUCCCCUUUUUAACCGUUUUUGACUGCCUCUAUAACUAUUAGAUAAGCACUACGAUAAAACAAGAAUAAUAAGAAGAAACAAAUCCUAGAAUACAGUUUAAUAUUGGGUAAAUUUCAUCCAGGUCCUUAGAUUUUAACCUUAAUUCAGCUCAAGUCCAAAAUUAUGAAUUCAUCUUGCCGUUAACCCACCGUUAUUAUGACCGUUAAAGACACCCAUUUGACCAAAAACAUCAAACGAUUCUACCCUUCAGCAGCAAUUAGCGUUGGGUUUCUAUUUUUUAGAGAAAUUCAUUAUGGAAAAAAAAAAAAAAAAGGAAAUGUGAGAAAUAAGUUGAAAAUGAGAAUAUAUAUCUCUCUGUAUGUUCUAAAUAUUGCAUAUAAUGAAUAAAGUAAAUCUACAAUUUAUACAAUACAAAACAACUUUCUUACCAACAUAUUGCUUGAUUUGAUUUGGAGAUCAUAAUAAUUAAGGCAUUUUUUAUGGUUGGAGCUUGAUCUAUAUAGAUAUCAACAAAUUGUACAUAUAUAUAUAACUUGUUUUCUAAAUUGUAGAAGACUAGUAAUAAAAUAAAAAAAUUAAUUGAAGAAAAAACCCGAAAAAACAAAAUAUUAAAGAUGUUGUUCACACUAGUCAAAAAGCUUGAUAAAUCUAAUAUAUAUUAUAUAAUAAUAUACAUAAAUAAAUUUGCCACGUAGGCACUUAUGUGGACAACUCUUUUAAAUGAUACAUAGGAUAAUUUUUUUUAAAAAUAAGAUAGUGUCUUUUAAUUACGAAUUAGAUAAUCUUAAUUUUAUUCAAAUAUCAAAUUAUUCAAAUUAUAAUUAAAAAUCAAAUCAAUUUAGAGAUAUUUUUUAAAAAAUUAAAAAUAUAAAAUAUGAAUUUUAUUUUUUAAAAAAAUAUUUUUAGUUGUUUACCGAAUAACCUUAUUUAAAAAAUUAUUUAAUUAUUAAAAUCUUUGAAACAUAUUUAAAAAUUACAAAGAUUAAGUUUAUCCAAAUCUUUCAAUAAUCUUUUUCAUCUUUAUUUAAAAAAUUUACAUAUGACAUUAAAAAUUCAAGUAACUUUAUGUAGGAUUUUGACAAUUAAAAAAAUUUUCAUCUUAAAAUUUUAAAUCAUAAGAUCAUCAAAACGAUUAUAUCAAUUUGAACUCUAAUUAUCAAAUUUAUAUUUCAAAUAAAUACAAAAAAUUAAUUUUAUCUUUAUCACUUAUUAUAUCCAUUUUAAAAUUUAAAAAAAUGAAUUUAAAAAUUAUCUAUUUAAUCUUAAUUGUCACUAAAGAAUUCUUCUACAAAUUUAAAACUACAAAUGUAAUGUGUUAUACAUAAUUUUUUAUUUUUUCAGUAAUUUUUAAAAAUAUAUUGUAUUACUAUUACAAUUUUUUUUUGUUUAUAACUUUUUUUCAAGAUAUAUUUUAUUGUUAUUAUAGUUUCAUUCUUAUGAAAAAUAAUAUUUUUUUAAUUUAUUUUUUCUUCUUUCACAUAUUUUCUAAUAUUUUUCAUAUUUUACAUAAUAAUUUAGUUAAGAUUACUAAAGUAAAAGUAUGUUAAUACUUUUUUAUUAUUUAAUUUAUCAUUCAGUAAUAUAUAUUUUUAUUUUUUUAAAAAUACAUAAUUUAUUUUUAUUUGAUAUAAUCUGACAAGUGUAUAAAUAUUAUUGUAAACAAAAUAUAAAAAAGAAAGACAAUUUUUUUUUGUUGUUUUCAUAAAGUUUAUUUUUUAAUGACAAGUUAAUAUAUAUAAAUUUUAUAUGCUAUGAAUAUUAAAGAUUUUAAUAUAAUUUUUUAAAAAAAAACAAAUAUAUAUUUAUAUUAAAUAAAUAAAAUUAUUUUAUACAUCGCACGAAUUAUAAUCUAAUUUUAAUUAUAAACAAAUCCAAUUAACGGUUGAAGUGUGAAAGAAACGAUGGCCUUCAGUAUGUGAUUGCAGUUUGUAGCCUUAUUUUUUUUUUUGGCCCUGCCACAAUUCUACCUAAGUUCAAGGCUGGAGAGUCUGAUUACUACACUAAAUCCUACAUCUACACAUAAUAUAAUAUAGGGGCAACUGUAUUUUUUUUUAUACAUAAAAGAUCACAAUUUAAAAAUAAAAAAAUAUAUUACAGAUGUUAAAAUUUAAAUUUUAUUAAAUUUUAUUUCUUAAGAAUAACCGCAUAAUUCACAUUUUUUCCUCACAUUUUCACUUUAUUGAUCAAUAAAAUAGUCUAAAUUCCUCGAUCACAGACAUCAGAUGAGCAUAUAAAUGUAUACGGCUAGCUUUAUCUGAUCAGUGAAUGAAAAAUGAAUUAGUUGUUUUUUGAAUUUCUUUGCCUUAAUUUUAAUCCCUCCCAAGGCAACGACCAAAGCCAAGACAUUUCUCAUCGUAUGAGGGGAAAAUGUGAAUUAUUUUAACCAAAAAAAAAAAAAGAAAAAAAAUCAGAAACCAAAUUCAGAUGACAGUGUUUUGAUAUGAAUACAAUGAAGUAUGUCAUCAGCUUGUUCAGAGUGGUUGUGCUUGAUCAUGUCUUAAUAAUUAUUGAUAUAUUUCUUGUAUUGCACAUUUUUUUUAAUCUGUUGCAUCAACCAUGCAUUAUUUCCCCUUGAUUCUUGGAUAUAUUCUUGAAGAUCAUCAGUGAUCCAUUAUAUCUUGUUCUUUUUAUAUAUUUAUAUACCUUAUUAUAAUCUGAAAUGUGAAAUUUUAAUAAUUCUUCUUGAUAUUUUGUGUCAAAAACUUAUUAUAAUCUGAAGGUCUAUGUUCUAAUUUAUCAUUCUUUUCUAUACCUUCUCUUCCUAUCUAAUUAUUUUCUUCUGUCAAUUACAAUGACAUAACUAGCAUUGGUUUUCCACCACAAGGAAAUACCAAUCCUGAAAAAAAAAAAAAAUAUAUAUAUAUAUAUAUAUAUAUAUAUAGAGAGAGAGAGAGAGAGAGAUAAAAACUGAAAUAAAAAAAAUGAAAUUAUAUGUAAUAACUACACUUCUAUAUAUAUGGAAGAAGCCUUGUAUAUAUGCUAGCUUCACUUGCUUAGUUGCUUUCUCAUGCUGGGAAUUAUCUACAAUCUCCUAUUUAUCAAUCCAUAUACGGUAACGGGAGCAACGAUCAGGGAAUGAUCAAUAUAGGGCUCUACCUCCAGAGUUAAUACAUCAACUCCCAACACCGUACCAGAUGAUAAUUGCUUUUGCUUCACCUGCAAUAUUAACCCUUGAGAAGAAAUAUUAAAACUAAUAUAAUAAUUACUUAUAACACAGUAAUUUAUAUAGUUCUUGGUGUUUACCUCUGCUACAGUAUCUCCAUCUAAGUCUACUAUCUUAAAUCCCUUUUUCUUGUGACCUAAGCUAACUAUCCCGUACUUGUUCAAGCCCACAGUAACUUGACAAGCCGAAUCUCUCCGCAGAAUGCUGCAGUAUUUUUUAACUUGAAAGCAUGGCUUUUCCUUCUUUGUGCCAGUAAAGCUCCCUUUAUAUCCAUUCCAACAUCCAAAAAUUUGUAGUUUCUACAAAAACAGCCAAAGGAGAAAAAACCCAAAUUUCAGUUAAGAGUCUUCUCUCUAAAAAUUUAGCUAUGGUCUAGUACCCUUUUUAGUAUUGUAAACAGAAUUUUGCCGCGCAGGCCCAUCAGAUGAACUUCACUGCUACCUUUGCUGUCAUAAUUUUCGACACGGUACAAAAUGUCCCCUUUUGAAUCAAAGACAGUGCAACCAUUGGUGUGGCAUACAAGAGAUUUCAUCCAUAUAGUGAAUGUUUCUCUUCCUGCAGAACUCAUAUUGCAGGAGUCAGAAACUGGUGCCUCAGCGGCAGGAUGAACCUUAGCCAUCGAAAUUUGAAGGGAAAGUCAGAAAGUUGAGGUAAUUUGAAAAUGAGAAAGGCCGGCCAGAGGCUAUUUAUAUGCUCCUAGGAACCGAGCUGUUACUUAAAUUAUUACAAAAAAACAAUGCAACGUAACGGUCAUGGAGUUCCAUAAAAUAAUUGGAAAAGAAAAUAUUAAGCUUCUCAGUCAACUUUAAUAUUGAUCUUUUAUGUAGUUAAGGCUCCAAAAGAGUACGUUUCUAAAACCAUGUCAACAUGUGGAAGGCCAGAAAGAGAAUAUAUUUCUGCAGAGCUGAUUAAAUGCACGUUUUUCUGAACAAAAUAGAGUAGUUUAAUCACUCAGGAAAGAUCAACUCUUUUGAGCCUAUCUCUAUAUAAAAAUUCUACUUGUAGUUCUAAAAUUUUUCAGUAUAUUAUUGAUUAAUAUAUUGGAUUAGAGUUUGUUGAUGUCAUAAGGAAAAGGGACAGGAAAAUAUUUUUGUUUCAAGUUUCUAUCUGUGGUCAUAUCCUUAUCCGUUCAAUGAUGUUGCUUUAUGCUUUUCUAAUAUUUCUGAUGAGAUGCAAGCAACCAAACUCUAAGAUUAUCUUUAUAUAUAAACAAAUAAUAAUAAUAAACAAUAAACUAAUCUUCUACAAAUGUUUUACCAAACAAAUUACUGAUUCAUAUUCCACUAUAACAUGGCAAGGUACUGUCAUGUUGUUUUGAAAUUCCUUGUGGGAUUUCAGGAAAAAACAGAAGUUUAUAAAUAAAUAAUUAUAGGUUGAGUUUGGAGAUUAAUUUUUUUUUAGUAUUAGUAAUUGGUUGAUUGUUUUAGUUAAAGCUGUAGAAUUUGAGUUUAGUCACCAUUGACCAUUGUGUAAGUUAAAGAUGGAUUUUAUAAAACUCAAAAGCAAUACUUUUAUAAUUUUUGAAGAUCUAUCAUAAUUAGUGAGCUUAUCAAGUAACUCAGAUUAACGAAUUAAGUCAACAGACAUAAUUAAAUAAAAUAUCAUCACAUUAUUAAAUUCAAGGGAAAAUAUGUAAAUAAAAGAAUAAAAUAAAUUGUAUUCUCUACUCUCUAAUACAAUAACGCUAUCAGCUGAAGACGUUCCAUUAUUUUAUGUGUAAAAAACUUUAAAACUUUAUCCUAAAUUAUAGUAAUUUAAAAUUACACAUUCCAUUAAAAAAUCCAGCCUCCUUUUCCAUUUUUUUUUUCAACUUCCGAGUAAUUGUUUCUAUAGGCUUUAAUUUUGUCGUCUCAAAAUAGCUAACUUAAAUGUUGUACGAGUCCCACCUCGCCGCCUGAAAUGGCUAAUGCAUGAAGCAGCUAAACCACAACAAAUGGGCCUACUUAACCGGAAAGUUUCUUCAAUUGGGCUUUAGACCUUUAAUCAUUAAGAUGGCUACAUCAGCAGUUCGGUACCUUUCUUACCUAUCAACUAAACUUAGCCCAAAGUCUAAUAAUUGGCUCAAUUUUAUAGGAUUUGAUUAAUUUAACGAAAUUGCAUUUUAUAUACCGUCCGCUGGAAUUUAAACACAUUAAAGAUAUUAUUAUAUUUAUCCAUUGGGCAUUAAUUUAAAUGGCAUGCAUGCUAUUGAGAUUCUGAAAUUGUGGAUUGAAGAGGAUUUAAACACGUAAUUGAUAUUUUCGAAUAAUUUCAUUGACGAAAUUUUUUAAAAUAAUCUUUUAAUAUUAAUUCAUUUUAUGUGUGGGAUUAGAGUUUUAGAUUUGAGGUUUUCAUAAACCCUAAAAUGUAAAAAUAAAUCAAAGGUUAGAUCAAUUCUUAUUAGGUACAAGAUAUCCCCGAAUAAUUUCUCAAAAAUAGCCUUGCCUGUGAAUUUCAAUAUAUUCUGCUUCUUCUUCUUCUUUUUUUUUUUUUAAUUCUUUUGUGCUGAUGAGAAGCUUUGUCAUGUCAUGUAUUCCAACAAGAAUGUCACCUAAGGGAAAUGGUUGAUAGUGGCAAUCACAUUGUUCUCUUUAUUUAAUGCUUCUCUAAAUAAAUUGGGUUUCUUUAUUGGCAGACCAAAAGUAAACUUCAUUUGGUGUCAAAGUAGAUGGAAAAAACGCAUAACAAUUUUAUAAAAAUAAAAAAUAAAAACAUGACACUGAUUUAUUUCUUAAUAUUUCCCAACUAGAAAUCGAUGUAGAUGAACUUUAUUAGCAUAUAGUUUUGUUAGAUUUUUUUAUACAAAAAAAGUCAUAAUACGAAGAUAUGAAAAAGAUAUUAUAAAUAAUAAAUAAUAAAUUUUAAUUUUUAAAUUUAUUGAAUAUUACUUGAUUGCACGAAUCAAUUGAAUUAAAUUUCGGAUUAAAAUCUUAUUUAACUUUUAUAUUAACAUAAAGUGACAGAUUACAAUGAACUAUUUUUUGGGGUGAUUAGUCAAAGCAUUUUUUCCCCUUCUUUUUUUAGUAUUCAUUAGCUUGAAAGAAUGAAAUCUUUAAAAAGUUGAUGAUCAAUUUAAUGCUUCUUUUCUGAAACAAUCAAACAAAUGUUAGUGGAAUUUCUAGCAAUCCAAUGGAUUCCAGGCAAUAUAGCAUCAUUUAAAAUUUGUUUCCCGAAAUUUUGAACCGUAUAUUUGUAUGAUCAAUUUCUAUAAGCUGAUGCCAAACAUUUUGUCUGGAACUGAACUUUUGCAGCCUGGCUGACUAGGAAAUUUAAACUAAGUUGGCUUAUGAUGAUGAAAUUCAAUUUUAUAUUAUGAUUUGAAUGUUUUCUAUUGACAAGUUGUGAGCUUUCGAAUAAUCAUUUUAAUGUAAUUGCGAUGUAUGAUUAAUGCUACCGUAUUCAAGUUUUCUAGUUGCUACCGCAAGCUUAGUGGCCAAAUAAGACUGCUCUAAGCGUCAUCUCUGCACUUAGAGAAAGAAAAUGGGGAAGCAUGGGUUUUAGAUUUAUUAAUGGUGAACAAUAUUGUCGUUGCAUUCACCAUACUGGCAAAUGGGAUUUUGCUAUGCAUUUCCCUGAAAUGUAGGGACAAAAUCUUGAGCUACUAAAAUUUAUUCUUUCACAUACAAACAUACAAGGACAAGAUUUGACCUCUUUGAGUGUGGUCUAUUCUGAUGAGAAACUAUUUCCAAAUUGUUCAUGGAAUGAAACGCAAAUCCUUGUUAGGCUGUGAUUAUCAAACUUCAGGCAAGGAAGAAAGGGCUUGACUCUCCAGAGUCCAAACUAUCUUAACGCAUGCGUGAUACAAAAUGUUACCUUCAGCCUCAGGUGAGACAUUCAAAUGUGACAGUCAUUGAUUUCCUACGGUUUUACAAUUACUUCCAUUUGUGAAGAUGUUUGGACCGGAACCGUGUCGAUCAAUCGCCCACAGUUGAGUGACAGUAAAUGCAAAUAUUAAUGUAAAUUGACUUGCAAUUCACCACCAUGGAAACAAUCCAAUGCUGCGGGGUUUUUUCCAAUUUUCUGGCAGUUGACCUGAAAAGCUCUUUCCUCCUUUAAUGAAAUUGGUUUUAACUUUGAAUUGCAGUGAUUAAGUCCAAACAGUAAAAUACUAUUAGUAUAUGACAAUACUUGUAUGAAUUUUUCAAAACGAAACCGAGCAGAAAAACAAUGUGGAUUCAUGCAAAUCCAAAGCUAAUAUAAAUAAUUGAGUACGUAUAAUUAUAUGCAGACACUGCAAACCUUAAUUUCUAUAGACAUACAGAAAAAGGAACUAAAUUUUGUCAUUUCUUUUCAUCUUUCUUUUCUUCCUUAGCUGGUCCAACAGUAACAAUGUCUACUUUCCCUAUUUUCUUCAGUUUUUUGGCUAUUACAACCGUGUCCAUCUCUCCAAUGAUAGUCAGCUUUUGCUCCUUUAAGUCCGCCGCAAUUGAAUCAACGCCUGUUCAUCAAAUUAAUUCCCGAUUACACUGACCAACUAGUAGAAAUUAAGUACCUGUAGUACUAGUAUCAUAUUGCAAGCCAUGUUUCAGGAAUAAAAUUAGAACAAAAAUAGUCUGCUGAUUACCAUAAAUGUCGGCAACAGCCUCUAUGGCUUUUUUCUUUGUCUUCUCAUCAUUCAUGGUCAUGAUUUUCAACACUACCUUCUGCAAUGCGGGAUUAAAAAUUAGUAUUAUAUAUCCUAGAAAAAAAAAAUAAUUACAUUUCUGAUGAGGACAAGGAAAUGAAAGUACCUGAGUCAUGUAGGAUAUUGAUCAGGAAUUCAGGAUACAAGAAAUGGAUGCAACAGAAAUAAGUUACAAGAGCUAGACCAGAACUCAGUUGAAUAGGCCUUAAGAGGGGGAGGGUCCAGGGAAGUUGCACAUUUUUAUGUACAGCUACGACAAUGGCUUAGAUCAGCAAGAGCUAUAUAUUAUCAAAGUUGUUGCCCACUAUGAAUAAUGAGCGCCCAUUUUCUUUUGUUUUUUAUGGAUCCCAUUCAUUCAGUGAUGAAUGAAUUAAAAACUUGCCACUUUUUCACGCACUGGCUUACGUUCAAAAUCUGAGUUUACAAGCAACAUCAUUUUUUUUUUAUUUUAUAAUUACUGCAGUGAUAUUCAUAUUCUACUCUAUUUUGUUGCUGCUGAACUAUUGUAUGCUAAUAUCAAACUAAUUAUUGGAAAUAAUUCUCGUUAAUUUAUUGGCUCCUGCAGGUACCCUAAAUCAUUUUCUUAUAGCACUUCAAUCAUCAUUUUCUGGACAAAUUCUCUUUGCUAGCUGUAACCUUAUUUGCGGUCCAACCGACAACAAUUGGAGUCAUGAUUGGAAGAUUAGGUUACCCCAUGAAACACUCAACUCCUAACAAAAAAAAUCAGAGAAUUAACAAGAUUGCACUAAUAAAACAAGUAUUCUGCUGUCUUUUGCCGACUCUUUGGAGUCAGGAGCCAAAUAAUACACUAAUUUAAUACAUUGAGCUCCAGAAGUUUUCAGACUGAAUCGAGAAGUAGUAGAAGAAGAAUGAAGUGUUUUUGCAUUAAUCUGAGUGGAAAUGUUUAUUCGUAGCAAUUUUAUUGAGAUUUAUCAGACUGCAUUAUAUCUCUGCUGUGGACCCUGCAGACAUUUCCUUUCCUCCCUUCUUACAUUAUAAAAGCUGGGCCACCCUGUGUCUUUCAAUUGUUGACACAUGACAGCAUUAAUCUUUCAUCCACCUUAGCCUCGUCUAUCCUUCAAGACCAACCUUUUGGCAACCAAAUGCACUAUGUCUUGAAGAGGCCUAGCUUCUUCAUUUGCAAAGAUUAAUACUAGUAAAUAGUGUUUGAGGUAUUUACGGUGAUUUUAGAUUCGACAAAAAUGACAUCGUACAAAAAUUAUAAAAAAAUACAAUAGUAUAAUUUAAAAUUUUAAUAAAAAUUAUAUUUAAAUUUUAAAAAAUAUUUACAAUAAUUUUCACAUCUCCCCGUUUACUUUCUGCCGUCUGGUAUUGUCUACUGGAAGCCAAUUAUUAUGAUUGUAGCGGUCAAUCUGUUACUCAGACCGUCCCUAGAAAAUACCAAUGCUUUUUACGGAGAGAUGGGUUCUGGUCUCAGACUCUAAGUUAUCUCCUGACGCAACUCUUUUGGCCAUUAGCUAACCACGUAUAUCUCACCAUUCUUUACUGCUCAAGAAAUUUACUUGGAGCUUGUUCACUUGCCUUUCUCUUUGCCUUCAUCAACAAGAAAAUAGUGUAGUACUAAAAACAAUAAUUGGUGAGAGAAGCAGGCGUUAUCAACCGGAGAAUUGAAGCUGCAUUUUUUAAAAAAUUUUCAACAGUUUGGUGAAACAAGAAUAAAUGGAAGGAUUCUGAUGUAAAAGCUGCAAUUCAGUGAAGAAUUCAUGUUGCACGGAUCUGGGCUGGCUAGACAUUUCUUGGAGAUACCUCUUUGGCGACCUCCAUUGAAAAGAAAACCUGUAACAACUGCAACUCUUCUCGUCUUAACUGUUUUUCUGGUGGCCGCCUUUACAUCUUCCUUAUGGAUUGACACUGUAAGUACUGAAAUUCCCACAAUUACUUGAAUCUUGCACUAACAUCUUUCUAUUGGCCGGAUUGGCUGAAAACCAAUUUUCAGAAUCUUUAUGGUAGAUAGUGCAAUUUUUAAUUCAUGUUUAGUUUAGUUGAGCCCUUUUUUUUUUUUUUUGCAGUCUAGGUUUUUUAUUGAGAAUUUAACAAACAAGACCAUAAUAAUAUCAGAAAAGCCGAAAAUUCCCAUAAAGAAAAUUGAAAUCCCACUCAUCUGCACCAGCGAAAACCAGACACAAACCUGUCCAACAAAUUACCCCAAGACAUUCCAAACAGAAGACCUUGACCCUUCAUCCAACCCUGUUUGCCCUGAUUAUUUUAGAUGGAUCCACGAAGAUUUACUUCCCUGGAAAAGCUCAGGAAUCACCAGGGACAUGGUGGAAAGAGCUAAUAGAACAGCAACAUUUCGCCUGAUAAUCAUUGGGGGCAAAGCCUACGUCGAAAACUACAGAAAAGCCAUUCAGACAAGAGAUGUUUUCACCAUCUGGGGCA
rnacentral:lncRNA from 1 species